rnacentral:lncRNA from 1 species
AAGUACUUGGAAGAGUUGUCAAUAAAACACUAUAAUUCCAUUGAAAGAAUGGACCUCUCACAAUCGAAUCUUUUGAAAGGAUUGGACAUUGAGGAUUGCAAUAAUCUAGUUGAAAUUUACGGCCAACAUAAAUUGGAGUUCUUGGAGACAAAUCGUACAUAUAGCUGCAAAUCCAUUAGAAGGCCAAUCCAUUCGAAAUUACGAGGGCUUGAAGCGAUUAAAUACUUGCUAUUGCGACAAUCUAGUUGAAAUACAAGGUCUUGAUAAGGUGGAGUUGUUAGAGAUGUUCAAUGUCUGUAAUUGUGGUUCCAUCAAAAGAUUACCUGACCUAUGAUGCUUUUGGAACUUGAAAGAAUUGAAUAUCAAUGGUUGUCAUAAUCUAUGUGGUGUAGAGACUCAAUUCCCAGUCUUACAUAAUUGCAAGAGUGGGGAAGUCGGCCCUAGAACCUAACAUGAUGCUUCAGCCAAGAUCAAAAUUUAGAUCCGAUUGUGGUUCUUCAUACGUUAGAAGGCGUUGGUCAUCUGGUAAGAUUCUUCAUCCUUUAACAACUAGCAUGAGCGAAAAGUGUAAUACUUUUCUAACAGAUAUGUCUUUUAAGAAUUAUUUGCUUGAUGCUCGGUAUCUAUUUGAUCUGGAUUUGCCUAAAUAUAUUUGUUGUUGAUUGCAUCACGGCAAUGUUUUUUCAGCUAAUCUUCAAUCGGCAACUUUUGCAGAUAGAUUGGCGGCUUGUGAGGCAACAAAUGAAAAUUAACGACAUAGGUAAACAAGAAUUCUUUAGUGAUUUACAGUUUCCCUCUUGGUAAACCCAAGAUGAGAAUUUUUCAUCAAGAGGUUGAUCUUCUGCAACUCAAUUUAUAAACUGCGCGCCAGAUCCCUUUUUUCUCUAUAUCUCAAACAAGUAUUCUCCUGUAAAAAAUCAUUCGCCAUUUUGAACUCCUUUUGUGAGCAAUUUUAUGUGUCAAAUUUGACUAUUGAUAGAUAUCCUGUUUAGGACAAACAGCUCUCGAUUUUUCGUGAUGAUGGGAAAGCUUUUCCAUUGUUCAUUGGAGCAUGAAUUCCUAGUAAGGAAGAGAAACUGAGCUAAAAUAAAAAUCAAGGUUCAAUUUUUUUUUGGAGCGUGAUUUAAAAAAGUAAAAAUUAGUUUUGGCUAGCCUUUUUCAUCUAUGAUUGUAGGCAGGCUUUCCAUAAACAAUUGUGAGACUGUUGAAAGAUUAUCAAGCGAGAUAAAUUGGUGCUACUUUUGUGACAGGUCCGGUUGGUCUAUGUAAGGAUCAACGCUUACUUUUGGACUUCAAUUCAAAGAGCUGUAUAGAUGACCUUUUGCAUAAUUGGGACAAUUUUUUGUCUGUUCUGUAAAACAAGCUAGGCGAGGAACUUAAGAUUUUGCUUAUUAUUUUGCAUCCCAUUUGAUCCUGAUGUUGUCGUGGAAUCGUUUUAUCAAAUGAUUGAUCUGGGUCUGGCUAACUUGGCUGAGGCAAUUCAUAGUCCGUACCAAAGAACGAUCAAAUGAAGAAGAGGGAUUUUGCUUAGGUGUCAUCAGCAACAGCUGAAGGCUAGCUUUUGUGCUACCUUGAACAGGCUCACGGGCCGACUGGAGUUUCCUAAGGAAGCUUUUUAUGCCUGUGAAGAUCAAAGCACUUGAUAUGGUUUCAUCAGCACAAAACCGAAUGAUUGUGAAUGUAUUAUUUUUCAGUUGAAUCUACUUUUUGUAUGCUCAUUAGGUUCUACCUCUAUUAAGAAAAUACAUACAUGCUGAUUUUUCUACAUGUUAACCAGAUGCACGCUCUAAUGGUAUCAUUCCCAAAUUCGGUCAGGCUCUGCAGUUAGAGGUAUGCACUGCCAGUCCUACCAUAACUGUGAAAGAGUGACUUGUGUACUUAUAUUUAAUUGAAUGUGUUGUGUGCUUGUUAGGUUCUACCUCUCUGUUAAUCGAAUAUGUACGUGCUGAUUUUUCUGCAUGUUACCCUGAUGCGGUGUUGUUUGAUGCAGUCUCGUUCUAAUGAUAUCACUUUCAAACCCAAUGAGGCUUUGCAAAUGGAGGUAUGUACUAACAGUUGUACCAUAAUAGAGCAGCUUGUGUGCUUAUACAAUGUGAGCUGUGGAAUUUCACCAGAAAUCCGUGAAUUAGGAUUUAUGAUGACAAUCUCCUCUUUUUCUAUCAGUUCAUAAUAUCUUUUGAGUGUUGUGAUAAAGGUCUCUGAUAUGACGAGCUUAAAUCUCAUGUAUGCAGCAUUAAAUUUGUAAACUUACAUAUAGCCUCCUAGCAAACAAUUCCGUAUUGCUGAGUUCGCUAAUUGGAUAUUGCAAAAUAACCAAGUAACAAGUACGCCUUUCUGUUCUGUAGUUUGGGCACUUUGCCUUUUAAGCAUCCAUUCUGUUCAUAAACACAAACAAGGAUGAUGGUGCUAAUUGCUGACUUCUCUUCUCUUAAGUCCGUUGUUUUCUAUUUCUUUGGUUGAUAAUGAAUUAUGUUGAUUGCGAUCCAAGUGUGAAUUAAUGAGAGACCCCUGGAAUGUGUGGCAAAACUAAUGUCCCCAGAUUUUGGUGUUGAUAGAUGAGAUUCAUUGAAGAGGUCACUCGUAGAUUGCCAGAACCUGGACCAGGUCAAAAUAACAUUGUUUAUAUUGAUGGAAUCUCAAGUCUAUGCUUACCACUUUCAGCUAAUUUUAGGUUCUUCAUUCCAAAUACAUCUAAAAAUAGACAGAACUAAGGAUCCCAUGCAGCCGCGCCUUUAUCUCUCUUCGAGAUGAUUGGAAAGUGUGAAACAUUUUUACUCUCAACCAUCUUGUGUAACACAUGCAUCGCCCUCAUUUUCUGACCAUCUUUAGCAAGUGCCCGAGUGGAGACUAGUUAUAAGUCUUCUAAGGUUGAAUUUGUUAGUGUUCGUAACUUUUGAUGAAAUACCAUAAACAACCUGAAUUUAUCAUUCAUUCUUUUCCUGAAUCUAUCACGAAGUACAUACGUAGCUAGUAGAAUUAUAAUUAUAUUCAAAAUCUCAUGUGACAACUGCUAAUUGGAAAAGCCAAUGAGUGUGAGACCCAAAUACAGGGUUUACAUUUGAUGAUGCGGUUCAAACUAUAAGAGACACACCUUGGGGUCGUCCAAAACUUCUUAACGACUUGCCUCGAAGGACAACCAAGAGAAGGGAACAUAAUCUCGCCGAGGAAUGAAGAAGGAGAAGGGGAAGCAGAAGAAGAAAAUUGCCUCAACUGAGUUGACAACAAAAUUGCAGCUAACACUGCUACCGGGACCCUCUCAUGUGGACUCCGAUGCCACCACAUCUGUGAUUUAACUGGUAUGAUAUCUAAUUCAUGAAAUAUUUGAUAUAAUGCCGAAGUGCUAAUUUCCAAGUCCCCUUCAUUUAUUGAGUAGUAUAAGCUUGCACAAGUUCAAUUUCCUUGCUCUCGUAUCAGCAGCAGCAUCACAAAGUCCCGUCUUCCAAUUCCCAAGGAAAUGUUCAUUUUUAUUCUUUGCAGGGGUUUAUACCGAUAAAUGGUUGAUACUCCCUGCAAUAACCGCCGAUGAUCGUGGUGUACAUGGUCACAUCUAGCUCUCAGCCUGUGUCUUCCAAAUUCUUCAGCAAUCGAACGGCUUUUCCAGUAUUGCCGGUUCUGCUCAAUCCCUCAUCAUGGCUUGGCACGUGGUUAUAUCUACCUCGAUUGUCUGGCCAACAUUUCAUCCGCCAAGCUCAUGGCUUUGACGAUUCUACCCUCUCCAACGAGCCCAUUGAUCAAAGUGUUAUAAGCUCGUAGUUGUGGGUUCAAGUCCAUGUUUGACCAUUUUACACAAAACUGAGGACCCGAGAUCGGAUCUUUUCAAUUGGCAGAGGUAAUUCAUCAAAAUGUUGCGAGUAGAACCGUUGGGAGUGGUUCCUUUCGAACCCAUCCACUCGAUCAUGUCAAUGGUGACGGGUAAUGCUUCAUCUUGGCCCCAACCGCGAAGAGUUGGGCGAAACAGGGAGGUAAAGUCAAGAGGGUUCACUCGAAUCGUCCUCUCCAAGAAGAAUAAAGCAUUGUCAGCUUCCACCAAUCCGCCAUUUCUGCAUUUGUUCACCACAAAGGUCACAAGUUCAGAUUGACCCAUUGAAUCACUCACUCCAGCAGUGGAUGGGCAACCGUGGGAGCAACGUGAAAGAAAAUGGUUCGAUGCAAAGAUGGGAUGAGAAGUGAGAGGUUUAGCGAGAUCGCCAGAUUCUCGAACAAGACGGUGAAGAGCAGAAGUGAAAAUGGAUCGAUUCAUUCUCAUUAGUUUUGCCAAAUUUUCUCCUUCCGAGUUCAAGAAUCCACAAAUUGACACGAUGGUGUAUGGAGAGGAUGAUUAUUAGGCAAUUCAAUCACUGAAACUUUAGUUGUAUGAUAACAUAGUUUUCGGUUCAAUCAUUGAAAACUACUUGAUUGGCAAACUGAACAUUUCUAGAAAUACUCUGAUCGAUUCAUUCCUGUACUCAGCAAUUGAAGAGAGGUUGGGAUGCAUAAUCAUGCUCUUAUACUGUUGUGAAAACAACUAUGAAAUCCACAUGUGAGACCAAAUCCGAUUGGAUUGAAAUCUCACAUGACAAGAACGGUGAACACUAGGGGAGUCGAAGUAUCGCCUGUCGACAUGAACGUUUCUAUUCUUACGACUAUCGGCACAAAAAAUGAGAAAACAAUACUAACGUUUUCUACUAUUGUCAUUAUGUGUAUAGAACAUACUUUUGGCGUUAUACCAGUUUAACAAUUUGUUUUGGUCUAUUCGAUGCUUUCUUACUCGUCGAAUGAGGCAGGCAUCCCAGCUCACAUUUUGCAAAACGAAAUUUUCUUAUAUGAAUUUUUGGGCUGGAUGGUUUACAUAUGAAGUGCAUAUUUCUGUGUUUUGCAUAUGAAGUACGUACUUCAUGAAGGAAAAUAAUAAUAAUUUUUUUGGCCCUGAUGACAUAGGAUUACUUAGCUAGUGGAUAAAACUCUAAACAUGUGAAAUGGAUGACGAAGCUAAAUCAAUAAUUUCUCUUUGAAAUUGAAAGUGUUUAUUUUUGUGACUAGCCUUUUCAUGCUUAGCUUAUCAUCUUGUCGUUCAAUUGAACAAAACAUGCAACUGAUUAGAAGUGCCACUCUACGAGGACAUAGAAAGACAAUAAUUUACGAUUUAAGUAGACAGGAACCCGAACGUUAUAAGGAAAUAAUUGAUAAAAGGAGAAAAUGAGAAAGUCGUCCAUAUGACAUUCAUAACAGGUAAUUACCACUAGAUAGGCAAUAUUUAGGAGGACAGUUUUCUGUUUUACAUUUCUAUUUCAAUGUGCCAUCAGAUUCGGUAAUUCUAGACUUAAUUCAUAUUGUGAUUCCUCUCAUUCUUCAUCCUGAUCUCUUUUACGUCAUUUCAGUUGCUUCGUUCUUGUACACCAAACGUGCCCUUACGGUUUCCUAGUGUAGGCAUGGGUAGUUUGUUUUCUCCUAAGAUAGUUUUGCUUCUUGGAAUUAAUGUUGACAGAGUAGAGUUUUCUCCAUCUGGCGAUUUGGGUGUAUUGAGGUGCUUGUGUGGUGGUGUUAUGGGAAGGAAGUUUCACAUCGGAGACAUGAUGUAAUGCAAUGUUGUCGACGUGAAUUUUGAUGAAAAUGCAUCUAGACCAAAGUAGUGGUAUAGGAACUAAGAAAACUCUCCGUGGCAGCACAAUAUAGGAUUUCUUUGAUAGAUUUUCCUGCGGAAACUUGUCGAAUAAAGGUAUCUGACUUUGCGUUCUGAAUAUGUAUGUCGACAGCUAUUUCGCCUGACGUAGUUGUUUUUCUUCGGAGAGUGUGUGCAUCUUCCGCCCUUUUCUUUUUCUUUGUUUUUCGUUUUUUUUGUUGUUGUUGUGCAUCCAUGUGGUAGAAAUUCUGCAUUGGCAAAUAAUAGAAGUGCUAUGCCAUAAUUUCAAAUUAUUGGGGGAAGUUAUGAGUUGGGCGUCCAGUAGUCCUUCCUCGAGCAUGGCUACUAAUCAAGAUCCUUUUGUUCCCAUGCACGUCAAGACGCAAAAACAAUUUCGAACUAUUUUCUAUGGGAUUGCGCAGCCACCUGAUCCCGUUGCAAAGAGAACUAGCAAAAGGUGAGGAGGGUCCAUUGAUUAAAGAAGUAAAUUUUCUGGUCAAAGAUGAGCAGUAACGGCAGGAUCGCGUGUAUCCCAGGCACAUCCUGCUCAUCUUCUAAGGCAAUAAUAGAGGAAGUAAUUUCCAAUAUCAACACCUUACAAAUGGAAAAGUUUCCAAGUACAAGGAGAUAAUACCGUACCUCUUAAAGAUGGUAUCCUGUAAAAAAGUUAAUCUCCACCGGGAUUGGUGUGGCGAUGGGCUCCAAUUACAAAGAGAACAAACAAAAAUAUCACAGCGGGUAGUCUUGCCAAUUUUGGGGGAGGAAGGUUUGUUAUGGUGGUCUUGGUCAGAGGGUUAAAAAGAAGUAGAAGCGUUAUCCUCUGCAAGAUUGUGCGUCUCCUUUGGGCAAGAGACUAAAGUAAAGCUUUACUUAUGACAUGUGUGGCAAAGCUCCCGAUUCUCAAAAUUUCUAUAUUUUCAUUCUCGAAAAUAGAAAAAGAAUGGAAAUUUAUUAAGUGAAGCCAGUUAAUUUUUCAAUUUCUUGAAAUAAAGAAUAGAUUUGGAACAAAAAUAAAAAGUGAAAAAAGUUAUUUAUUUAUUCUCGAGAACAAUUUUUGAAACAAAUCAUUUUUUCUUCUUUUCUUCUUCUUUCUCCUCUAGUCAGUUGUUGAGCCUCGUUGAUGGCUGGCGAUCAACCAGAGACGAGGUCUGGUAACCUCGCCAGUGAUUGGGCGAGGUCAAGCCUCGCCGGUGACUAGGACUAGAAAUAGUCUUGUCCUUUUUUUUAAUCGAUUAAUUAUUUUCCUUUUUUAUGUUCUUUACAUAGUGCCCAUGAGUUUGGGGCCACGACCAACUCCCAAGUUAAUGAAAAGAAGACUAAGGUUCACUCGUAAGCACACCGGAUUAUAAAGUUGGGCUUGAGGUUGAGCUAAAGCUAAGCUUUUUAACUAGUCUAGUUUUAGUGUAAGAACCUUUUUUUUUUGUGGGUAGAUAUUACAUCAAAGUACAUUGAAAAUCACUUAUUAGGUUAUAGUUAUGUUUAAUUAAUUGAGUAAUUCUAGUGAAUAAAUGAAAAAAAACGACGUCAGCUUUACUCCUGAAGGGAGAUAGAAAUUAACAUGCUGUUAGCACUUAAUUAAGGUCAUUUAUAAACGUUUUUUUUCCUCCACUUCUCCCCAGUACGUAUUUGGUAAUUAUAAUCCUAAAUAGAAUACGCAUUUUCUAUGUGGCCUUAUAGUGGGCAUAGAGCUUCGUAUGGUCUCUUCAAAGGUCUUCCCCAGUAAUUCAGUAGAAAUUGUUAUCAAAAGUUGCCUCUGGUGCUGUGUUUUGUCUCUGUGUCCAAACUUCUUUUGUUCGUAUCCUACGGUGGCUUUUUGUUCAUGAAAAUAUGCUUUAUUUAACAAACUGUAAGCUAACAUGCUUAGAGAAAAAUGUUUUAGGAACCUACAGUGUUUUGGACUUAGCAUUCAAACCAAAAAUGAUACUGAUCCAGAAGCAAUUAUCGUACCAAAAGGAAAAAGAGAAGAGAAACGGAGAAUAUAGAUUUUGUCUUGGUCGGGUUGUUUGUGGGGUUGAGAGGCAUCAUUCCUUCAGUCGACAUAAGAUGCUGGAGAUCUUGAUUUUGUCUACCACUUUAAAGCGUGUUUGGUAACAAUUCUGCUUCUGAGAACAAAUUCUGAUCAGAAAUGAAUUUUUUUUUUAUUUUGUUCCCAGGAAUAGAUUUUGAGCAAAAAAAAUACGUUUGGUAACUGUACAAAAUUUCUAAUUCUGGAAUAGAAAAAGAACAGAAAUGCGUUUGGUAACUACAUAAAAUUUAUAUUUCAAUUCUUUUUUAAUUACCUUUUUAGAUAAGUAUAAUUUUGAUAUUGAAUUCUCAUGAACCACUCACUAAUAUAAUCUUCUUUUAUGAGUGAAGAAAUCAUAUUAUAUUUUAUUAUAUUUUCAAUUUCAAAAUAAUUCGAAUUUAGAAUUCUAUUAUAUUUUAAAAUUCUAUCAAAUCAUAGAAAUUCUAUUGAUUAAUUAUAUUUAUACUAAGUAAUAAAAAUAUUAACUAAUCAAUUUUUUAUUAAAUAGUAAAUAAUAAACCAUAGUAUAAACUAUACUAAUUAUAAACUAUCCGGACUUGGCACUUGUGAGUGGGAUUGAAGCAGCACCACCACAGAAUCGUUUUGCAACCAAUCCACACAAGAUCCACGCGAGAACGAUCUUCGCUUCCACCGUAUGUCGAGAGAAUCCCGACUCGAGAACUCUUUCGCAGGUUAAGACAGCCAUCGCGCAAAGGAAUCUUUAACGAGUAGAAAGGGGCAAGCUUCUUCCUUUCGAGCAACCAGUCGAGCAUAUAGGCACACGGGCAAAGGGAGAAAAUGCGUCAGCUGUUUUCAUAUAUAUAUAUAUAUAUGUAUAUAUAGAUCUCUGCUCUUGAGACAAUUUAGGACAUGCAGCAAAGGAGCUAUCAAGAAAAGGUACUUACUUGCUUUGGUCAGGAUGAAGAUAACGAGUUCUGCAGCUCCAUGUGUCUAGCAGCAACGUCCUUAAACCCCUCUUUCAACUUAACUUCAUGGUGCUUUUCUUCCUCAAGCGAACUCACCAAUCUGUCCAGAAAUCUACAAUUCGGAGAAACAAAGGAGUUAUUAAAGUAUGUUCUCCUUUGUAUAUAGGAAAUAGAAAGUAGACUGGCAACUCUCCAACUUCCUAUAGUGAAAGUGACGAAUUUCAUACACUUUGAAAAACUGAAUAGAAAUUGCAAUGAACAGACCAUCAAUCUGAAAGAAUAUCUGAAAGCACCUUUUGGAGUUCGAUAUCAUGAUAAAGUCUCGAGUUUUCCUGUUUGUCAGCAGAGAAAUGGCCAGUGAAACGUCUGAAACCAUUGUCUCGAUGGCAUCAGCCGCAAACUGCUGUAGAACAAAGGGAGCAACUGACUGGACUUGAUGCUGCAGAGAUAAUGUAUCUUGAUUCCUCAACUCUGCUAAUCGCUGAUGGAGAAAGGCUUUGAUCUGAUGAAAGUACCAAAUCAGGCAAGAACAAGAGAUGUUGUCCAAAACAAUGUCAGUACAAUCUUUGCAAAAUACAAUACAUGUGGGAGGUGACCAUGAGAUGAACCAUAAAUUGGGAAAGAACAAUUAAACGGCGCAACAAACUAAACACUAUCUCAUAAAGAUCAUCGAGAAUCUUAUUUCUAUACUCUGUAUCUAGAAGCUGGCUUCGACCUUCCUUUGUUUCUGUAGCUUGUGCAAUAGUUGGUGAAUUAACUGCACCUACAUUGGGCAAGCUAACAUCAUCACUGACAUCAACUUGAGGUGUUUCAACAUUAACAUCCCAAGAUAUCUCUGACACUGAUGUGUCCUGUCCAGCAUUGCUCGGUUGAAUUUGAUUAUGCUUGACAGCUUCAUUGACCUCACUUGCUGUGACGAUUUCAUAAGUACCAAAGCCAUUACUGCCGUCAUCAGUUUCUUCCACAGUCCCAAUAUCCCAAUCAAUUGCAGCAUUGUCUACCGAGACAUCCCAGUCAAUAUUAUCUGCAGCAGCAUCCACAUCACCUCCUAUCUCAUUGAAGCCUGAUUGAGUAUUUGCAGAGUCUGUGAUAUCAGAGAGCAGAAACAUUCAAAGAUGGUGGAUUUUCACGAAUGUCUAUCAAGUUUGGUACAACACUCUUAGGACAUAUCAGCAAACAUGUCUCAAUAAAUUAAUCUUUACAAUCAGACCGAAAACCAAUAAAUGGAUCUUAAGUAAUUUCUAAUUUACUGCCUUACAUCCUUCUCUGUGUGAGCAUCUUUCACAAAAUUUGAGUAAUACUCAAUAGCUCGAGACACUGAGUCGCUGUUGAUCACUUCCAGAAUUCUGCUAAAUGUGCUCGGAAGUGAUUUUGCAGUUUCCAAAAGUUCAAACCUCACAUUUGUUCCCUGAAAAGCAGACAUGGAUGCCCUUUAACCCUAUCUAAAGGAAAGGUUGCUAUUCUUUAGCUUGGUAGAAGCACACACCCAAUAUCUUAAUAGACUAGAUUCAAAAGUUUAACCUGCAAACCAAGCUCUUGACAAGCCUCCACAUAUUUAGCUGCUGACAGAGCUGCAUUUCUUUUGAUAUCAACUUCUCUACGCUCUAGCUCUGCUAGUUGCUGCUGAAUCUUCAGAACUUGUUUCCUCUGAUAGGGGCUUCACAUCAUAUUAAUUAUCAAUGAUAUGAUUAUGCCUAUCACAGAAAAACAUAUUGCAAUGUACUCUACACAUCCUAUCCUCUCGGAAAAACAUAUCAUAAUUGACAUUUUGGAUCAUUAUCUGAGCAGCUUCGCCUAAAAAUAUAUGAUCUUUCUCGAAAGAACAAACAAUUGUCUCCAAGCACCCUGCCAAAAUUAUAAAUUAUAAAUCCAAUGCGAGAAUUAUCCUUUAGAUCACAGAAGAGUGUGUGUGUGUGAGAGAGAGAGAGAGAGAGAGAGAGAGAGGUCUUACAGCGGCACCUGUUAGCCAGCCAGAUCGGCGCGGGCGCCCGCCGACUCGAGCCCGGUGGCGCUCCCGCCGGCCGUCGCAGACGACGAACGACGGCGAUGGUGAGCGAGCCGUCACCCAGAUCAGCCGACAACCACCCAUAGCUGCGAGUGAAGGGAACUCACCUUGAACGAGCAGCUUCAACGAUGAAGAAGCAGCAGUCGCCGUCGGUCGCAGUUCUUGAGGAGAGAAUGACUUUUGUGACGUAAGAAGAAAAAGAAAGGGUUUGAGCAGAGGAGAGGAGAGGAGGGAACGUAUGGAGAGAACGUCGAGCAAACGAGAGGAGAGUUCCACUUUUUUUUUUUUUUUUUUUUUAUAUUUAUUUUUUAUUUAUUUUCGGAAUAAGAAUCAAUUUUUUUUUUUAUUCUUGAUUUUACUCAAAAUUUAUUUCCAGGAGAAAAAACUUUAUCAAGCGCGAUUCUGUUCCCAAACUAAUCCUAGGAACAAAAAAUCAAAAUCAGGUACUGUUUAGAUGAUUAUCAAAUAGUGCCUUGAUAGUUAAUACUCGCAAGGUUGAUUCACUAGCUGUCUACAUGGACUUUGAUUCAAUUUCUCCGGAGCUCAAGAUAAGUCCAAGUUUUGAGCCAAGCUCGAAUCUACAAGUAUUAAGUCGAUGUAUUGACAUUCAAUUUAUUUCCUUUGUUGCUUAACUAGUGCCUAAGUAUUUGUUUGAAAUUGACAAAGUAGUACUUUUUUUUUCUUAAUUUACCUCUCUACUUUUAUAUUCGUUUUCAUCUGACGAUCUCCAAAAAAAUUGAAAAAAUAGCAUUUCCAACACUACGUUACCGUCUGGCCAGAAAAAGAAAAUGGAUAAUUAUGUACACCAAAGGAAAAUUAGGAUCCGUAAGGUAAUUUACUAACAAACUGAAAAUAGACAAACCAUACGACCCAUGGCAAAGUCACCGUCAUUAGACAGGAUUCGGUCCCAUCUUCCCUUCUCAUCUGGUCACUGUCGAUCAUUCGACUAAUUCUUGCCAUUCUUUAGGUGGCUUUGGGUUGUCCCCAAGCAUUUUGCUAGCGAGCCGAACUCGAGUCAAGAAAACAAUACUCGAUCAAGUAAGUUUCGAUUUUUGAGUGCCACGAUCCGAGCCGAAGACACGCAUUUGUGCACAUUUUCUGUGGCAAGUUUCGCCAUUACGAGCGAGACAGAUAAUGACAUUCGGGGACGAGUCCCACAUAAGAAAGUAAAUGGUCGCGGCGAAAGGAAAAGAUACCGAAGUCAGAAAAGCAUAUUGUACACGUUGCACGGGCUAGUUAGCUUCAAACUUCAGACUUGCGAACACUGCAGGGCCAUCCUACCUAGCUUUGCAGCAUAGGACCCAAAACCUAGAUAUGUAAGAAAUAUUGAUACUAAAUAUAUAUAUAUUAUAUGCAAAAUAUAUAUUAUGGAGUAGAAAGAAAUUCAAUAUAUAUUGUUAUUUUAAAAUUUUCAUUUUAUAUUAGAAUACGAAUAUUAUUUAUAUUUAUUUUUCAUUAAUUUAAGAAGUUUGCUAUUUGAGAAAAAUAGCUUUUAUACCAUAAUAAUAAGAAAUUCUAUCCACCUUUCUUGUACUUUCUAUAGGAAAAUUUCAUCUAGACUAUGUUUCUAUAUAUCCAGCUUUAUUCUAUCUUGACAUACUAAAUAUGAUACAUUACACUAUCCUAUCUUGAUUUUUUAAUUAGGCUCAUUCAAUUAUUGGUCAAUUGUAAGAUCGAGUAUUCAGAACUAACUUUUCUACCAAGUGCAAUGGCCAUCUGAUUCUCGGGGUAGCUUCUACUGUAUAUAGCCCAGACUCAAGUCUCUCUUCGCUUGGAGCGAAAAAGGUGUACGUCCUCUGGCUUGGCCACAGCGGAUGAUGGAUACCUUGGCCACAGGAUCAUAUUCAUUAUUCAGGCAUCAGUGCACCUACUAAAGCAUGCUCAGCCACUUCCAAAAUUCUCAUCCUACGGUCAACAGCCAUAGCUACAUUACACCGGACGUAUAUACCAUGCAUGAUAAGCAACCAACUUCUUCUUUUCAGAUGAGACAACGGCAUUUUUCUUCUCUGGUCGGCCAUGAUUCUCUCCAGAACAUUGGAUAUCUCACGUUUAGCCACGUCUCCAGUUCACAUGUGCUCUGACGUUUAGCCACGUCUCCAGACGAAGCAUCUAAGCUACCCAGAGGCUGCCACCUCCAACUUCCUGGGAUCGUAGAUGAUAUCCAAACAGGAGUCUCCAGGUGGGCAUCCCUACCCGAGUCAACCUGAUGAGGAACUUCCAAGUAUCAUUGACUAUCCACAAACAUACGUACCUGUAUAUUAUGAAAACCAUAUACAAUAUGAAGCAUAAAAAGAAAGACGGUCUUGUAUGGCAUCUGCCAUAUAAGAGAAGAUAAAUAUGACUUAAAAGCAGCAAACAUGCAAUAUGACUUUGCCAUCACCUGUCUUCCUUGAUCAUUAUCACUACAUAUCUUUGGAGCAAAAAUAUCUGGUAUUGGAUGUCGAAACCUUAUUCUCAUUAGAUGAAGAAGACCCAUCCCAAAUAAGUUAUAGUCAACCUGCCAUUAAUUAACCUCAAGUGCAUCAAGAAACACACAUAUGAAAGAUAGCAAGUCUGGGCAUGAGGGCAUUAAUGACCCAUCCUUGCAAACUCACCCACUAUAGAACCAGAGAAAGGCAAAUUUGGCUAAGAUAGAAAGAUAAACUGAUGUCGCAAGAUAAUACCAGAAACUGAAGCAGAUAGGGAAUAUGCGAUUCAUGCCACAGCAAACUUCUGUCAAAUACUGCCCCUCCCUGGAAAAUGAUGUUGGACCAUGAAUAAAAAGAAAUAGACAAACAAGAUGACUAUAGGCACAUGUAUUGCAUGACACCUUUUUUUUUUUGUCAAAACUAAUAUAUUGAUUACAAGCUUUUCUUACAAGAAAACCUUCCUCAUAGAAGAUAACCUUUUGGAACAAAUCCAAAUACCAUCCCAACUUUCAUGCACAUACCAAUUUUCAUCCCCUACUUUUAAAACCACCAAUUCAAGAGUGUUGUUAAUAUUGAGAUGGGGGAGGGGGAGGGGAGGGGAGAGAGAGAGAGAGAGAGAGACUGGUAAUAGAGGUUUAAGACAGCUAGAGCGCAGCCAAAGAUGGCAACUGGUGGCUGUGAAGCCUUUGAGUGGUGUGAUUGGUGGAGAUGAUUAGGUUUGGGUUUAGAAUUUGGAAAUAAUUUUGGGAUAAUAUUUUCUAAAGUUUGUUAAAGGAAGGGCAAUUUGGUCUUUGGACUAUGCAGUUUGGGCCUAAGAUGCAAUUUGCAAAUUUCAAAAUUCGAGCAUGUAAAGCGAUUUUUGCAUGAAAUCUUAGCGUGGUAUUCAGAGGUUUGCCUUUUUUUACCAAAACUAAUAUCUCCAUUUACAAGGUUUUCUUUUGAGAAAACUUCCCUGCAUCUCAGAAAAUGUUCAACAGAACAUACUCCAAUGGCCACAUUUAAUGACUAGUGGACUUCCACUGAUACAUUUAUAUUACUCUGUCGAAGAACAAAAUAUAUGCUAAUUUUCUCAGGCCUCUCAAUAAAUCAAAACUUAAUUGCCAAAUUUUGGCCCAUAUAUUUCUGGGAUGCCCCAAAUAAAAUAUGAAUAGCAAAUGCUUUCUUUUUACGAUAAAACAAAAAUUUAGUUAUCAGGCAUGCGCACUCCAGAUCAAAACAAUGAAUACACUUGAAGGCAUGCAAUUGAAGAAGCCAAAGAUGACAAGUACCAAAUCUAGAGCAGAAUGGUGAAAACUCUUUAGUAUUCCAAAGCAAUACCAAUUCCAAUAAGGCACUAUUGAUAGAGAAAGAAGAAUACCAAAAGAAGCUUGGCAGCACGUGAGACAUCAUGUGGAUGAUAGCUAAAGCAUCAGUCAAGGUGCCACAAAGAUGUUGCUAUGGAAUAUUCAGGCAGAAAAAUAUAGAUACACAAGCUGUCAUUUAUGGAUACAGGUAUAUCUUGACAAACAGCUCUUCAGAUGCAUGAUAACCAUAAAAUCUCCUUGCUCGUACAAGGCUGCAACCAUGCACGUGUUGCCAUUUUACGCCAGCAUUGCCUUUGAGCUGCAGUAACUCACAAAACAAUCCUUUCAGAUACAAACUAGCAAGUGAAUCGCACAAUAAGUUAAAGCCAGGACUUAAUAUUUUCGAAGAAUGACAAAUUAUACCUUCAAGGCUUUCUCCAUGGCUAGAGAGAGCAUUUGUAAAUGCAUCCCCUGUGCAAUUCAACAGUGACCAAUUAAUUCCACGCUAGUAGCAGAACAGUAAGAGACUAGUUUAAAAAGGGACAUGAAUUCGAAAUAUAUGAAAGCACGAAUAUAUCAAACAAAUUGAGAUAAAGUCUACAGCAACAUUAUAAUACGAGGACAUUGACAAAAACUGGUCAAGUAAAACCACAGCCACGUUGCCAAAAGAACAUAUCACCCUGAAAACACACAAGCUACAUGCUAGAGGUAUUGUGAACUGAGAGAAACGUUGAUUAAUUUCUUCAAACCAGGAUAUGCUCAAAGCAGCCUAUGCAUCUGUAACACGCACAAGUACCUUCAGACGUUGGAUGGAUAGGAAUAUCUGUACAUGGUACAUACAAAUAGGGUAAAGCCUACAAGAAAAAAAAAACAUAAUUUAGAACCAGUACGAAAAAAAUGUAAAAGAUAUUGCUGUCUCAUAAACUAUGCCAUGGACAAGCAUCAUGUACUUUUCACAAUAGAUUGCUUGGCGCCACGUAAGCAGAAAGGGGAAGAAACUUUCUGCAUUCUGAAAUUGCCUUUUAUCUUGUAGCAUAUACCUCAACUCAAUUCUGUCAACCCAUGCUGGUUUAAAUUCUUCAUCGGCAGAAAGGAAGUUACUUUCAUUGCUCCACAGCUCAAGGGAGGUAAAGCAAGUACUUGGAACAAUUAAAAAACUACAAAUAAACAAGGACUACACUCACCUUAUGCACAUGUAAGCAAGUUUUUUGAUCAGCAGGAGUUGAACCAUAUGCUCUUAUUACAGGAACCUCAUUCACUUUUUCACCUUCAUCAAUCAAUCAUGAACAAGAUUAUGAACAUACAAAAGUAAAUACUUGUAGCUAAAUUUCUAGCUACUGUAUAGUAAAUGUAACUGUUAUUUUUGCAGGUUAAAGGUCAAAUCCUCACACAGAAUUUUAAAGAUUGACAUGGGACCACGCCACAUGAAAACUGUAAGCGCACCUUCUUCUCUUUGCAUCAGCAACAAAAAAGCGAAUUUCAAAUAUGUCAUCAUCAAGACAACUACACUCUCCAAACGAAAAGUAAUCAUCAGUCUACGGAAGAAGACGAUGAGAUGAACAAUGCCCACCAAAUAUUAAGAAAAAUAUUCAAUACUCUCUGGAUUUUCUAAGCAACCAAACCAAUCAUGUAAUAAAUUAUCAAGACACCAAUGUGCUGAUUCCAUGACUGUGCUACAAUUUUAAUCAAUCCUUGCAUAUAUCCAUGCCAGGCAAUUACUUAACAUCAAUCCAGCAGCCCCAACAAGAAGUCCGAAUAAGAAAUCCACGGACAAACUGAUAAGUUCUUCAUAACAGAACACUAAGCCAAGCAUAUUCCUUGCACUCAUAAGAAAGCAAACAAACUUUUGUCUGCAAUGCAGUAACUGAUCAAGUCCUACUCUAGCAAACAAAAUUAACAGCUUCCAGAUUCAAAACACAGGCUUCUCUGGCAUUUCCUACUUACCACUAGAUUCCAUAACCAAAGAAGCGAAUACAAAAAAUUAUGCUUCAAAAGAUGAGAGCAGACUCUCAUUCUUUUUUUACCAAAGACACUUUACGUACAUUUUAUUACGAUAAAAACAUAGAAUAACUUCAAAAGCAUCGCUGUUCCUAGGAGAAGACAACAUCAAGACCCGUUCUAAGACCCCAAUUCAGCCACAGCUCCAGGAAGCAGCAAGACCCAACAACAUUACUGCGUGGCAACUACCUAUUACCAUCACGGGCACAGUAAAACGAGUCUUUCCAUCUGUUUUCGUGCUUCCCCUAAUGCCCAAAUUCCCACAGUCUCAUUCUUUUUUACUAAAGACACGUUAGAUACAAAUUAUUACUAUGAAAACAUAGAAUAACUUCAAAAGCACCGCUGUUCCUAGGAGAAGACAACGUCAAGACCCAUUCUAAGACUCCAAUUCAGCCACAGCUCCAUGAAACGGCGAGACCCAACAACGUUCCCACGCCGCGGCUACCUAUAACCGUCGCGGGCACAGUAAAAAAACGAGUCUUUUCCAUCUGUUUUCCUUCUUCCCCUCUAGGAGAAGACAAUAUCAAGACCAAUUCUAAGAGACCAAUUUAGCCGCAGCUCCAUGAAACAGCGAGACCCAACAACGUUCCAGCGCCGCAACUAUCCAUAACCGUUACGGCCACAGUUAAAAAAACGAGUCUUUUCCAUUCGUUUUCAUGUUUCCCCUACUGCCCAUAUUCCCCACCGUCCGAACCGCUCGUACCUUGAAAGCUGCUGUAACAAACAUCGACGCCCGGGAUCGGGCGCGCCAUGUGGUAGUCGAUGGACACGAUCCGGACGCUGAAAAUCGCGGGGUCCUUCUCCGGGCCCAACGCCGCUGUACUGGGCUGCGAACCUUCUUCUCCCGUCGGGACCGGCGGCUCCUCCAUCUGCGGAAACCUUCCCACGACCCUCGCUGGGGAAAAGCGCCGGAACCCAGUGCGCGCUUAGCCCGAAAGUCGAUAGCCUGCGAGAGCUCGGAGGCGCUGGCCGAUGGUAACCGACCGCGCGAAAGUCAAGAGCGUCUUCUCCAAGCUCUUUCCAUUUUCCCCCCUCUCGCUUGUUCUCGUGCAGUGCGGUAACGGAACCCCGGAACAGGAAAAUGGACCGAGAAAACUCUUUUUUGGGCCGAUGAAUUAUUAUAAGUUACCUCGGAACGGUUAUUUUACUACUGUCAAAUAUAAUGAUAGAUUCCGACCAAAAAAAAAAAUUAAUGAUGGAUUCGGCCAAAAAAUAAUUUAAUAAUAGAUUAAAAAUCGGCUUUAAUCUAUCUUAUUAAUUGGUUUUAUAUACUAAGUAAAUGCUAACAACAAUGUUAAAUUAGAGAUAUUAGCUAUUAAUAACUCGGCAAUCAAAUUAUAAUUUUAUAACUUUCAAAUAGAUUAAAGAAAUAAGAGUAUUGAAAAUAUUAAAACUUUCAAAAAAUGCAAUCAAAUUAGAAAAUUUAUUAUAAAUAUACAAUUGAGUUUUAAAAUUUUUAAAAAAUACAAUUAAGUUUUAGAAUGGAUUAAUUUUAAUAUGAAUUAAGAUUUGUGUAUCAGUCGAAUCAAAACUAGUUUGUAACUUAAUUAAAGAAAUAUUUGUGUAUCGCUUGAAUUAGGAUAUGUAACUUCAUAAAAGAAUUAAUGACUUUAACAUGUUGACAACUUGUACAACUAAAUAUUUAUAAAUUAUUAAAAUGAACAAUAAUUUUGGAACAAUCAAGCAAACCCCAGUAUUUUUUUAUGAAGGUUUGGGUACAAACAUGUCACAAGCCAAAUACGUCACUGAUCCUCUUUUUUUAACAAACUGUUACUAAACAAUAUUUUUGAACUUACUGAUACGGAACAAUAGAACAAUCCUGGUCAGUGGUAUGCUCCCGAAUUACAGACCUUCAAGAGGUUUGUUCAACAACAAUAGUCAUCGAAUUCAAAUGAUCUGUCCACCCAUAGCUACAUCUACAAGCCCAGCUGAAAGUUUAUCAACACCUCAAACAAUUCGCUAAAACAUUAGCCGAUCCACACACAAAUUACUCCGUAAAUAUAUUAGUCAGUUCACGCAUAAAUAAAUCAUAUGCUCCAUUCCUUUCCAAAAGGCUAAAAAUAUAUGUACGUUGAUCACUAAUCAUACAAUAGCCACCACCCUUUUUCCUUUUGGACACUAUAUUUACAAUGAAAUGCAUAUUACAAAUGCAUUAUACAAGGUUCUAUCCACAAAGUGAUGGGAAAACAAGCUUAAUCGAUGCUUGGAGUUGCCCCAAGAAUGCAAAGAAAUAGAUGCGGCUUGGCGGAAUUGAAGAUUCACACACAUGGAGAAAUAGGUUCAAUUCCAGUCCCGUGCUUCAAGCUGCCAUCACCAUUCAUUUCAUCUUAUUAAAGCAGCCAUAACGUUGCCUAACUAUUUCAUUUAGGCCAAUCCCGCCUGUCUCUCCCACCUAAGGUCUUCGGAGAAUUUGGAGAGUGCAGCCCUCGGGUCACCAUCAGAGAUAGACAAGUAGUACUGAGCAGUCCCAUCAUCAACCUGCAUGCUCCUCCUAAGCGAGUCAAGUAUUCUCUUCUUCCCUCGUUCAGAGGUUGUCCUCUUUAGCAAAGAACUUAUCUCUAUGUCCCGGACGCCUUCUGGGUAAAGCACGGCGACUUCCCUCCUUGCAUGGUUAUCUCGCUCUAUGUAGCAUGUGGAAUCGAUAAGAAUGUCAGGGUUGCUUAUGGGGAUUAACAAUCCCUCCAAUAUAUACCAUGAUCACUCAUCAUGUUGUUCAAGCGCUUUAUGUCCAUGACCUGACAGCACAAAAGAAAUUCUUGAAGCAUGUGACAUGCGGUGUAGACAGGCACAAAAAGGAUAUGCUUGACAGAAACAUUGAAGCAGGGAAGAAAAAAUUUUCAGGGAAGCCAUUCUAAAAGUAAGACUCUGCCAACUGUUAUCAAAACAUUGAACCCAGAGAGAUCUAACUACAUGACAUCAUUAUUGACACUUCAGGGUUAUUAUGACUACAACCAUGGAAAAUUUCCAUAUAAAGACAUAUUCAUUUCCUAGUUGCACAAACAAUUUAAGUUCUGCUCUCAGAAUUUGAGGUUCACGUUCAACCAUUUCGAUGAAUCAAUACCACCACUGCAGAAUCAUCUACUAUUUCUACGUCAAUGUUAUUAAGUCAGAGAAACUAUCAUGAGGAUCACAAAGUGCAUUGCCCAUCAUUUCACACUGAUUACUUGCAAAAUCUGAGCAUCAUUUAGCCUCAUGUGUUCUGGCAACUAAGAGAUUGUGAUUAUCUAUUAAGAUAAUCAAUAUAUAGUCGUCAAUCAAGCAUAUCUUUUUGCUAUUAGUAACCGGAGAUGCUUCUCGCUUGGCAAACUUAAGACAACUUUACCACAUGAAGAGAUUUCAUAAUGUUUUACAUGAAGAGGACCCUAUGCUCCCUAAAACAUAACAUUUUGGUCCAAGCCCCAACCUUCCUCCAUACCUCCAGAAGAAACCACGACAGUGACUUCCAAGUGUAACCGUUUCCUUUUCCUUCUUUAUAUUUUAGGCUUCACUAAAAGAUGAAGUCACUCCAAAAUUACAAAAUUCGUAUGUCAAUUAGUCUGGCCUUCUCCAAUGGGAAUAAAUCUAUAAGAUUUGCAGUAGUAAAUUCCAUUGAGCAUCUAUCCUACCACCUAUUUGAUACAAUAUAGAGCCACAGCGUAAAAUUAUAACUAACCCCACUCAAUGGGGAUAAAUCUGUCAUUAACAUUGAAGUCAUUCAACCGCCAGCCUGCACAAAGAAGCUAUGAACAUCAUCAAAUGACAUGUACACUGUGUAGCAUCUUGUCAACAUUUUUCUUCUCCUAGUAAAUUCCCCAAGCUAACCUUUAUCAAAGAGGCCAGAACCCAAUUGAAUGGAGGUAUAAAAGAGCCAUGCCUGAAAUUGAACAAAACUAUGUACUUAGACAAUCCUGCACCAAUCAACAAAGCUAUCCAACUUUGGCUGUUAUAAUGGAGGAAUGACAGAAUGCUUCUUCAAGGAGAAAAGCCUCUGCAAAGACCUGAUAAUUGUCGCUAGCUGUACAGCAUUUCUCAAUCAACAAGUCCUCAGCAUUCUUCGGGAUUCACCAUUUUAGCAAUCAAACUCAGGAUCACAAAUUCGUACAUUAUGAAAAGCACCUAACCCAUCCCCACCCAUCCUCUCAGCGCCAAUGAAUAACCAAAUAGACAAUCUAUGCUGGAGAAGAAAACCAACCAGAAAUUCCAUGAAAAUUCACAAUAAGGCUCCCAGCUUCCGUCCACUUCACUCAAACGGACCCACCCACGUCUAACCCUGGCUACACAUGACCACAUGCAGAACAAACGUACACGACUUCCAAAACAUCAGAAGGAUACUACCAAGAAACCUUCUUCGUAAAGUUUCAAAAGCUAUAGCCGUACACACCACUUUAGCUAACUUUUAAAUGAAAUCGCAAUCCAUUUGUUCUUCAGAAUCAGCUGAAAGUGAAUCUCCAUCGAAAAUGCAGCGCCAAAGCAUGUCAUUUGCAAACGUUUAAAGUAUACUGCGGGAGGAAAUAAUUUCGCCACCGACAUAAUUCACAGUUUUGCUCACAAUCAAUACAGCAAAAGGGACAGAAACUCCAUUACCUGAACGGAGUACUUCACGGCGCGGCUCGCGACGCUAUCGCCGCGCUUAAUCUGGUGCGAGAUUGCGAACUUCCCCACGCCGUUAUCCCUCCAGAAGCUGCCCGAGCUCGGGACGCCGACCACCUCCUUCAACCUCCAGGGGACCGCGAAGGCUCAGGUGACCAUAUCGCGAUCGGAGGCGACGGAGCUCCAGAUGCGGCAGACGCAGCUCGCGCGGGCCAGGUUCGGGACAGGGAGCUUCUCGAAGAUGAGCCGGAGGGUGUCGGGGCAGGCGAGGGCGGAGAAGUGGGAGUUCAUCGGCGAGAUGGUGGAAUCGUCGGCAGCGGAGGCGGAGGAGGAAGCGGCGGCGGCGGCGGCGGCGGCGGCGGUGGAGGACGGCGGCGGAAAGAGAUCGGGGGUCCGGGGUGGAGGCUCCCGGUCGUCGUCGUCGCCGCAGCAGCCCAUUCAGAAAGAGAGAGAUGGGAAUGUCAAUGCAAUCGGUUUUGGAUGGUUUUGGAUUUUGGUUUUGAACGGUGGAUGGUAGGUGCCUGAAAUAUGGUUUAAUUACGGUUUUUUGCCCCGCAUUUUGUCAUUUAUUACAAAUUGCCCCUGACUUUUCGAUUUUUUGCGAUGUCAGACUGGUGUGACUUCCAUCAUUUUUCAGUUGGAGCACCGACCAUGUGCUUGUCACGUGACUGAGUUGAUCUUUCAUGGAAGGGAGAAAGGGCCCGUUUCGUUCAAUUUUGCGAACAUGAUUUUGAGAAAAUAAAGGGUUUUCCGAAAUGCUACCCCUUCUAAGCUACCCCUUCUAGUGAAUUGCAAUUUCAAAUAAUAACUUCAACAUAAACACUAGGCCAAUUUCAUAAAAAAACACAAACUUUAGAUAUUAUCUCAUAUCUGACCCGCGUUAACCAUCCUUUCAUAGUCACCGUUAGUGACAUUUUUAUGUUAGCAAUAAUGUCCAACACAUCAAGCUGACGUGGAUAUAAAGAUAAAACUAAACCUAGGCUUUCUCCUCUUCGUCUUUAAAGCACGAGAAAAUCUGCUCAUCAUGUCUCUCUAUUUGUUCAAAAAAAAAAAGUCUCUAUCUCUUUGACAUCUCCUGGCUAGAGUCACUGCCAAGUUUGACAUCCACACGUCCACCGCCGAUGCCCGUCCAGGCCAACACUGCACGUCCAAACCAGACAACCCCUCCGUCGUCCUUGUUGUUAGCUUCGUCUUUGCCGGAAGGAGUCUUCCAUCUCUAUCGUCUUUGUGGUCAUCUUACCUGUUUUUUGCUUGAGCAAAUGGCCAAAAAUCUGGAAAAAAAUAGAAGUCUCCAGAAAAAAAAAAUCUGGAGAAAAAUUUUGAGACAAGGAAGGGGCAAUGAGUGUCUUGGCUUGUCUUUUUAGCCAAAAAAAUCUGACAUUUAGAGGAGUUUACAGGGCAACGUGGGUCAAAAAUCAAAGACAAGCCAAAAGAUCUGACAUUUAGAGGAGUUUACAGAGCAACGUGGGUAAAAAAUUGGUGGGUCUCUUGGCUUGUCUUUUUGGCCAAACAUAGAAGACAUAGCUGCAAACAACUCGAGUUAUGCGGAAUUUGUGGAAGCUGGGUUAUGGGAAAUCCUGGGGGAAAAAGAAAAGGAAACCCAGAAACUUGAGUGCUAAAGGUUUUUUUAUGACAAAACUCACACCGGCAAUUGGGUUUUGCUAUUUUUAUUUUUUAUAAUCAAAUCCGGCAGCCGGCCGGUCGCCCUAUGACAAAUAAAAUAAGAAGGUGGUAAGAAGGUGACACAUAUCCUCGUGGGAUCCACGGACUGAUUGAGGAGAAAAUGAGGCUUUUGCUAUUUUUAUUUUUUAUAAUUAAAUCCGGCAGCCGGCCGGCCGCCCGGUGACAAAUAAAAUAAGAAGGGGGAUGGGGGAGGCGACACGUAUCCUGGGAAGAAUGGGACGGACUGAUUGAGGAGAAAAUGAGGCAUCAUUGCGCGUCUCCUUCGGGCCAAGAGGGGCAAGAGGUUCAAAGUAAAGCUUUAUUUAAGUCCCGAGUGCUCGUGACCCAGGAGUAGAAACGCCAAUCACCAUAAUCAAUUGAGACGCUGGUCUUUCGCUCUGAGAUAUCUGGCUUUGAUAGCUCUAGAUUGAGGCGUGGAGGUGGUCUCAGAAUUGUGCUGCUUUUGAGGCUCGGACACGACUUGAUGUGCUUUAAGGUAACUCCUUUUUAGACAUUAAAGCCCAUCCGAGUAAUUCUGUCUCUGCAUUACUUUUUCAGAUGAGCCGGAUAGUCUAUUACAUUUUGAUAGAAGAAAAUAAAAACAUUUGAUUAUUACUCAUUGCAUGACAUCUAACAUCCUUAAAAGCAUGCAUAAUAUAACAUGUGAAAUUCCAUUGACUUUUUCAAAAUCACGGUCGUCACAGUUUGCAGAUUUUUCUUACUACGUUCCCUUUAUUCAAAUUGAUUAGUAUGAGUGGUUGGACUAUGAGCGGUUGGACUGGUUAAACCUGGUGGAAUUUGAUAGUUCUUAGGACCCCUUUGGUUCAACUUUGGGGAAAUGCAAAGCCAUUUCCCCAAUUUUAUUUAGAAGAAUGGGCAUUUGGUGAAUGCUGAAGUGUUUGGGUACUAUUUCGGUAUUUGCAUUUUGCAAAGUAGCUUUAAGGUGAAAAAGAAAAAGGAAAAACAUAAAAGGAAAAAUGAGGAGGAGAUGUUGAAGCAGAGGGGAACAGUUGGGAGGCAGUCAGAGUUGCUGGGGGAGGCGGUUGGUGGCAGUGGUCGCGACCUAUGCACCGCCAACGCUUGGGUCGCUCGACCCCAGGCGGGCUCGAACCACGCGAUAGUAGUGCGUGGUGACGGCGAUGCAUGGGUGGCCAGAUUUGGCCGACUGAGCACCGCUCAGCCCAUCACGUGGGUCGCGCGACCCAGGCGGCGUCGCCUGAGGUCACGACCCACGCAAUAGUGAUGCAUGGCAACGGCAGUGCAUGGGCGACCAAAUUUGGCCGGCUGAGCUCCGCUAGCUGAGCUUCACUCUUGAAGCUUCAAGACCAACGAGGAAGACGAUGAACAAGACCAACAAGGAAGACGAUGAAUAGUAGUUUUUGAGGGUAAAACAGGAAAACGCAAUUAUCAGUGAAGGCAAUAUUGGAAGAAAAAAAUUCAUUAAACCCCCUCUUCAGCAUUUCGAAAAUGUUGAAUGCCUAAAGCAGAUCUUCACUUGUUUUGGGCUUUCAGCAUUCCACAUUAUUCCAAAUGCUAACAUUUGGCCAAUGACACUAAAAAAUGCUGAACCAAACGCUUAAAAAUUUUCCCAAGGGGCUUUCGGGGCUGAAAGCCUCUUGGAAAUGCUUAACCAAAUGAGGCCUUACUACAAUCUCUCUCUCAUAUUUGUCACUUUCUGAACCUUUUACAUCCGUCCUCUCUUGCAAAACAGUUCAACGCUAUCAUCUACGGUCCUCGCUCGCUCUCGUUGUUCAUUUCCCUCUUGAAAGUUACUCGCCGAGGCUUGUUUAGGGUCUUCUCUCUCCGACCUUGCACCUCCCUUCGCAUCUCAGCUCGCGGAAGGUAAUCAAUUUUUUUUUUUUUCAUGACCCAUGGAAACCCGUAAGCCAACAGCCGGCGGACAAACCCUGGGGCUGACGCAAGCUAACCACCACACUCACGCCAGCGGUUAAGUCACCCUGCGACGCGCUGGGGAUUCGAACCCCUCCCCUUCAUGAGGGGGAGGAGGCCCAAAGCCAGCUACGCCACCCAGAUGGGUGGUGAAGGUAAUCACUUUUUCAUCUCUUAUUAGCGUGUCAUUUUUGUUGAUUUUCUUGCGGCCGAACUAGUGUGUAACGUGUAUUGGGCUUUUUUUUGUCUAAUGUGGGUGGCUGCUAACGUGGUGUGUCACCAGCUCCAGCUCAUAAUCGACUUUUGUAGAAAAGGGAAGCCUUUGCUUUCGACUUUAGAUGUGACUAAUCAUGUGGCCUCUCUGUCUCAUUGUUCGUUUACAUCACAAUUCAUUGUCCAUCCUUUAUUAAGCUAGAAUGAGUUGGAAUGCCAGCACGAUAGAUUCUAUUGCGCGCAAAAUUGCCAGUAUUCACCUCAAACCAGGGACCGUCUUUUGAUGGGUUGUGAGGUUUAUUUGUCUAUGAAGGUCUAAGAUAAAUUAAAUAAAAAACGAAACAGAAAAGAAAAAGUAGUAGGCCGGUUUGCGGCCAAUUCUGGGAUCAAGGGGUUUGAAUUUCAAUUUCAAAAAUUGGAAACAGGCUUUGAUAGGGUAGGUUUCAAGUCUUGUUUCGGAAUCUACACACUCUAUAACCGAUCACCCAUAAAAGUAAUUAUUCUCUUAAUUGGAUUUUAUUCGACAAUUUUGCCUCCCAAUAGAACAUUCUAGACAAAUAAUAUGAUGUCUUCCUUGAAUUAUUGGACAAGAUAAUCCUAAAAGGUACCUUGCCUUCACCUCUAACUCAUUCUUCCUUCAGAGUUUUGAAAAUUGACGGAGUCAAUUAACUGAAAAAAGGGUAUAAAAAAAAAGUUGAGUGAGUUAAUAUGCCAAGGUUUGAGUAUUUUUAACUCUAUUGCUGCUUUUUUUGAACAAAACAUGAAAACUAUAUUGCUACUUUCUACCUGCUCUCAACUCAUGAUAGUUUCAAUCAUCACAAUACAAACAUACCAAAUCCAUAUAUGAUGACUUCUUUCACUUUGCAUCUCUCUAAAAUUGCAGUCAUGGUGAUUUACUUAAUCAUAGGGACUCCCAAAUACAUGAAUUCUUUUAAAAUAGAAUAGAAGUAGAUAAUUGAGGGCUUGUUAUUCAACAGCAUAAUACGACUUAUAUACCCAUGUCAAUCAAUAUCCAUAUUCACAUAUAUCUAUCUAUGAUAUUUUCUUUAACUUCAUACCUUUUACAUGGUAUUCAAUACGAAGAAAAAUAUCUUAUGACACACACGUGAAAAUGAUCACAUAAAUUGAGCCAUACGCGCAUAUUAAGAGAUUCACCUAAUUUUAUAACACAUUUCUUACACUUCUUAUUACAAACAAUAAAUUCGUUCUUCAAAAUGUGAUUAAUCAAUUUAACCUGGUUUAUCAGGAAUUUAGUCAAUAAUCCUAUUCUUCUUCCAUUUAGUUGAAGAAAAAAAGCUUUGCGGUGAUAUUUUCAAGGUGGGCCCUCCAACAAAAAUGGGGACAAGCACUCAACGUCAUUGUUUCAAACCUUGGUCGUCUCUUAAUUUUCUUCAGCAGCUUCCUUUUACUUGCUUUCUUCUCUUCUUCUCCUGCUUCCACCGAAUCCGUACAAUUUUGUGUCAUUUCUAAUCUGUCAGACUCACGUGGAGAAGGGGCAAAGUCAGAGCAAGGCAAACAAAGGGCUGCACCGUUUCGUUUCAGAUCGGUUCCUUUGCGGUGCUUCUUGCGUCUCUAUGCUUGUAUUCAAACAUCUCACUAAGAAGAGAAAGACUGCAUAAAAAAGAGUGCACUGAGGGAAUCUGCUCCUCCGUUUGAUGCUAUCUAACAAAUUUAUAGCUUUAGUUCUACAGAUAAGAUAUCAUUCAAUGUUUAAGAUUUGAAGAUUUAAAAUGAAAGGCUCAGUGAUGAUAUACCGGUUCAAAAUAAAGUAUUUAUACAUGGAAUUAUAGCAUGUGGUAUUGGCGUGUAAUGAGUAAAAGAUAAAUAACCAUGAGCAUUUGUUUAUCCCUACCUCACAUUUCCAACUUCAUUAAAUAUAUGACAAUUUUAAACAUAAUUUAAAUAUAAAAUCACAUCCAUAAUUACUAGCUCGGUCCUUUCUUGACCUCUUUCACGCAUAUCUAAUUCUGUUUCACAUUAAUUAUUAACAUUUAAAUGAUUUAUCAAAUUCUGAUUUUCUAUAACCCAAUAAAAACCAAACGUAUGAUUAUGUCUUUAGUCGAAUGCAAUAUACUUGUACACAGAUUCCAGUUAUUUAUAGCCUAAUUAAAAAAUUAAUGUACACGUUGUUCGUGAUUGGAUCAAGCCAACGAGGUUGACUUGACUAGAGGAUGAGGUCCAAAAGAGGAUAUUUAAAAGCAUAGAUAUUUUUAAAAAAAAUUAUCACACUAAAGGCCCUAAAAUUAACAUACAAGUUAAUUGAAAAAAAUUUGGACCCGCGUUUUCAGGGAAAUACUAUUAGAAAAGCCCUACUCAAUAUCUUCUUUAAUUUCUAUGCACUUUUAGAAAGAAAUAAAAUGUCGGCCCAAAAGGAAAUAUUUCCCCUCAAUUUAAAAUCAUUUUCAUCAACUUCCUUCAUAAUUUAAACAGCCAAACAGAUGAAAUUUUUUCCUCAAUUAAUAUUUUAGUUUUAGUUAAUUUUACAUAUGAGCAAUGCCUAAAACUUGAAUCCAGCUAAUUAAAUCAUCAUUGAUGGAAAUUUUCUCAAAUUAGGAAAGUGCACGCAUCUGGAGAAUGAUGUCCACUGGGCAACAAUUACAUGACACCACAUUAGUUUGGCCAACCGAUAUGGGGUUAGUAGAAAGGGUUGGGAAAAUGAGGUGGUGAAGAUAAUGAGGUUUGUUUGUAUAUUAGGCUAAAAAUAAUAAGAGUAAGAUCAAAGGCUAUUAUAAGGAUAAGAUGUCGUGGGAGUUUAUAUUUGGUGGAAGAUGGUUCCAGGGUAUCUCCUACAUAAUUUCAAUGUUUUAGGUGUGAACUAAAAGAAUCUGUCUUGAAAUAUCGUAGACAAAGUUAUGUCGUUAUACCAUGUGUUUUGAGGAAGUCGAUUAGGCGUGGUAGCUAGGAGCACUGGCAUUCGACUUUUUUGUUUAAUUACUUCUUUCAAUGUGAAUUGGCUUUCUGAACAAGUAAAUGAAGGGGCUCUUUGGGGGCCCUUUUUAGGGGCCAUCACCUAAUCUUCUGCAGUCAAGCCACGUUGGUCACCCAAACUGAAGGCCGUGUCCUCUCUCUCUCUCUCUCUCUCUCUCUCUCUCUCAGGAGCACGAACUUCUUUCAGCAUUUCCCUCUCAGAUCGCCAUGGACAAAGGGCAAAGUCAGAAGAGAGCACCGAGGGAGCAUCCAGUUCUUCGUUCAUCUCUCCAAAGCUCACAGGACAAGGUGACGAUGCAUACGAUGUAUUCUUGAGCUUUAGAGGCUCAGAUACACGUAAGGAAUUCACCGACCACCUCUACAAUAGACUGGUCAAUACAGGGACUGCAUAUUUUUGUGUUCAAGGAUGAUAAGAGCAUCCCAAUUGGUGAGAAUUUUAGUUCACAAAUUCUUGGUGCCAUCUCACGAUCUAAGAUUUCAAUCCCCAUCAUCUCCGAAAAUUAUGCUACUAGCAAAUGGUGCCUUCGUGAGCUCAUCCAUAUGAUGGACUGCAAGAAUAGUGGGUCACACAUAGUGUUGCCAAUUUUUUACAAAGUUAAACCAUCAGAUGUGCGGCAUCUAAAAGGAAAUUUUGGGGAUGUCUUCCGUUCGAGUCAAAAGGAUUUUGAUGAGAAGAUUAUCCAUGAAGGGCCGCGAGCACUUAAAGAAGUGAGUGACUUACAGGUGUGGGAGUCCGAGAAAUUUGCUAACGGGUACGUCAUAGAACUUUUCUUCCUCUUUUUUUUUUUGGUUGGGAAACUUUUCCUUUUUCUUUGAUAAGUCCUCUUCACGCAAAACCAAUGAAAUGCAGAUGUAUUACUUGCAUUGCAAGCUCAGAAAAGAUCCCCAAAAUGUCCCCGUAAACAACCCUAAUGGGUCGAAGACUAGCAAACACUAGUACUUCCCAGGAUCUCGUGAAAACUAAACGAACGACAACUUAAACCAAAGAUCCCGUAGUGCCCAAGAAUUUUACAUUUGUCUCCAACACAAAGCCAAAAAACGAAAGAAACAACCCCUUCAGCCAAUAGUAUGCCCAUAAUGGACCCCAAUGCUGGGUCUUGAUCGCUACCAGAUAAAUUAGACCUCAUUAUGCCAACGGGUUGGCUCGGCUGAGAAGGGUUGGAAAAUUCCCAUUUACCAUGUUUAGGCUUGAUUUCCAAUGCCAGUAACCCUCAUUGGUAGGCAAUCUUGGGAUAGCCUCCUCUCCUCCUAGAAUUUUUUAACCAAAAAAUAAAAUAAAAAAUGGACCUAUCUUUGAACGGGCAACAACCUCAAUCGUUAUAAUGAACAUUAUAGUUUGAAAGACUCUUCUUGAGCCAUGUACACCACCUUAUUUUAUUUCAGCAAGAUCCAUCUAUUGGCAUAAAAGGAUAGGGUAAAAAAAAUUGGAAUGACCGCUACUCCAUCUUCCCCCGUUGUUAUGCGUAAAUCCAAAACAGCUUGCAUGUUAAUUGGCCCCAUGCAUCCUCAAAUAUAUGCUGGUCUUUGGAUGAGAUUAAGUAAAAUCAGGUAGUUAUCAAUGAAUUUUGUUGGUUGACAGGCAUGAAGGAGAAUUAGUGGAAGAAGUGGUCAAAAAGGUUAUGAGCAAAUUGCAACAAGACUUUCAGCUUGAUGUUACUAAGCACUUAGUUGGAUUUGAGGAUCAUGUGAGCAAAAUCAGGAAUUGGGUAGACACUCCUGCCAGUGCUACUCGAAUGAUUGGAAUCUAUGGCAUGGGUGGGAUCGGAAAAACAACUCUGGCCAAAUCAAUCUACAACCAGUUGUUGGAUGAAUUUGUACAUCAUAGCUUCCUUGCUAACAUUCGAGAAACGGCUCAAUGCAACGGUAUUCCUUAUCUACAAAAUCAACUAAUUGAGGAAGUACUUCAAAUCGAAUGUCAAAUUCGGAAUGUUGACCAUGGAAUUAGUUUGAUUAGAUCUAAAUUCAAAGGAAAAAAGGUUAUCAUUCUUCUGGAUGAUAUAGAUAACAAAAAGCAACUAGAUGCUUUGGCCAGAGAGCGUAAUUGGUUUAUGAGUGGAAGUAUUAUCAUUGUUACAACUAGAAAUAAAGCUAUUCUUGAUCAAUCCGAAUUUGAGGUAGACUACCCAUAUGAAUUGAAUGAAUUGGAUGAGGAGCAUUCUUUGCUUUUAUUUAAGAGACAUGCAUUUCGUAUGGAUCGUUGUCCAACGGAGUUUGAGGAUAUCUCUUGUGAAAUCAUAAUCACCAUGGGUGGGCUACCCUUAGCUAUUGAGGUCGUUGGUUCAUACUUGUUUAAAAAAACAAAGCUAAAUGUAUGGAUAGAUGUGUUGAAGCAAUUGAAAGAACAACCACAUGAAGAUGUCCAAGCCAUAUUGCGGAUAAGUUAUGAUGCAUUAAAAGGAGGACAUAAGCAGAUUUUUCUCGAUAUUGCUUGUUUCGUUAUCAGGGAAGAGAUCAAAUUCGCAAUGUACAUGUGGGAGGACUGUGGGUUUCAUCCAAGUCAAGGAAUAGAAGAAUUGGUACUGAGGUGCUUAAUAAAAAUUGAAAAUGAUGACAAGUUAUGGAUGCAUGAUCAAUUGAGAGAUCUUGGAAGGAGCAUUUUUUGCCAAGGACAAUCACCUCAAAGAUGUAUCGAACCAUGGAUCAGCAAAGAAGCCUUCGGAGAACAAAUACUAGGAAAGGUAACAUCUGGCCCUCCUUUCUCUCUUUCUCUCAUAAUUAUACAUAUAUAUUUUUAAUAUGAAUUAUUCUAUUCUUUAUUUAGUAUGAGGAAAUGCUCCUACUUUUUAGGAAAAAGUAUGUUUAAACAUCCAUUCAUGUCCAUUGUAGAUGAAUUGUGACAGCUAAUUGGGAUUAUAAGUGUCCCAAGGAUGAAAAAGUUACCUUAUUUGAUUCAAAUUCAUUGAUAUAAAUUAAAUCUGUCAAAAACUUAAUUUACAAUCAAUUUAAGAUUCUUUAACUAUGAUUCUGCACUAAAAAUCUGGUUCACUAAAAGCACGGAACUUUAUAUCUAGUUGAAAAUAUUAAUAAUCUGAAAAAUUACAGUAAUUAAUACGGAUGAAGCAUAUACAUCGUAAAAAAAAAAAAAAAUGUGCCAAUCAUAAUAAAUAAUAAUUAAGCAAAUCAGUAACAGCAAAGAAAAAUCAAUGUUUGAUAAACUUUUUUCCCCCAUUUUGAUCAUGAAAGUACCCGUCCCUCUACUAGUUUCAUCUAUCUCUUUUCCUCCUUCUUUCCUCUUAAUAGAUAUGAUGGUAAAAAAUCUCCUUAAGAAUUCUAUUGGGAAAACCUUACUAUGCUUUUAGGGUUACGUCACGUUGACCUUGUUCAUCUCAUGGACAAUCAGUGGAUCUUCUUAUUAUUUCUUUAAUUGCUUCUUUCAUUUCCAUUGUCCGUUCCUUCGCUUUUCCUAAUAAACACUUCUUUCCUCUCCAAGUUGUUUUUUUAUAUUAUUUAUAUAUUUGGGACAACGCUCUUCUGUGCUAAAAACCACUGGACAAACUUGACUAUUUAGAGGAAAUGUCAUGCUUAUUAUUAUAUCGAUACUUUUUUAUUUACUAUAAACAAUUUUCAGCAUGAAGUCAAAUUUGAAAGUAAGUUUAGUUUUUACAUAGAUUGUCAAUGUUCAUGUCAUUUGAAUAUUUUAAAUUGUCCAUUUGGGGAAGCCUAGUAGGUUCAUGACUGAUCAAUGGCGGGGAAUUAACCUUUGCAAUUAACCAAGAGAUGUUGGGAAAGGAAAAAGCUUUAUUCUCGAUUGAAUUUGAAUUAGUUCGCUCAUACCAUUAUAAAGAGCACAUUCUUUUGUUGAUUCAAUAAUUAUUCUUAAGAGAAAUAAUAUUGACCGUGUGUUUUUCACUAGUUAAUAUAUAAAGUACGGAUAAUGACAAAUGAGUUGAACCAUAAAAUUAAACCCAACCAAAAAAAGAGAAAAAAAGAAUUCUAUCUUUGGUUUGAUAGCGUUCGUGGAAGUUCAUAUUUCACAAAACAAUUUGUCUUUUGGCAGUUUAGUUUAUUCAUAAUAUUUCCAAGAAACUAACGAAAAAGAUGCACUUUCAAGUUAUGUUGAUCAGUCGAUAAUUUUCUUUUUUUUAAUGUUUACUUAUAUCUCCUGCCCUAUUGUAUCUUUGCACUCGGCCUAUACAUAGCAUUCCAGAAAAAAAAAAAAAAAACACACACACACACACACACGAGAUAAUACUUUCAAUAUGUCAUAGAAGUUCAUGUGAAGAAAAAAGGUGUCGAGUGUUGUGAAAUAUGGAUCAAGUAGUCGUGAGCCCAUACCAUAUGCACCAAACUGACAUGAAUAAAUUUAUCAUGAAGAUAUAACUGUACUAUCCUUAUCUCUAAUGGAAAAGCACAUAUAGAUGGACAAAUCAUGUUCUUUGGAAAGACAGUUAUAAUUUAUAAGUUGACAGUUCUUAAUCUUUCAUUAUGGUAAUUCAACUAGGAAAAAAAAAACAUCUCUCAUUAUAGUAAAAAUUCAGGCGGGAAACCGCAUUCGAAAGACAUUCCUUUUUUUUUCCCAAUAACAAUGGACAUACUUCUUUUGGAUGGAGUGCACAAGAAAAAGUUAAAUGCGUUAAAAAUUGAAUUAUAAGGAAUUUAAAAGGAUAUUAAAUGAAAUUGCAUGAAACGGUAGUGCGAUCAAAGGAAAAUUACAAGGAAAGUAAAAGAUGAACUUUGUUGUGCCAUGCGUGUCUGAUCUUACCUCUGAAUACCCCUUUUAUACUAAUGCAUCGUGUCGACCAUUCUGUUUCUAGGCCAUUCACAUGUAACUUCCACAUGCAUCAUAUGUCACAUUCAUCAAUUGUCUCCUGCGUUACUUGCCACAUACAUCCUAUGACACCUAGUCCUAUACUAUUCUUUUCAAGGGAGAGAUUUUUCUAUUAUUCUCUCAACCUAUAUUUUCUCAAAGUUAAGUUCAUUAUGAAUCUUAUUAUUUAAAUGAAUCCAUGGGCUAUUUACAUCAUUUAGCUCUUAAAAGGUGAGAGCCCACUGUGCGUGUGCGUGUGUGUGUGUGUGUGUGUGUAUAUGUAUAUAUAUAUAUAUAUAUAUAUAUAUAUAUAUAUAUAUAUAUAUAGACACACACACACACACACUCACACACGCGCGCGCGUGUUUUGCUUCUCUUUUAAGAGGGAAUUGCUCAUCAUUUGAAACAUCAAUUGGUGUCAACUGCUCAAUCCAAUAUAAAUGGUGUGCAUAGCGAGGGUCAUGUCUAGUCUAUAUCUAAUAUAAUAUGAUACUAUAAUUAUAGAAAUGAGAUUGGUGUCACUUUAGGUCCCUUCCAAUUUUACUAUUAUUUAAGGAUUCUCCUACUAUAAAGAGUAUGGCGGAGGAGUGAAGUCUCACUUUGGUAGAGUACUCCUUGUCUAACCAACACAUCCCCCACCUUUAACGGUUAUAUAAUAUUCUCUUCAUCAACAUGUUGUACCAUCCCCAAUUUUUAUCACCAUUCUCUUCUUAUUUUUAAGAGUUUAAGUUACAAAGUUCACAUAAAAAUAAGCAUAAUGUUAAUAUAACAUGCGCGUAGCAUGUGUAUAGAGUAUUGUGGACAUUAAGCAAAGUACAUUUACAAAAAUAAUACCAUUUUUAGGUCGAAUUUUACUUUUUACAUGUCACAAAUGCAUUUUCUUGAACAGGUCGAGUGAGGGGCAUUGCUGGCUUGAAAUUACUCUGCUCUAGAAGUGCAUGUUAACAGAUUACUAAUUUCUAAUUCACCUCUUGAGAAGCAUGCCCAUGCUAAAAACGAAAAUAAAUAAAUUUUUCUUUUUUUUUUUUGGGUGAAAACGAACGUCAAUAAUUUACAUCAACGUACCUCUAGAAAACCUAUCUGACAAAAGUGGAUACUAAGGGCUACCUAAGUUCCAUAAUGGUGAAAUACUCCAUUAACUCUCAUUGCCAAGUGGGACACCGGCUUAAUUAAGUCCGACUGGACGGUUCGAACAGGAAAUUAUUUGCACUUAAUAGUGCAAGGAAUCAAACCCAUAUCAUGAUACACAAAAGCGCAUUCCUUAACCACUAAAUGAGCAGUGUAGGGUUGCCUCUCAAACAUUUCAGCCAAAUCUUUCAGAAAACUAUCGACUGUACCUCGUAUUGCUUUUGGUAAAUCCUAAAGAACCUGGCCAUAGAAUAAAUUGCAAAGAAAAAAUAACUCACUAGACAUUUCUCCUGAGUGCCUAACUGACCGUGGCCAGGUGCCCGCUGUGAUCCAGAAUCGCACACCCAACCGUGCGUGACUAGGUGCCCGCUUUGAUCCAGAAUUGGACCGCUAUGCUGUUCAAGCGACCAAGUCUUGCUGGAGGCCCAGCCACUGACCAGUAGCUUUGGCUACUUGCGAUCUCUGUUAUGGGCAUCUCAGUCUGUUCCUCUGAAUGUUGACGCCAUGUCAAUGUGCAGAUUGAGUCACGACUUGAUUUAUUUGUGGUCAAUCUCGAGAUGCUAAUCCAAUAGAAAGUUUUAGAUUUAAAAUUUCGAUACUUGAACGUUAUCCAAUACUGUCACUGAUCAGCUAAGCUUUCGGGGGGAAAGUAAUAAAGUUUUGCUGUUAAUGUCAAUCAAGCCGUCUAGGAUUUUGUCACCAUCUUCUUCCAAUUAAAUGAUCUCCUUUAGCAACAAAGUUUAAGCGGUACUUUUGACUUAUAAAAUGCGAAAAGAAAUGGUGCUAGUCUUGAGAAAUGGACAUACGUAUCUUCACUUUUCUGUUUAGUUACUGUUCCAUAUGUUAAGACCUUAAUCUAACUAUAACACCAUGUAAGGAAGUUAACUAGUUCAUUUUUAGUUGGUCUAAAGCCAUUUCUCUUCCAAUUUCCGUCAAAAUCUAAAAUAUUAUUCAAAUGCUAAAGGUGUAUUGCUAAGGAAUGAUUAAACACUUAAUAACAAUAGUUAACAAAUUGAAAAUCAGGUGCUUACUUAGCUACUUAACGAGUGACCGAUGGGUACUCUUUAACAUUCGUAUGUUUUAAAAGGUUUCAUGUAAUUCCACUUUAAUAAAAAUCAAAGUACAUGCACUACAAAAUUCCAAAAAAGUGAAGAUGUAAGAAUUGAGGUGUUUCGUCUUGAAUUUUUUAAAGCAAGAAAAAAUGUUCUUUUUAUUUAAAAUACCAUUUGAUUUUUUAAAAAAAAAAUUAUCAAAAUACUAUAUGUGUGUGUGUAUCUAUCAACAUUUAUGUUCAGUGAGGGGUAAAAAGAUGACAAAUUGUGAAAGUAUGGGGUUUAGAAAAGCAAAAGUAAAAAAUUAGAAGUUGAUUCAGACACUCAAUUGAUUGAUUUGAUAUGCAGCGUUUCAAGAGUGGGUUCGGUUAUUGGCCUUGUGGCCGUUCCUCUACAUGCACAAGUGAACUGUUUAAAAACUUACCGAGCUCAAGGUUUCGUUCAUUAUGCCAGACAACCAUAAGUGGAGACUUUAAUGAAUUGUUUCCUGAAUUAAGAUGGCUUCAAUGGUUACACUCUGAACCUGAUAUAUUUUCUUCAGCAAUCAAUUUGCAUCUAUAUAAAUUAGUGGUGUUGGAAUUGUCACGAAACAAGCUUACAGAUGAUUGGGGAGGAUGGAGUUCGAUCAUGGUAAGAUGGAAAAACAAGACAUCUUCUAUGAUCUUUGCUUUGUUUUGUUUUGUCAAUUAAACUCCUUUUUGACACCUUUUUCUCUUUUGUACAGGCGGCAAAGCAGCUAAAAGUUCUCAACCUUUCAUAUAGCCGGGAGUUAAGAUAUACUCCUAAUCUCUCGGCUUUCACGAAGUUGGAGAUUCUCAUCUUGUCUAGUUGUUACAAACUGAAGCAAGUCGACCCUUCUAUUGGCAAACUCAAGAGCCUCAUUUCCUUGGACUUGUGUUGUUGUGAGUCAUUGAGAAAAAUCCCUAGCUCAAUUGGGAAUCUUUCUUCUCUCGAAAAACUUCAUCUAGGUAGUUGCAAGUCAUUGAGAAAAAUCCCUAGCUCAAUUGGGAAUCUUUCUUCUCUCGAACAACUACAUCUAAGGAGUUGCGAGUCAUUGACAAAAAUCCCUAGCUCAAUUGGGAAUCUUUCUUCUCUCGAACAACUUGAUCUAGGGCGUUGCGGGUCAUUGGCAGAAAUCCCUAGCUCAAUUGGGAAUCUUUCUUCUCUCAAACAACUUGAUCUAAAGAGUUGCACGUCAUUGACAGAAAUCCCUAGCUCAAUUGGGAAUCUUUCUUCUCUCAAACGACUUGAUCUACAGAAUUGCAAUUCCUUGACAGAAAUCUCUAGCUCAAUUGGGAAUCUUUCUUCUCUCGAACUACUUGAUCUAGGGAUUUGCCAGACUCAACAGAAAUCCCUAGCUCAAUUGGGAAUCUUUUUUCUCUCGAAGAACUUGAUCUAGGGGGUUGCGUGUCAUUGAUAGAAAUCCCUAGCCUCAUGGGAAUCUUUCUUCUUCUCGAACGACUUGAUCUACAGAGUUGCGAGUCCUUGAGAGAAAUCCCUAGCUCAAUUGGGAAUCUUUCUUCUCUUGAACGACUUGAUCUAUAGAGUUGCGAGUCCUUGACAGAAAUCCCAAGCUCAAUUGGGAAUCUUUCUUCUCUCGAACGACUUGAUCUACAGAGUUGCGAGUCCUUGAGAGAAAUCCCAAGCUCAAUUGGGAAUCUUUGUUCUCUCGAACGACUUGAUCUACAGAGUUGCGAGUCCUUGACAGGAAUUCCUAACUCAAUUGGGAAUCUUUCUUCUCUCGAACGACUUGAUCUACAAAGUUGCGAGUCCUUGACAGAAAUCCCUAGCUCAAUUGGGAAUCUUUCUUCUUUGGAAAAACUUGUUCUAAGGGGUUGUGUGUCAUUAACAGAAAUCCCUAGCUCAAUUGGGAAUCUUUUUUCUCUUGAACAACCUUAUCUAGGGGGUUGCGUGUCAUUCACAGAAAUCCCUAGCUCAAUUGGAAAUCUUUCUUCUCUCAAACAACUUGAUCUAGGGGGUUGCAAGUUAUUGAUAGAAAUCCCUAACUCAAUUGGGAAUCUUUCUUCUCUCAAAGAACUUGUUCUAAGGGAUUGCAUGUCAUUGACAGAAAUCCCUAGCUCAAUUGGGAAUCUUUCUUCUCUCAAACAACUUGAUCUAUAGAAUUGUGAGUCAUUGACAGAUUUCCCUAACUUAUUGGGAAUCUUUCUUCUCUCAAAGUACUUGGACUAGAGGCUUCAAGUCAUUGAGAGAAAUCCCUAUCUCAAUUGGGAAUCUUUAUUCUCUCAAAUUCCUUAACCUUUACGGGUGUUGUUCACUAAAAGAAAUUCCUACCUCAAUUGGGAAUUUACCGAAUUUGCAAAGCAUUAGGGAUUUUUGACCUUGAAUAGUUACCCAUUGCUAUUGGAUAGUUGAACAAACUGCCAAAGGCUAUUUCUUGAAUCUUGUGAUAGUCUAAAAAGGGGAAUUCCAAGAGAAGACGAUGACUUGUCUUUGCUCGUGAUUCUCCAUAUCAUUGGCACAUUGAUAUUUGACCCGCCAGAAAGCAUUUGGAAUCUUUCUUCUCUCUAAUGCCUUGACCAAGAGGGUUGUAAGGAGUUCGAUCGUUGCUAGAGCUUUCUUCCGGCUUAACAUAUCUUCAGGUCGAUUCCCUAAUUCUCAGGUUGCCAGAGCUUUCUUACCUAUUCCACCCGGAAGAACUUCAUUUUUAUGGAUACGAUCAACUUGAGUACUUCCCAGUGCUUACCUCAAGACUCUUGAAACUUUGUGUUGAUUCCUAUCCCAAGUUGAUAUUGCCUGAGCUUGACAGAUUCAAGUACUUGGAAGAGUUGUCAAUAAAACACUACAAUUCCAUUGAAAGAAUGGACCUCUCACAAUUGAAUCUUCUGAAAGGAUUGGACAUUGAGGAUUGCAAUAAUCUAGUUGAAAUUUAGGGCCAAGGUAAAUUGGAGUUCUUGGAGACAAUACGUACAUAUAGCUACAGGUCCAUUAGAAGGCCAUCCAUCUGAAAUUACAAGGGCUUGAAGCAAUUAAAUACUUGCUAUUGCGACAAUCUAGUCAAAAUACAAGGUCUUGAUAAGGUGGUUCCAUCGGAAGAUUACCUGACCUAUGAUGCUUUUGGAACUUGAAAGAGUUUAAUAUCAAUGGUUGUCAUAAUCUACGUGGUGUUGAGACACAAUUCCCAGUCUUACAUAAUUGCAAGCGUGGGAAAGUCGGUCCUAGAACCUAACAUGAUGCUUCAGCAAGAUCAAAAUUUAGAUCUGAUUGUGGUUCUUCAUACGUUAGAAGGCGCUAGUCAUGUGGUAAGAUUCUUCGUCCUUUAACAACUAGCAUGAGCGAAAAGUGUAAUACUUUUCUAACAGAUAUAUCUUUUAAGAAUUAUUUUCUCGAUGCUUGGUAGCUAUUUGAUAUGGAUUUGCCUAAAUUUAUUGGCUGUUGAUUGCAUCACGGCAAUGUUUUUUCAGCUAAUCUUCAAUCGGCAACUUUUGCAGAUAAAUUGGCGGCUUGUGAGGCAACAAAUGAAAAUUAACGACAUAGGUAAACAAGAAUUACUUAGUGAUUUACAGUUUCCCUCUUAGUGAACCCAAGAUGAAAAUUUUUCAUAAAGAGGUUCAUCUUUUGUGCGCCAGAUCUCUUUUUUCUCUAUGUCUCAAACUAGUAAUUUCCUUUUAAAAAAUCCUUCACCAUUUUGAACUCCUUUUGUGAGCAAUUUUAUGUGUCAGAUUUGACUAUUGGUAGGUAUCCCGUUUAGGACAAACAGUUCUCGAUUUUUCGUGAUGAUGGGAAAGCAUGUCCAUUGUUCAUUCGAGCAUAAAUUCCCAGUAAGGAAGAGAAACUAAGCAAAAAUAAAAAUCAAGGUUCAAUUUUUUUCUCGUGCGUGAUUUAAAAAAGUAAAAAUUAGUUUUGGCUAGCUUUUUUCAUCUAUGAUUAUAGGCAGGCUUUCCAUAACAAUUGUGAAACUGUUGAAAGAUUAUCAAGGGAGAUAAAUUGGUGCUACUUUUGUGACAGGUCCGAUUGGUCUAUGUAGUGAUCAAGGCUUACUUUUGGACUUCAAUUCAAAGAGCUUUAUAGAUGACCUUUUGCAUAAUUGGGACAAUUUUUUGCCUGCUCUGUAAAACAAGCUAGGUGAGGAGCUUAAGAUUUUUCUUAUUAUUUGCAUCCCGUUUGAUUCUGAUGUUGUGGUGGAAUCAUUUGAUCAAAUGAUUGAUCUGGGUCUGGCUAACUUGGCUGAGGCAAUUCAUAGUCCAUACUAGAGAACGAUCAAGUGAAGAAGAUGGAUUUUGCUGAGGUGUCAUCAGCAAGCUAAAGGCUAGCUUUUGUGGGACCUUGAACAGGCUCACGGGCCAAUUGAAGUGUCCUAAGGAAGUUUUUUAUGCUUGUGAAGAUCAAAGCACUUGAUAUGGUUUCAUUAGCACAAAACUGAAUGAUCGUGAAUGUAUUAUUUUUCAGUUGAAUCUACUUUUUGUAUGCUCAUUAGGUUCUACCUCUAUUAAGCAAAUACAUAUGUGCUGAUUUUUCUACAUGUUAACCAGAUGCAGAGUUCUUUGAUGCAAUGCGCUCUAAUGGUAUCAUUCCCAAACUCAGUCAGGCUCUACAGAUAGAGGUAUCCACUGCCAAUCCUACCAUAACUGUGAAAGAGUGACUUGUGUACUUAUAUUUAAUUGAAUGUGCUGAGUGAUUGUUAGGUUCUACCUCUCUGUUAACCAAAUAUGUAUGUGCUGAUUUUUCUGCAUGUUACCCUGAUGCGGGGUUGUUUGAUGCAGUCUCAUUCUAAUGAUAUCACUUUCAAACCCAAUGAGGCUUUGUAGGUGGAGGCAUGUACUACUAGUUGUACCGUAAUAGAGCAACUUGUGUGCUUAUACUAUGUGAGCUGUGGAAUUUCACCAGAAAUCCGUGAACUAGGAUGCAUGAUGAAAAUCUCCUCUUUUUCUGUCAGUUCAUAAUAUCUUUUGAAUGUUGUGAUAAAGGUAUUUGAUGCGAUGGCUUAAAUCUCACGUAUGUAGCAUUAAAUUUGUAAAGUUAAAUAUAGCCUCCUAGCAAACAAUUCCGUAUUGCUGAUUUCGCUAAUCGGAUAUUGCAAAAUAACCAAGUAACAAGUACGCCUUUCUGUUCUAUAGUUUGGGCACUUUGCCUUUUUAGCAUAUGUUCUAUUCAUAAACACAAGCAAGGAUGAUGGUGCUAAUUGCUAACUUCUCUUCUCUUAAGUCCGUUGUUUUCUAUAUCUUUGGCUGAUAAUGAAUUCUAUCGCUUGCGAUCCAACUAUUAAUGAGAGACUCUUGGAAUGUGUGGCAAAACUAAUGUCCCCAGAUUUUGGUGUUGAUAGAUGAGAUUCAUUGAAGAGGUCACUCAUAGAUCGCUAGAAUCUGGACCAGAUCAAAAUAACCUUGUUUAUAUUGAUGGACUCUCAAGUCUAUGCUUACUACUUUAAGCUAAUUUUAGGUUCUUCAUUCCAAAUACAUCUAAAAAUAGACAGAACUAAGGAUCCAUGUAGCCACGCCUUUAUCUCUCUUCGAGAUGAUUGGAAAGUGUGACACAUUUUUACUCUUAGCCAUCUCGUGUAACACAUGCAUCGCCCUCAUUUUCUGACCAUCUUUAGCAAGUGCCUAGGUGGAGACUAGUUAUAAGUCUUCGAAUUUGUUAGUGUUCGUAACUUUUGAUGAAUGUCGAGACCUAAUUUUUCGGGUGCAUCAUCUAAAAUUAAGCUAAUAGAUUACUAAAUCUAAACUUAGCUCGGACUCUCUCAAACCUAUACAAAUUCACGACUUAAGUUUAAAUUUCUUAACAUGCAAAUAGAUUUUAUCUAGAAGUCGCCAGUAAUCUAUUUUUUGGUGGAUCGAUUAGAAACCCAAGUAAAGUAGCGGGAGUUUUACUUUACUCCUACGAACCAGAAAUUAUGAGUUACGAACCAGAAAUUAUGAGUUCGGGGACUUGGUUACACUAGAUUUCUCUAAUGCCUUUACGGUACAAUUCUUUUAUUUUCAAAAAUGUUUUUGGCAAACAGCUCAAAUUUAUUUUAAAUCUAUUUCCAAAUAUAUUUUAAAUCUAUUUCCUUAACAUGUGAAGUGAUCAUGUGGGUGCGUAAACCAUCAAUUUAACACCCAAAUAAAACAACUAAAUAAAUUGCAAAAACCUACCCUAAAGCAAUGAAAGUGUCUGCAAUGUUAAAUUAUAAUCCACAUCAACAACUCUAGAAAUGAUUUCUAAUUAACAUGCAAUUUUUUUUUCACUUCAUUAAUAAAAAUCAUGUAAUAUGCAAUGCAAUAUUAACUAAAUGACCUAAUUCUAAUGAUGGGAAAUUUCUAAUUAAAUAAACCUAAUAACAAUCACUAAAUGACGUGCAUUUCAUGAACCUAAUUCUACAUGACGUGCACAUAAUUUUUUAUUUUCUUAACAAGCAUGCAAUCUAUCUAGGAAAAAUUAUUUAAACCUAUAAUUAAUAAAAAUGCAAUCCUAACAUGUAAUGACGUGCAAAAGAUGCCAUAAUUCUACAUGACUUAUGCAUGAUGAUUUUUGUUUUUCUUUUCAAUUAAUUUCGAAAUAAAAAAAAUGUCAAAUAAUUAAACAUGCAAUUUAAGCUAACAAAAAACUAAUAUCCUAAUUUGUUUUUCCGAUAAUCCAUGAUAAAUAAAAUGCUUAAUCUGAAUAUGCAAAUAACCCUAGUGCAUGCAAUAUUUUAACUUUUCCAGAUAAAAAAAAGUAAUUAAGACAAGAUAGACCAUUCAAAAUCACCAAAAGUAUGAAUAUAAAUUGAUCUUAAGCCUUAAAGAUCAAUAUAUUAAUUUUAUUCUCACUUGAUUAAUUAUUUCAUCUAAAACUUUAUAGAUGAAAUAAAAAACCCAGACGCGAUUGCGAAUCAGAUGGUAUGUUAAAAUUUCCAAUUAUAUAUAGAGAAAUAUUCCGAAUAAGUAAACAAGAAAUAAAAAACAUAAUAAGGUAAAAUAAAUUGCCUAAUAAAACAAAGUAAAUAAUCUGAUUUUUUUUCUUUUUUUCUUUUUAAAAAAAGGAAUCUUGGCCGGUUCGGAGCUCUGGCGAAGGGGGGGUCGUCGCCGGCGAAGGCACAGCAGGUCGCCGGAUCUAGCGUCGGGAAGGGGAGCGGCGUCGCGGGUCAGCACGGGCUGUAGCAACGGCAGCACUCGGGCAGCGUCGGUGCUCGGGCGGCAGGAGCAGCUGGUCACAGGUCAGGCUGGACAGGGGCGUCGCUCGGUGUCCGGUGGGACGAGGCGGUGGCAGGGACAGAGCAGAUCUGGGUCGUCGAAGCAGAAGACUCCGGGUGCAGGCGUCGAUCGAAGGCGGAGGCGAGCAGCGGCGGUGCAGGCUCCGGUGGCGUCGGAUCGCGGCAGGGACAGCGGCGCGACGUCGGACGGAGGCAAGCAGGGGCGCCGAGACUUCUGGUGUUGCAGAUCGGUGACGGCGGAGGCGGAGCAGGGCCGCUCGGGUCGCGGCUGCGGCAGGAGAUGUCAGAUCUGCUAGCGUCGGGGCUGGGUCGCGACGGCAGGGGGCAGAUCCGCGAGGUGGUGGUCCGGCGGUGGUGCGGCGAGAGCGGCAAGGGCAGCAGAGGCAGUGUCGGCGCUCGGGUGGAGGGGCAGGCGCGGGCCGGCGCACGGGUUGCUGGAGAUCGCUGCGACGGUGGCUGUCGGAGGGAGACGCCGGUGUUCGGAGGCGCGGCGGUGCAGGGGGCGGAGCAGGGGCUGUGGCGGAAGAGCUCGAGUACGCGUGGGGGUCGGACAACAAAGGGGACGCCGACAGAGGACCCAACGAAGGAGAAGAACAGUAGCUUCUCUUUUUUUUUUCUUUUUUCUUUUUUCCUCUCUCCUGCUGCUGGCCGCACGUCCCUUCUUCCUCUUAUUGUUGCUGCUUUUUCUUUCUUCCCUUUUUUUUUGAACGGAGAGAAACCCCCUCUUUUCUCAUGAACUGUGGCCGUGUAUUAUAUGUAAUGUCGCCGCCCAAAACCCUACGUGAAUUAAUCUAUUUAUAAGCGACAGAUUAGGGUUUUUUUAAUCUUCCAAAACCAUAUCCACGAAUAUUUACUUUUCCAAACACAAUAUUUUCUUUUGAAUUAAAAACCUCACAAAGAUAAAUUUGUAAAAUCUCUUCGAAAAUAAGGGUUUUGGCCAAUUUAUUCGUUUCGUGGGUUUGGGCCGACCUACCAAGUUAAAGCUUAGAACUGCUAAUUUAAACCUUAGAACUGCUAAUUUAAACCUAUCCGUCACCGAUUCAAUAAAUAAAUGCAAAAAAUGCAAUUUAAAAAUAAAUGUAUCUAAAUUUAUAUGCUAUGCGAUUAAUAUUUUUUUUCAGGAAUAAAAUUAACCCAGAGUUUUAUAUGCAAUAAAUAAAUUGAUCGUCAAAAUUUAGGUGUCAACAAUGAAAUAUCAUAAACAACCUGAAUUAUCAUUCAUUCUUUUCCUGAAUCUAUCACGAAGUACAUAUGUAGCUAGUAGAAUUAUAAUUAUUUUCAAAAUCUCAUGUGACUAGCUGAUUGGAUAAGCCAAUGAGUGUGAGACCCAAAUACAGGGUUUACAUUUGAUGAUGCGGUUCAAACUAUAAGAGACACAGCCUCGAGUCAUGAAAAACUUCUUAACGACUUGCCUCGAAGGACAACCAAGAGAAGGGAACAAAAUCUAACCAAGGAAUGGAGAAGGAGAAGGAGAAGGGGAAGGGGAAGGAGAAGAAGAAGAUUGCUUCAACUGAGUUGACAACAAAUUGCUGUUACCACUGCUACCGGGACCUUCUCAUGUGGACUCCGGUGCCACCUCCUCUGUGGUUUAACUAGUAUGAUGACUAAUUCAUGAUAUAUAUAUAUAUAUAUAUAUAUAUAUAUAUAUAUAUAUAUAUAUAUUUUGAUGACCUAGGGAAACCCGUAAGCCGACAGCCGGCGGACAAACCCUGGGGCUGACACAAGCUAGCCACCACACUCACGCCAGCGGUUAAGUCACCCUGCGACGCGCUGGGGAUUCGAACCCCUCCCCUUCGUGAGGGGGAGGAGGCCCAAAGCUAGCUACGCCACCCAAGUGGGUGGUAAUUCAUGAAAUAUUUGAUAUAAUGCCAAAGUGCUAAUUUCUAGUAUUGCCGAUUCUGCACAAUCCCUCAUCAUGGCUUGGCAUGUGGUUAUAUCUACCACCUCGAUUGUCUGGCCAACAUUUCAUCCGCCAAGCUCAUGGCUUUGGCGAUUCUACCCUCUCCAACGAGCCCAUCAAUCAAAGUGUUAAAAGCUCGCAGUUGUGGGUUCAAGUCCAAGUUUGACCAUUUUACACAAAACUGAGGACCCGAGAUCGGAUCUUUUCAAUUGGAAAAGGUAAUUCAUCAAAAUGUUGUGAGUAGAACUAUUGGGAGUCGUUCCUGUGACAUCCCGAUUUUCCAAUUCUAUUUUCAAUAAAUUGAGACGGGCAUUUCGUUGGCACGCAUAUAGUUCUUUUCCUUGAGUUGGCCACUCAUGUGAAAACUAGUUUAUCGGGUAAAACCGUUAAGAGUUUCUAAUGCAUCUGACUCGAGAAUUUGACCAGGAAGCGACCUUUCGAUCGAGCUAAUCUACAAGGGUCAUUACGGCACAAUUAAAAAUCGAUUAGAGAUCGGAGAUAGGUCGACUCGACAGAGGCAUGUGAUCAGGUAUGGGUGAUUCCACCAGAUCGCACAAUUCUUAUCGAUCGGCACUAGACCGACUUUUCUAUCGAUUGGGUACCCUGUGUUUGUAUUUGAAACCUUGAGAUUACCUCGACAACCGAAAGUCACCAAUGUUUCAAAGAUGUACAUUGUGGCUUGAGAUGAUCAACCACAGGUCAAAUGCAUGAAAAUUUCUAAAGGCUACCCGGUAGGUUGCGCCGCGCUAGUAUCGUGCCAAAGUGAAAUUAACCGUGGAAUUGAGAUCGAAUUCAGAAAUUUGAGGUCUGGGUGUGUCACAAAUCACUUAGGAUUAUUGACUUAUCUUUGGAAGAUUUUUCAUGCAAUCAGAGUUUUUCAGCAAUUAAAUCAGAAAAUGGUUAAUUUGACCGGGAAAUUAGAAGGCCCGCCUUAGGUCUUGCUUUUAGGACUUAAGUUGGUUCUAUGGACAAGUGAAGAUGUGAAUUGGACUGUGGUGACAUCGGAUUAAUUUUAUGGACUUCAAUUGGACUCAAUUGGAAGAGAAUUGAAUGGAAUUAAAGAAAUUAAUGUACAAAGCUUCAUGCCCCGGCGGAAAAAUAAAAUGGACCCAUUGAAGAUAGUUGUGGAGGAUUUGAAUUUCAGUGGAAGAUGACAUCAUCCUAUGUCAUGGUGGUUGGGCCAAAGAGAACGAGAUUUAGACAAGUGGAGGGUGGAUAUUGGCUCUUGGAAAGGCGCCCAUCAACAUCAUCUUCAAGCUUAGGAAGAGAGAGAGAGAGAGAAGGAAAAAGCUGAAGAAACCAGCCGUUCGCAACCGCCGCCGCCGUUCCGCCCGACCGGUCGCCCUCCGCCUGCUCGCUCGUCCCCGCCGGAGCCAUCGCCGCUGCCGUUCGAACGCACGCAUCGCCCGUGCUCGCCUUGCCAGCUAGCCCGCCGUUCGGUUGUCCACAGCCCGAGUUCCCAGCCCUCCGUCCGCCGCUUGUCGCCGCCAGCCGGAGCUCCUCGCCGUCGCAGCUCGCCGCCGUUCGACCGCUCGCCAGCUCGCGCUGCUGCUGGCCGCGUGUCUUGGCGGUCUUCUCGCCCAGCUCGUCGUCCCGAGCUGCUGUUCAGUUCGCGUAAGAGCUGCCGGAGCUUGUCCCCGCCGCCGAAGGGUCGCCGGAGCUGCUGCCUUGCCCGCCCGAGCUGCCGCCCCUCUUCUCCGCCGUUCCUCCGCCCAUUCUGGCGCCGGAUCUGCUCCCUCUCGGCCCCGAUCAGCAGCCAAGAAAAUGGGUAUCUCAGCCCGUGUUUAGCCCGUUUUGGCCGUCCUCCCGAGCUCGGAUGCUCGGCCCGCCUUGAGGAAAGUCGAUCCUCGCGUCGUCCCCGUCGUUUUGGUCCCCUCGGUUCGUUAAUCCGGUGAGUUUAACUCACUAAAUCUUGAUUAGAGGGUUAAUGAUGCCCUAAGUGUGCUUAGCUUAAGUUAAGUUUAGGUGGUUAUAUUAGUUUAUUUGGUUGAUGAUUAUAUUAGGGUGUUUAAUUAAGUUAAAGUGUGUUUAGUUUAAAGUUAAGUAUGUUUAUUUUUAAUAUAAAGCCUUGAUGUGACAUAAUAGGGUUUUAUUUUUUAAUUAUUUAAUGAUUUCGAAUUCUGGAAUUUAUAAUAUUAUAUUAUAUUCCGAAAUUAUUAAAAUAUUAUUAUAAAAAAAACGGAAAAAUUAUUUUUUACCCCGAUUGUUCAGAAUUUCGUGCCGAUCGCUGCUGUGUAGUCGGAUUUUGAAAUUGAUGAUUGGAUAUUAUAAAUUGAGUGUGGAUCGUGAAAAAUAUGAAUAUUAUUAUUUAAUUAAUUUUUGGAAUAAAUUUAAUUAUUUAAUAAAUUCCGAAAAAUUAUUUUGGGACCCUAAAUUCUCAGAAUUUCGUGCUGAUCGCUGCUGUGCGUUUAGAAUUUGAAUUUGAUGAAUGGAUUUGGCAAAUUGAGUGUUGAUUGUGGUAAAUAGGGAUUUUAUUCAUAAAAACCCAAGUGUCGGGUUUUGAUGCAAAAAUUGAAUUUUAAUGAUUAUAUUAAAUAGUGGGGUUUGAAAAAGUGAGAUAUUGGUUUUUUGAUUCGAAAUUAGCGUGUCCCCACACACGUGAGUAAUUUCUGGAAUAUUUUUAAUAUGAAGAAAAAUGGGCGGGAUCACUAUUUUAAGUGGAAGUAUUGAGUGAAAUAUAAAGUGUCAUGGGGCCGAGUAUGCUUUGGCUGUGUGAUAACUAAGAGGAAUCGUCCUGGGCUGUUGAGCCGGACUUGCCCCUAUAUGGGAUGCCCACGCGGUGGAUGCCGAUCGCAGUAGAGGCUGGGCCGACUGGAUCGAUGCUCUUUCGGGAAUGCUGUCGACGUAAUGACGAAGCCGCGCUCCAUGGGGGGAGGCGAUGCCUGGCAUUAGUGUCAGUAGAUAGCCGAACUGCGAGUAGGCUAUGCCAUAGUGUGGCAGUGAAUAAUAAUUGGGAAUGUGUGCUAAGUGCGAUUGUGAUUUAUAUGAAAGUGAUGGCCUUCCAAUUGUUGAAUUAUUAUUAUUACCUGAGAUUGUGUGAUAAAAAUUAUGCUAACAUGCAGGAAGGAAUUGAGGUGAGGUAAGUUCUCUGUAUGAUGUGGCUAGACCACCCGGGGCGUAUUUUCUUUCUAAUAGGGGUUUAGGGGGUUGAACUUGCUGAGACAUUGUCUCAUCCCGGUUUGGGGAUUAAAAUUUCAGGUCCUUAGAUGGCGGUCGUGGAGGACCCGAAGCCCUAAGUCUGGAAAGGUGGAGACUGAAGUAUCGGUGAACGUGUCCUGCUAGUUGGUUUUAGGAUAGUUCCCCUUUUGUCGAGCUGGUCUAUUUUGUAGACAAUCCAGAGUUGUAUCUAAACCUAUGUGUUUGUAAAUGAGUGUUUGGUAUUGUGAUUGAUUGCCCGCUUUUCUAUCCCAAGUUAAAAGUUGUCAGCGGAUUUGUUUCGCUUCCGCAUGCGUAAUAAAAUGAAUGGGUCGGCGACAUAUCUUGGGAUGUCGCAUAUUUGAUCGACCGCAGUGGGAUGUGCGCGCGCUCGAGGUUCGGGGCGUGACAGUUCUUUUCGAACCCAUCCGCUCGAUCAUGUCAAUGGUGACAGAGUUAUGCUUCAUCUUGGCCCCAACCCCCAAGAGUUGGGCGAAACAAGGAGGUUGUCACGCCCUAAACCUUGAGCGCGCGCCCAUCCCCUCUGUAUCGAUAAAAUUUUGCGACUUCCCAGGUCUAGUCGCCAGCCCUUUUUGUUUUAUUGCACAUGCGGAAGCAGAUUAUAAAUCCCCUGACAAUAAUCUCGGGAUAGAAAAGCAGGAUACGAAUUCACAAACAAACAUGCUUUUAUAUUCACACUGAGUCAUGUACAAAAGUCUAUGACCAAAAGAUUACAAAAAACUAACCUUCCAAAAAGAAGCGGUCCUAACUGACCUACGCUUCCAAUCACCUUCUCUCAGCUCCAGGUCCUCCACUCAACAAUCCUGAAAAUGUUGUCCCACAAUGGGGUGAGAUAUAAUCUCAGUGAGUCUAAGCUCUAAACUCCAAUUAGGAGGGAAAUAUGCCCAGAAGUGUCCUAAUUGCAUAAUCACACAAUUAAGGAGACUUACCUCAUUUUAGAUCCACCCUGCAGGCCAGUACAAUUUAUAACUCAGAUAGCAUGAAAACAUGAGCAACAAAUAAGCUCCAACAAUUGGAACACCACACUCAAUUAAUCAUGCGUUACUAGUUUUGAUCUCGGCAUAUAACACGACAUACUCUCUGUUCGGCGGUCUUCUGACAUUGCUAGGCAUCGUCUCACCCCAUUGAGCAUGGCACGUCUCUUUAUCAGACGGCUUUCCCAAAGGAGUAUAGGGUCCAGAAUCUACUGCGACCAGCUUCCCGUUGUCCAAGGGGUAUUCCAAAUAGGGAUAACGUCUAGCUUAACAGCCCGGGACGAUUUCUCUUAACCAACACACGAUCACUCAAAUAUGGUCUAGGGCACCAUGCAUUGCACUCAAAUGCUUCAAUUAAAAUGGUGAGCUUGGCCUUUUUCUUCGUAUUAGAAAUUCACAUGAAAUUACUCGUGUGUGGGUACACAGUCAGAUUGGACCCAGAAAAUUCAUAACAUUCUUUUCAAAAUCCCACUGGUUUAUAUAGUAUAUAAAACCAUUUUUGGUGUUUAAAACCCGACACUUGAGAUUUUCUGAAUAAAUAUCGAAAUUCAUAAUUUUUAGAAUUGAAUACUCAAAUUUCCAAUCAGCACUCAAUUUGCACAAAUUAACAUCCAAUUACAGAAAUUGAACAUACCAUCGCAAUCAACACGCAAUUCCGGUCACCGGCUAUCCCGAACUAAUUUUUGGAAAAUAAUUAAUAAUUAAAUAAUUUCUAAAAUUAAUUAAAUAAAUCAAUUUAAAUUCUAAAAAUACUAACCUAGGCCAGAAUCAUUAAAUUAAUAACCAAUACGGACUCGGAGAAAUUCCCGAACCCUUCUAGAUAAAUAGUACAAUUUAUUUAGGCCUUAACUAAACCAUGCUAACCACCUAACAUGCUCAAUUAAAUAAUUACAUUUCUAAUUUAAUCUAACUAACCACCUAAUUCCUAAUAAAAUAAAUCUAAACACCCCUUAAACGUCAUUAACCUACUGAGCAGAGUUUAGAGUAUAAACUCACCUGUUAAUUGCGGAAACCGGUUCAUCACAACGACGACUCGACGGCGGCCGAAAUCAAAAUUUUCGGCGGUGUCAACAAACUUGGGCCAGGCCUAAACUUGGCCCAACAAAUCUCAGCCCAACUGAGAUUUGUUGCUGAAACGGGCCGGGCUUCGUUGGACUGAACAGGCCUUGAAUAGGCUGAACAGGCUUGAUUGCGCGGGCCUCAAGAUGGGCUGAAAUGGGCUGCUGAUGGACUUCAAAUGGUCUGGCUUUGCGUGAAGAUGGGCUGCAGAAAAAUGGCAACUUGCUAGGCCGUUGAUGUGGGCUGAGCUACGGUGAUGUUGGGCCUGACUCGGUGAAGAUCAACGGCGAAGGAGCAGCUGCUUCGUGAGGCUUCGGUUCGGUGGAAGAUUGCUCGGUCUUCUUUGGCAAGGAACUUCGGACGUGGCAGCUGAAAGAAAUCGCCGGUGGAGGACGUGCGGACGUGAACGAUGGAGGGGAAGCACCGUUAACCGGAACGUGGGGUUUCGGUGAGCCGCAGGGGCGUGCGGAUGUGUGGAUUCGGUUGCUGGACAAAUGGAAAUCGUGGAGGCGUUGGUUCGGUGGCAGCGUAGGAACGAAAAUGAAGAUGUUGGAUGGGCCGCUCGGUGAAGAAUUCGGUGGGCGGCAGACUCGUGGAGGUAGCUCGGUUGAAUUUUGGGGAAAGCUUCGGGCGUGAGGGGGAAAAACAAAGGGCCAGGGAAAUGAAAGCAAGAGCUGAAAUCGUGAGGGUGCUUUGGCUGAAGAAAAGAUCAAUGAAAGCAGAAGCAGAUGCACGAAAGGAGAAGAGAGCAGCUAAGCGUGCUCGUGAAGCUAAGGAGGGGGCCCCAAAGUCAGAAAUUUUAUCCCCUCCAUUGAUGGCCUUGUCUCCUAUUACUUGCCAACAUCAAUUACCACUAAUUAAACACAUUUUGGUGCCUAAAAUGCUGCCCCAUGCCUUAUUCCGAAUUUUUCAAUCUUAGGAUCAAUUUCAUUACUCAAUUUCCUAAAUUGAGGUCCAAUUUCGAUGAAAAAAAAUCCUAUAUAAUUUUCUGCAAGUCCCCAUCACUCAAAAGCUCGGAUUGGAAGUCCAAAUUUCCAUCAAUUUAGCCCAUCUGAAUUUCUACUGAUUUUCCGCAACAUCCGAACCGAUUUUUCAUAAAAACCUCGGAAUCUUUGAAAAUUCUUCGGAGGAUGAGUCGACGUUCCCCAAAUAUCUUGUGACACCACAAAACUUAAAUCUGGUUCAAAUUCGCGGUUAAUUUCAAUCCGGCACGCUUUUAGCGUGACCUAGUCUAUCAGAUAGCUUUUAGGAAUUUUUAGUGCAAUUGACCCGUGAUCGAUUUAUCUCAAAUCACAAUCUAUAUCUUUGACACAUUGACGACUCCCAGUUGUCGUGAAAAUCUCAAGAUUUUAAAUACGGACACAUGGUACCCAAAACGAUAGAAAAUCAAUUUAGUGCUGAUCGAUGAAAAUUUUGCAAUCAGGUGGAAUCACCCACAUUUUGAUUACUUAUCUCAGUCGAAUCGACUUAUGUCUGAUCUUUGAUCCAUUUUUAACUGUGCCGUAAUGACCCUUGCAAAUUAGCAUGGUUGAGCAGUCGAUUUCUGGUCGAAUUCUCAAGUCUUUUGCGUUAAAAUCCCUUAAUGACUUUUCUAGAUAGUCUAGUUAUCUCAUGAGUGAUCGGCUCAGAGAAUAGCACUAUAGACGCAUCGAUGAAAGACCCGAUUUAUUCAAUUGAAAUCAGAUUUGAAAAAUCAGGAUGUCACAGAGGUAAAGUCAAGAGGGUUCACUCGAAUCGUCCUCUCCAAGAAGAGAAUAAAGCAUUGUCGGCUUCCACUAAUCCGCCAUUUCUGCAUUUGUUCACCACAAAGGUCAUAAGUUCAUAUUGAUCCAUUGACUCACUCACUCCAGCAGUGGAUGGGCAACUGUGGGAGCGACGUGAAAGAAAAUGGUUCGAUGUAAAGAUGGGAUUAGAAGUGAGAGGUUUAGCGAGAUGGCAAGAUUCUCGAACAAGACGGUGAAGAGCAAAAUUGCAGAUGGAUUGAUUCAUUUUCUCGUCAGUUUUGCCAAAUUUUCUCCUUCUGAGUUCCGACAAUCCACAAAUUGACGCGAUGUCUUGAUAACAACAUAGUUUUCGGUUCGAUCAUUGAAAACUAAUUGUUUGCCAAACUGAACAUUUUGAGAAAUACUCUGAUCGAUUCAUUCCCAUACUCAGGAGUUGAAGAGAGAUCAGUAUGCAAAAUCAUGUUCUUAUACUGUUGUGAAAACGACUAUGAAAUCCACAUCUGAAACCAAAUCCGAAUGGAUAGAUAUCUCACACAACGAUGGCGAACACCAGUGGGUUUGAAGUGUUGCCUAUCGAAAUGAACGUUUCUUGUCUUACUACUGUUAGCUGAAAAAAAUGAGAACUUAAUACGAAUGUUUCUACUAUUGUCACUGUGUGCACGGAACAAACUACAUUAUACCAAUUUAAUUUUUUUUUGUUCUAUUCGACGCUUUCUUACGCAUCGAAUGAGACAGUCAUCCCAGCUCAUAUGUCGCAAAAUGACGUCAAAGGGAAAUUUUGAUGGUUUACAUUUGAAGCACGUAACUUCGCAAAAGAACAUAAUAUUUCGGCCCUCUUCUCUCCGAUGGCGUAGGAUUGCUUAUUUAGUGAAUAAACUCUAAACAUGUAAAGAUCGUGUUAAUUCACCUAGUUGAAGUCAGUAGAGGUGAGUGAGAGAUGGUUUGGACACCAACUGAUUGCUAAAUUAAAAAAAAAAAAAAAGAUAAUGGAUUAAGAAAAAAUUUAAGCUGUAAGUCUGUACAACGAAAUCCAUUAUCUGUCUUUGAUAAUGUGGUUAUGCGAAGAUCAAUUGCUUAAUCCACGUGCGCAAGUUCGUCGUAAAUCACAAAACCAAUCGCAUGAGUAGUGUCGAGAAAAAGAAUUAUUAAUUAUGACAUUCGAAUGAAGAAAAUGAAAAGAUUCUUUUUCCCAACUUCAAAUUGUCCCCAUUUUCACAAGGAGUAUAGUUUACAAUUCGGUUCUCAUGUUGAGGAUACCAAUUGUGCAUAUAGCGCAAAACAGAUGUAGAGGUUUGAUCAGUAACUUCUUCUUUUAUGCUUAUCUUAUCAUUGUGUCAUUCAAUUGGAGUAAAACACGCGCCUAAUUAACAAUUCCACUCUAUGAGAACACAUAAAGACAAUAAUUUACAAUUUAACUAGACAUGAACACCAACGUCACGCUGAAAUAAAUUACUAAUAGAGGGAACAAAUAAUUAUCAAAAAGGGAAUAAGUAUUGUAAAAGAUUCUUUUAUUCAUUUGCUCUAUAACAUAAAGGAGCAAUUCAUGAAAAAAAUAUGAGUACUCAAAUGUUAUUAAUGACAAUGAAAGGCAAGCCUUUGAGGUGAAGAGACCAAAAGCAAUUGUCCAACGAAAUGUAAAUAUAUGCUUAGGUGGAGCAUUUUUGGUGGAGAAUACAGUAAAUCCAAGUUUUGCAAUAUGAAUAAGACUUCUCUAGUUAUCUUAAGUCUUAUGCGUCAUCAAGGAAGUGAUGCUUUAGCAAUACUUUGUUAUUACGUAUUUGUAUAAAUGAGACCAUAUAGAAUUUGUAAUACCUGGUAGCUUAAUGAUUACGCAUGAACAUUUUCCUAGUACAUCAAUUUUUUUCUUCUAGGUUUUGCCGGAACGGGGAGUGCAGGUAAAGACUAGUUGUGCCAUGUAAGUCUUAUUUAGAUCAUAAAACAAUCCUCAAUUGAUGCAAAAACAACCCUUCCCAUCAUUAAGUGGAAAGUAUACAACGAUAGGUGCAUAAUAGACCAAGCUAUCUAAUUGCCGAUAGAUCUCAUAAUAAAUUAGCAGAUAUUCUGAUGGAAAAUGCAUCUAGACUAUAGACCAGUAGUGUAGGAACUCAGAGAAAAUCUCACGGAUUGAUGCGGUAGAAUAAUAGUUGAAUUUUUUUAUAGAUUUACUUGCCGAAACUUAUUCACAUCUGGAAGAUGUAUAUUGACAACUUUUUCGCUCAACUUAUUAUUUUUUUUUUCAAAGGGUGCAUGCAUCUUCCAAUUUUUUUGGGUAAAUCCUUGUACUAGAGAUUCUGCAUGGGCAGAUAGAAGAAGUGCUAUGCAGUGGGUGAAGUUAUGAAUCCAACCGUCCAUCGCCGAGGAUGGAAUAGAAUGGGCCUUGAAUGAAGGUACUAAUCAAAACCUUUUUGUUCCUAUCCACGUCAGACGCAAUAACAAUUUAGACGUAUUUUAUAUUGGUCACUUUCUUAAAAAGUCAAUAAAACGCGUAUAGCUUCUACUACAUUGAGCAUUUCCAGAUACGUAGAGAUUAGUGAAAAUAGUGUAUGGAGAUUAUUGGGUCUUGUUUGGUUUAAUUAAUAAGAAAUUAAUGAGUGAACUCUCGUUCCUUGAAGUUACAUUUCAUUAUUUUUCUUUCUUUAACUAUUGGUUUAACUUUAAUGUGGAAUUUCAUUUUAAUUGUUUGAAGAUUAAUCGUUGCCGUGAACUAAGUUAAGCUGCUACCACAAACGCACCACCACCACCCGCCCACCUAUUCACCGCGUCCUCGCCACCUCAAAUGCACACCGUCACCGCGAGGAUGCCAUUAGCUCAACUACCACACCAACCGCCCACCGCCACUGGCCACCACCAAAUCACCCAUUGCGCCCAUGCUCCUCCGCCACGAGCCACGCUGCAGCCACCAUCGAAGCACCACGACCACCACCAUCAAUAUUCCAGUACCGCCAAGUUGCCCAAGCGAGAACCCCCUAAUCACUUCCCCGCCUUCACUCCCGAUUCCACCCCCCUUCUACUCGCACACCGAGUCAGCACUCUCCUCCCACCUCCCCGAUCUCCUCCACCUCGCCACGACCAUUGCUGUCCACUGCUCCCACCCGGCAUGACUGGAGAGUGUUGAUGGACUUUCAAGUCUAUGCUUACAACUUACAACUAAUCUUAGACUCUUCGUAACAAAUACAUCUGAAAAAAGGACAGAACUAACUAAGGAUCAAUGCAGCCACGCCCAUAUCUUUUGUUGAGAUCACUGGAGAGUGUAAAGCAGUUUAGUCUCGACCAUCUCAUGUAAUACAUCCAUCGCCCCUCAUAUUCUGACCAUCUUUAACAAGUGCUCGGGUGGAGAUUAGUUUUUUUGCCAGAAGGAGGAGAUUAGUUAUAAGUCUCCCAAGGUUGAAUUUGCUAGUGUUCAUAACUUUUGAUGAAAUACCAGAAGACAAUCUUUUCCUGCAUCUAUCACAACGUACAUAUGUAGCUAACAGAAUUAUUAAUUGAAUUCAAUAUCCCAGGUGACAACAGUUAAUUGGAAAAGCCAAUGAGUAUGAGACCCAUGUACGAGAAUUAUAUGUGAUGAUGCGGUUCAAAACUAUUAAGAGCGCGCACACACCUCCAGCUCGUCCAGAACUUCUGCAUGACUUGCCUUGAAGGACACAACAAAGAGAAGGCAACAAAAUCUCACCAAGCAAUGAUAAAAGCUGAAAGAGGAAGAAGAAGAAGAAGAAACAUUCUGCGCCAUCAUUUUGUCGCAAGUUGUCACAACUUUCUGGCCGUGUUUAAUAAAGUCGUUCAAAAGUCUUUGCUCAUGUAAUUUUACAGUCCAUUCUCACUUUCUGGCCGAACAGCACCUUUUACUAUAGGUCUUUAAUUAUCUUUAUAGACUCAUAUUGGUGAUGACCAUGGAAAAAGGAAAUAAAGUGGAAGAUGAAGAAGGUGGUAUUCACGCCAUUUUCCUAAUUUCCUGGUCUGUAAUGCAAUCUGCCAUUUGCCUGAAAUGAGUUGACAAUAAGAUGUAAUGAAAAUCUCGGAAAAUGAAAGAGCAUGUCUUCAAAGUUUGAACACAACAAACGGAAUGGUGAGGAUUGUAGCUAAUGCUGCUACCAGGGACAUCUCAUGUGAACUCCAGUGUCGCCUCCUCCGUGGUAUGAUGACUUGUACCUCAAAUAUUCGACCAAUGCAAAAGUUUCUGUAGGCACAGGGAGCUGUCAAAAUUGCUAAUUUCCAAGUCCACUCUAUUUAGUCAAUGCACAAAGUUCAUAUUUCUCACUCUCAUAUCAGCAGCGUCACAAAGUCUUCUCUUCCAAUUCCCAAGGAAAUGAAUUUUUUUUUUUUUUUAAAAAACUUUGCAGGGUUUAUACCAAUAAAUUAUCAAAUCUCUUUUUGCUUUGUCAAAAUGUCACAGUUGGCAUUAAAACUGAAUUGCAUAUUUAACUUUUUAUCGAUAAGAAAAUUUGACAGUAGAUUCACUUAUACGUCUCAGCUAGAAUUGUCCAUCAGUUUUCCGUUUGAGCUGAUUGAGAGGGAUGACAGUCCUUAUUGCUCAAGUUCUACCUAGAUGUCUAUUAUGGCACUGAAAUUGAAGCGUCGCUGGAGAUUAUCUGUCCUUUGCCAGAGCUGUCAUUGUGUGUCAGCAAUAUAUCCAGCUCUCUAGAUUCCAUGCUGAUUGGAUGAUACAACUGAGUCGCCAACGUGGAGUAGUUAGGUGGCACUUCACAGCAUGAUCAAGGGCUAUUCAACUCGAUGCUAUUCAAUAAAUGUCCACUAAUUUGCAUAAUUCUUGAAUGUAUAUUUCCAUGGAAGGUUCUUCCGUGCUUUUCCUCAUAAAUGCUGAGGAAAAACAAUGCCAUACCUUGCAAAUUUAUUGCCUCAGUCCCUUUUUUAUAUGAGCUAUUUAAUUGCCUGUUGUAGUUACGGUUGAUUAGUUUUUGAAGCAGCUAUUCACAUUGAAGCCGUUCAUGGAGGUUGUUAUCGUUGUUUUCACACAGUUAGGACUGCAGUAGACUCUCACUGCCCAUCUGGUCCCUGAUUUGCUGAAUCAUUAUUACACUCAUCCAGCUGAUAAUUGGGCAUCCUAGCGAAUCGUCAGCUGAUCAAUUAAGCACAUGUUGGGAUUUUUGCAAGUUUGGAAAAAUAAUUUCAGGCAGCACUAAUGCUUAAGAAAUCCUGUUGACAUUGGAGAGUUUCUCAGACCUCUUGUUGGAGAUGUUAAAUUCAGUUCUCUAUGACAUGCUUGGCAUCAACAUGUAGAAAUUCAUCUGCACUACAUUCAAUCUGGGAGUGGCACAAAUUCUGUUUCUUGGAGUAUUAUUAGAAAUGGGCGGAGGUAGAGUAGAAUGGGACCAAAUCAAAUUUUGAUUGAAAGAAAAAUCUCGCGCAAUUCCAGGUAAAUGUCAUUUGUCUAGAAUGCAGUUCCAAAAUAUCAGCCAAAACCAGCAUUUCAUAUGUGCAAGUUGCCCCUAAAAAUGUCGCCUCCAAGUCAUUGCCUAAUCAAUCCAAUGGUCUUUUACAGCUGGCGGCCUCUCUGUAAAAUUACUUUGCGUUUGGGGACAGCAAGCCUGUGAACCGCCUCUGGAGCCUCCUUCUGUCAUUGCAUUUGAUCAGAUGAAGCCUGCAGCCUCUUUCUGUUAAAUUUGUUACAAAUCUGACAGCCUUUGCAGUGUUGCACGGGCCCCCAGCCAUGAUUCCACUAUAUAUCCUUUGGGAAGCAUUUCAUCGACUGAACUUAUGACAUGGCUUGUGCAAUUUAACCUUUUCCUUAAAGUCCACUGAUCAAAGGGGCAAGCUCACAACAUCUGGUUUGAGUCCAAGCUUGAAGACUAUAUUCAAAACAGAGAAGCCAAGAUGAAAUCUUUUCAAGUGGCAAGAGGCAAUUUAUCAGAGUCCUGAGAAUAUAAAUGUCUCAAGAUUAAGGGGGUGUGGGUCAUUGCAGCAUCCUCUGCAAGUUAAAACAUAAUAAAAUCUACAGCAAGCCUAUGAUGAAAAGACAGUUAAAGGAAAGAAUCGUGGUCAAUCUAUUACUAGAAUAAAUAGCCAAAAAUUUUAAAUGGCAAAACAGACGUUAGAAAAGCUCUCAUUGUAGCUUGGCAGAUUCAUUUUUCAUACUCUCAUACCAUCAGCAUCAUAAGGAUAUCAUAAAAUGAAUUCCGACCUUUCUUUUCUGGUCUUCCGAUUCCAACGGAAUUUAAAAGAAAUUAGGCAUGAGUGCUUUCUACUUUCUGUUAAAUUAGUGCCUUAAUUUUCUCAUCACAUGUACCUUUUUAUCUUCCGCGAGUAGAGAAAUGCUAAAUCUAUAGCAACCUUACUGGAGAAACACAGUUAAAGAUAUGAACCAUGAUCAAUCCACAAUGAAGAUUUAUAGCGUAAAGGUUCAACGAGAAAACAGAUGUAAAGAAAAACUUUUGUUGUAGCUUGGUAGAGUUUUGAAGAUGGUGAUGAAGAACCAACAAGAGUUCCAUUGGGAGGAGACUCACAGAUCAACACAAUCUGGACCAUGUUUGUAUUGGUGUUCUCUGAAGUCCAUGCAUACAACUUUCAGCUAGUUUUAGGUCUUCUUGCCAAAUAUAGUCAAAACAGACAGAACUGAGGAUCAAUGCAGCCGCUCCAAUCAUCUCUCAUUGAGAUAAGAAAACUCUACCAUAUCCAGUCACUCUCAACCAUAUUGUGCAACCCAUGCAUCGCCCUCAUUUUCUGACCAUUUUUAACCAGUGCUCAGGUGGAGAAUGCAGCUUCUCUUUCAUUUCUUGAAGCAGCUCAUAGGCAUCACUCAUUUGGUUGGUUUACAUAGCCCUGCAAUUAUAGCACCAAAUAACAAAGCAUCAUGUUGCAAACCUUUCUUAGGCAAAGCAUUGGAGAGUUCUUUAGCAUCUUCAAGUUCCCCUGCUGCAUAAGCCGCUAAUAAGGGUGUUAUAGCUGAUGAUAUGGACAUUUCCAUCUUUCACUUGUCUAUACAAAGCAAUUGCCUCAUGAACCUGGUGACAUUUACAAAGAUCAUCUAAGUUGUUGAUUAUUGUUGAUUUAAAUGUUCGCUACUAGCUAGAAUUUUGUAAAACAAUUGGUGUGCAACCUGAGGCAGUUCAAUGAGGAAAAAGCCACCCCCUGAGAUAGUUAUAGGUGGCAACAUCAGGGACUGAUCCAUUCUGUAACAUUCAUGAAUCAAUGAUAGAUUGGUUGUGAGUGAAAGCGAGCAGUUUUGUGCAAUCAUCAAAUGAAAUGUAGUGGGUGCAUCAUCCAUUUGAUUUUAAUAAUGGUAACCACCAAGCGAUGAAUUAUAAGCAACUGGGUCGGGUGUAAAUCCUCCUCAGAUCAUCAGAUCAGAGAUGCACUUUGCCUCGGUAGUCCUGCCCAUCCCACUCUGCAAAGUGCAUCCACAAUGAUACUGAUGGUUCGAACAUCCGCCAUCGUUCCUCUUUGCAGCAUCUCAGCUAACGCAACUGAAGGCUCUUCCCAGUGGCCACCACAGCAUAGGCCUUGGAUUAAGGAGUUACGAGUGAAAACAUGUGGCCAGAUUCCAUUGCUCAUCAGCUUGUCCAACAAAACCUUUGCUUCUUUCCAUUAACCUAUGCAAGUUGAGCAAGGGAUGACAUUUGGGCAUCAGCCAUAGUAUUAUAGAACUUCAAAGCCUCUGUCCCGGUGCCUCCUAUGAUCGUGGUGUACAUGAUCUCAUCUAGCUCCCAGCCUGUCUUCCAAAUUCUUCAGCAAUCGAACGGUUUUCCUAGCUUUGCCGGUUAUGCACAAUCUGUCACUAUGGCUCCACACGUGGUCAUAUCUACCUUGAUUCAUCUGACCGACAUUUCAUCCGCCAAGCUCAUGGCUCCGGCAAUUUUACCAUCUCCAACAAGCCCAUUGAUCAAAGUGUUAAAGCUCACACUUGGGGGUUCUAGUGCAAGUUCGUCCAUUUAAAUUGGUGGAGGCAACUCACCAAAAUGCUGCCGGUAAAAACGACGGGAGCCGUUCCCUUGGAAUCCGUAAUGCUCCGUCUUGGCCACAGCCCCUUAGAGUUGGGUGGAAACAUGGAGGUGAAGGCAAAGUGUUCAUCCGAACCAUCCUCUCCAAGUAGAAUAAGGGUGCGUUUGAUAACUACACAAAAUUUAUGUUUUUGGAAUAAAAAAAGAACAUAAACACAUUUGGUAAACUUCUAUAAUUUUUUUUUUGUUUCUUUUAAUUUUUUAAUAUUUUUAUUUUAUUUUUCCUUUUUUCUUUUUUCAUCCUUUUGGCCGGUCGCUGGACUUAGCCAUGGCCGGCGAUCGGCCGACAAGGGCUGGCGGCCUCGCCUUGCCAUGGCGAGGCUCGCUAGGGGCCGGCGACGCUCUGGCGAGGUCAUCGGCCCUCGACGGCCGGUCGCCUAGUCAAAGAAAAAAGAAAAAGAAAAGAAGAAGAAAAGAAAAAAAAAAUAGGAGAGAGAAAAAUUGUUUCUCCAAAGUGUUUCCAGGAACAAGAAACAAGUUUUUCUUGUUUUUUUUUUUUCUGUUCCAAAUUUGUUUUCAGGAACAAAAAAUAUAUAUUUAGAACAAAAGUAUAAACAAACGCGUUUCUAUUCGUCUUUUGUUCCUCGGAACAAAAGAACAGAAAUUGUAUUCCGGGGAACAAAAAAAGAACACAAACAAACAGGCCCUAAAGCAUCGUCGGCUUCCUCCGAUCCCGCCAUUUCAGCAAUUUUUUUUUUCGUCACAAAGGCCCCGCAUUCAGGUCGAUCCAUUGAAUACCUUACUCCAGCAGUGGUCGCGCAAGCGCGAGAGCAACGUGAAGGCAAAUGGAUCGAGGGAGGGACGAAGGUGUGGACGGUGUCCAUCACCCUUCCACCUUCGCGGAACGCGUACGGGAGGUGGGCCUUCAAACUGGCAUUAUAUUCUUUUUCGUUUUUUGCAUUAUAUUCUAGAUUUUUAUUUUUUAUCUUUUGAAUUUAUCGGCUGAGAUAUUGAAAAAGAUAAUUAAAAAAUCACAAAAAAAUCCAAACUGGCACAUUUUCUUUAAUCAAAUCAUAUCCACUACUUAUUAACUGAUUAUGCCAAUUAAUAAUCUUUUCUGAAAACUUAAUAUGUAGAAAGUCAACUUAACUGAUUAUGCCAUAAUAAUCUUUUUCGAAAACUUAAUCUAUAGAAAGUCAACUUUUUUAUAUGCGAAAUUACUAGGUACGUGCAAAAGUAGGUUAACUGUAAAGUCGCCUUUAACAUAGUGUCACAAUUACUAAAACUGAGAGGGCACAAAAAUCAUGUGACAUAGCGUAUAAACUUAUCGAAAUGUCAAAAAUCUAGAGAAAUUCACAAUAGUAGAUGCUCAUAGAGUUCUGGAAAUUCCUGGGCUCGAGGAAUUCACAAAAAUCUCUAACGUUUGUGUAUAUCAUUGGGAUGAAAAACAAUGGAAAAUUUAUUAGAUUUAUCGGCACGUAGGAAGUUACAAUUUCUAUUUGCACGUGACUGCACGGGACUUACCCACUAUACUCAGUUUCAGGGGCUUGGAGAGUUGUAUCUAGUUUAUCUGGAUAUAUGUAGACGCAAUUCAUUAUAAACAAUAUCAAAAUCAAGUGGAACUGAUAACUCUAUAAAAAUAGAGUUAUUUUACCUAUUUUAAGCAACAAUUAAUGCAUUAUCUAUGAGAAAAUAUUUGGAUUUCCUUCUUAUUAUUUAAAUUUUCCUUGUUUAUCCAGAAUAAUGAGAUAUUGAGAAGAUAAGGAAAAGAAUGGCAACUAUCAGGAAUUCAAAUAAAAGCAGCAGUGGAAGAUGGAUAUCAAAUCAGGAAAUUCUUGAUUUUGUUCCCUAAUGUUAUCUGCAAGUGUUGGGAGAUAGAUAUUUUAGAUUUCUUAUAAAUAGGAAAGAGAGAGAGAAGCUAGGGUUUUGGGGGGGGGGGUUAGAUCGUUUUUCAUUCUUUUGAGAGUUUUUCAAUUAUUUUGAAGAGAAGACAAAAGUGGUGACAGAAUUCUUGUUUUUUGAUUCAAGAUGCUGGGUUUAAUUUAUAUUUUUAUUUUUUCUUCUACUAUGUUCUAAUUUUCUUUUGUUAGGGUUACGAUGUAGUCUAACCAUGAUGAUAUGGAUUUCAUGAUUUUUAUGUUUUACAAUUGAUUUCAUUCAUGUGAGUUAUAUAUUAUUGCGUUUAAUGCACACCACUUGAAUGAUCUGAUGUGCAUGUUUGAGACUAAGAGGUGAUAAUAUGCAAUUGCUCGUUAUAAUAUAUAACCAUGAAUUAAACGUGGAUAGAAAUAUACCGCGUUAUUUGUGUAGUUUUCGGUGAUAAGGUGAUCCAAAAAACUCAUUGUAAACCAGGAAUAUUAAUAAUUUUUAAUGCACUCAUGUUUAUUUUAAUUCACAUAGAGAUAUAGUGAAUUAAUAAGCGGAGUAGGUUUGCUAUACCUAGAGAUAGGAUAGUAAAUAGAUUAGGAAAUUCCGCUAUCACAUGUUUGAUAUCGUUCUUGUAUUCACAACAAUCUGAAAUUCAUAUCUAGUGGUUAUGGUGAAAUCGGAUGCUCUAACAUAUUUAUCUGAUUGAUUUUACUGCAUUUAGUCUUCAAGUUUUGUUUUUAAUUUAUUCUAAAUUAUAUUUUGAUUUGUUAGAUAAAUUUUAGAAUAAAUCUAUUUUAUAUUUAAUUAGUUUAUUAAUCAUUGAUCUCCAUAGAACGAUACUUUUUCUCAUCAUUAUAUUACUUGUUCGAUACGUAUACUUGCGUUUAGAAUUUCACGAGCAAGUUUUUGGCGCCGUUGCCGGGGAUCGUUUGUUUAAUACUAAUUAAUAUUGAUACCAGAUAAUUCUAAGUUUAAUCUAGCUUUCGUUUUGUUUUAUUUUUCAGGGUGUACAUCGGUUUAUGACACGUAGCCAACAAGGGGAACUUGUUGAACUUGAUCCACAAAUCGAGCGUACAUUCAAAAGGCGAUUGAGAGAACAGAGAAAUCACACUAAGAUGGCAGACGUUGAGAAUGAAAAUCCACGUAGACUCUUAAGAGAUUAUGUUGCGUCAAUAGUUCAAGGCACCACAUCAAGUAUCAGAAGACCUGCAAUUCAAGCAAACAACUUUGAGAUCAAACCGUCACUCAUUCAGAUGCUUUAACAAUCAGUGCAAUUCAGUGGGCUACCAAGCGAUGAUCCAAACGCUCACAUCGAUGCUUUUUUUGAAAUUCGUGACACCAUUAAAUAUAAUGGAGUUAUAGAUGAUGCUAUUAGAUUGAGAUUAUUUAUAUUCUCUCUUAGAGAUAAAGCUAAGAGUUGGCUUUCUUCUCUUCCUACAGGAUCAAUUACUACAUGGAAUGAUAUGGCUUAGAAAUUUCUUGGUAAGUUAUUUCCACCUGCAAAGUUUGCGAAGAUGCGUAACAAUAUUACUAAUUUUAUGCAGAUGGAUAAUGAAUCAUUAUAUGAAGCAUGGGAAAGAUUCAAAGAAUUUCUUAGGAGAUGCCCACAUCACGGACUACCCGUAUGGAUGCAGGUACAAACUUUUUAUAAUGGCUUUAGUACAAAUCUUUGUUCUAUGAUUGAUGCAGCUGCAGGGGGGACUUUAAAUAAUAAAACACCAGAAGAAGCCUACAAUCUAUUAGAGGAGAUGGCAUCCUGGCAUCCAAUAGUUAUCAGUGGCCUACUGAGAGAUUACCAAUGCGAAAAGUUAGCGGAGUUCAUGAAGGGGAUGCUUUUGUUGCAAUUGCUGCACAAUUUGAAACAUUCAACAAAAAGCUUGAUAAUAUGAGUAUUUCAGUCAUGAAAAUUCACAAUUUGACAUGUGAUUUUUGUGGUGGAGGACAUGUUAGCACAGAGUGUUAGAUAAGUAAUACUUUUAAACCAUCUCAUGAAAAUUCUAACUUUGUUGGGAAUUUUAACAGGUUGCAGAAUAAUCCCUACUCCAACACAUACAAUCCGGGAUGGUGCAAUCAUCCAAAUUUUUCAUGGAACAAUCAGAAUGUGAUGAGACCACAAGGAUUCAAACAAUCAGAAGAGACAAAGUCAAAUUUGGAAGACAUAGUCACCAAACUUGCUAACACAACUCAUGACUUCAUCAAAAGCACGGAUGUGAGAUUUCAAAACCAAGAGGCUUCAAUCAGAAAUCUGGAGAUGCAAGUGGAUCAGUUAGCAAGCAUGAUGUCAGGAAGGCAACAGGGUUCUUUGCCGAGCAACACAGAGAAAAAUCCAAUUGAAAACAUAAAGGCUAUUACCCUGAGAAGUGGUAAACAAGUAGGAGAAGAAGAGAUUGUCAGAGACAAAGAAGAGGUGAUCAAUAAACAAUCGAAUGAGACAAGCAAGAGUAAACUUUUUCCAGAUAAUCUCAAGCCAUAUGUGCAGCCAAUUCCAUUCCCUUAGCGACUCCAGCAGCACAAAAUAGAUAAGCAAUUUUCUAAAUUUCUUGAUGUAUUUAAAAAAUUGCACAUUAACAUUCCUUUUGCAAAUGCUUUAGCGCAAAUGCCUAGUUAUGCAAAAUUUUUGAAGGAGAUUUUGACAAAUAAAAGGAAACUGGAGGAUUAUGAAACUGUGAAGUUAAACGAGGAGUGUUCAGCCAUCCUACAAAACAAAUUGCCUACGAAAUUAAAAGAUCCAAGGAAUUUUACUAUUCCUUGCACUAUUGGGGAUUCUUACUUUGAAAAAGCAUUAUGUGAUUUAGGUGCAAGUACUAAUCUGAUGCCUUAUUCAAUUUUCAAGAAAUUAGGAUUGGGUGAGGUAAAAGCAACCACAGUGUCACUUCAACUGGCUGAUCGAUCAAUUAAAUAUCCGAGAGGUAUUGUGGAAGAUGUUUUGGUAAAAGUUGACAAAUUUAUCUUUCUUAUAGAUUUCAUAAUUCUUGACAUGGAGGAAGAUUUUGAGGUACCACUUAUCUUAGGUCGACCUUUUCUAGCAACAGAAAGAGCUCUUAUUGAUGUACAACAGGGGAAGUUGAUCCUUAGAGUUCAAGAUGAUCUUGUUUCAUUUAAUGUUUUUAAAGCAAUGAAAUAUCCAUCUGAUGAUAAUUCUUGUUUUAGAAUUGAGAUAGUUGACAAGUUGGUGAAUAAGGUUUUUCAGGAAAAUAUUUUUGAAGAUCCACUUGAAGCAUGUUUGAUUCAACUAAGGAACAAAGAUAUUCAGAAUGGGAAGAUAAAUGAGUACGCAAAUUUCAUGGAGGCAAUUCCACCAUAUUCAAGGCAAAAGACAAUUAAAUUUGAGGAGUUUGGACAACACAUUACAAAGCCUAAACCAUCAAUUGAAGAGCUUCCAAUUCUUGAACUCAAACCCUUACCUUCUCAUUUGAAAUAUGCUUAUUUAGAUGGAGUUUCUUCUUUACCGGUAAUUAUAUCUUCUUCUUUGACAGAUUUGAUGGAGGAUAAAUUGCUCAGAGUAUUAAGAGAGCAUAAAGGUGCAAUUGGAUGGAAAAUAGCUGAUAUCAGGGGAAUUAGUCUUUCAAUUUGCAUGCACAAAAUUUUGAUAGAGGAGCAAUAUAAACCCACUGUCCAACCUCAGAGGCGUUUGAACUCGAAGAUGCAAGAAGUAGUGAAAGCUGAGGUAAUUAAACUACUUGAUGCAGGUAUCAUCUAUCUUAUCUCUGAUAGUUCUUAGGUAAGUCCUGUACAAGUUGUACCAAAGAAAGGUGGUAUGAUUGUUCAGAAAAACGACAACAAUGAAUUGAUUCCAACUAGAACAGUUACUGGGUGGUGUGUGUGUAUGGAUUACAGAAAAUUGAAUGAUGUCACUAGAAAAGAUCACUUUCCUUUACCAUUUAUUGAUAAGAUGUUAGAAAGACUUGCAGGGCAUGAAUUUUAUUGCUUUCUAGAUGGAUAUUCAGGGUAUAAUCAGAUUCCUAUUGCACUAGAAGAUCAAGAGAAAACUACUUUUACUUGUCCCUAUGGUACUUUUGCUUUUAGAAUAAUGCCCUUUGGUCUUUAUAAUGCACCAGCUACUUUUCGAAGAUGCAUGAUGGCUAUUUUCUCUGAUAUGGUUGAAAAAUAUAUUGAGAUUUUUAUGGAUGAUUUUUCCGUUUUUGGCCUAUCAUUUGAUUCUUGUUUAAAUAAUUUGGCUUUGGUCUUCAAAGAUGUGAGGAGACUAACCUUGUUUUGAAUUGGGAGAAGUGUCACUUUAUGGUGCAGGAAGGAAUAGUGCUUGGGCAUAAAAUUUCUCGAAACGGAAUAGAAGUCGAUCGAGCCAAAGUGGAGGUCAUUGCAAAAUUACCUCCGCCAACAUCUGUGAAACUUGUCAGAGGAUUUUUGGGGCAUGCAGGAUUUUACAGGCGAUUUAUAAAAGAUUUUUCAAAAAUUGCUAAACCUCUUUCUAAUCUUUUGGAAAAAGAUGCUCCUUUUAAUUUUUCCGUUGAAUGCAUGCAGGCUUUUAACACUUUAAAGGAGAAGUUAAUAUCAGCACCAAUUAUGGCAUCACCAAAUUGGGAUUUACCUUUUGAGCUGAUGUGUGAUGCUAGCGAUUCUGCAGUAAGAGCUGUUUUGGGACAAAGGAAGAAUAAAAUUUUUCAAACCAUAUACUAUGUUAGUCGAACCUUGUCAGGUGCACAAUUGAAUUAUUCAACAACAGAAAAUAAACUUCUGGCAAUAGUAUUUGCUUUUGAUAAAUUUCGUUCUUAUUUAAUUGGCUCAAAAGUUAUAGUUUAUUUUGACCACUCUGCUCUUAAGUAUCUGCUUGAAAAGAAAGAAUUAAAAUCCAGGUUGAUCAGGUGGAUUCUAUUUCUGCAAUAAUUUGAUUUGGAAAUCAAAGAUAAGAAGGGGACUGAAAAUCUAAUUACAAAUCACUUAUCAAGAAUUCCAAAUUCAAAAGAAGAGGUAAGACCAAUUUUGGAAGAGUUCCCUGAUGAGAAAAUUUUUUUCCAUCAAGUCAAUUCCUUGGUAUACUGACUUUGUAAAUUAUUUGGUAAGUAAUGUUCUUCCUCCUGAAUUAUCAUAUCAACAGAAGAAAAAAUUCUUUUCUGAUGUUAAAAAUUAUUUUUGGAAGAACCUUUUUUGUUUAAAGUAUGUGCAGAUCAGGUCAUAAGGAGAUGUGUUCUAGAUGAAGAGAAGACAAACAUUCUACAUCAUUGUCAUGAUGAAGAGACAGGUGGCCAUUUUGGUGCCAUAAAAACUGCAGCUAAGAUUUUACAAUCUGGAUUUUAUUGGCCUACACUUUUUAAAAUGCAUACUCCUAUGUAGCUUCAUGUGAUAGGUGUCAAAGAACUGGAAAUAUUUCAAGAAAAAAUUAAAUGCCUUUAAACAACAAUAUUGUGUGUGAAUUAUUGGGUAUUGAUAUCAUGGGACCCUUUACACCUUCUUAUGGAAAUUUAUACAUUUUAGUGGCUGUGGAGUAUGUGUCUAAAUGGGUAGAAGUUGUAGCAUUACCAACAAAUAAUGCUAAAGUUGUGGUCAAAUUCUUGAAAAAAAAUAUUUUUACCCAAUUCGGCACUCCUAAGGCAAUCAUAAGUGAUAGGGGGACACUUUUUUACAACAAACAGUUUGAAGCACUUUUGAGUAAGUACGGAGUCACACAUAAGGUUGCAACCCCUUAUCAUCCUCAGACUAGUGGUCAAGUAGAGAUUUCAAAUAGGGAAAUCGAGAGAAUUUUAGAAAAAACAGUGAAUGCCUCUAGGAAAGAUUGGUCAAUAAAACUUGAUGAUGCACUUUGGGCCUAUAGGACGGCGUUCAAAACUCCAAUUGGGAUGUCUCCAUUUAGGCUAGUAUUUGGAAAGGCUUGUCACUUACCAGUGGAAUUAGAGCAUAAAGCAUAUUGGGCAUUGAAAUUUCUAAAUUUUGAUAUGCAGUCUGCAGGUGAAGAAAGAUUAUUGCAAUUGAAUGAAUUGGAGGAAUUUCGCAAUGAGGCCUAUGAAAAUUCUAAGUUGUACAAGGAGCGUACAAAAAGAUGGCAUGACAAGCACAUAUUGAGAAGAUAGUUUAAAAUUGAUCAAAAAGUUUUACUCUAUAACUCUCGUCUUAAACUUUUUUCAGGAAAGUUGCGAUCUAGAUGGUCUGGUCCUUUUACAGUUACACAGGUAUUCCCAUAUGGAACAUUUGAAGUUGUGCAUGACACUGAGGGCACAUUUAAAGUGAACGGUCAACGUUUGAAACCCUACUUUGAAGGUGGUUACAAUAAGCAGAAGAUCACAAUUGAACUUCAUCCUCCAUAAUAGCGACAUCUGAGAUAGUUUGGCUGAAAACUAUAAAGCAAGCGCUUCUUGGGAGGUAACCCAAGCAUUUUAAUUAUGUUUUUAUUUAUUUUUAAGUUUAUGUUUUGCCAAAAAAAAAACGAUUAACUUUUCUCUGUUUUAUCCAGAUUAAUUUUUAGGGAGCACAUUUCAAGAGUUUAAUCAUCAAGAUCAUCUAUGGACUUAUCUUACAACCAAGGAAGUUUUCUUCUUCUUAUUCUAUUUUUCGCAUUGAGGACACUGCUUCAUUCAAGUUUGGGGGGAAGACAAAUUUUUGGAUAAUUUUUUAUCAUUAUUGCUUUCCUGGUUGUAAAUUUUUAUGAUUCUUAGGAAAAUUUAAAGUUUAUUUAAACUUGCAAUUGAUGUGUGAGUUAAUCUUAAUUCUAAUUAUGUUGAUCAACUUACUGAGCACUAAAAGUCCUUACUUUUUGAAUUGUGUGUAAAUCUAGAGAACAUUCAUGUGAAAUAUGUGAUUUUCUUAGAUUUCACCCAAAUCUUAGAAUUUGUUUGAUUUUCUCUUGAGGCGAAAUCCUAAGCUAAAUCUAACUGAGAAAAUGAUAUAGGCAGUUUUUGGAUCGAUUGAGCCUUUCAAGCCAACCUUGUUUAUUUAUCCCUAGUCACCCCGUUGAGCCUUAAUUAUUACCCAAUUUUUCAUUGGCACCCAUAUACGUUUAGCCUAGCCAUUAUCAAAUUAUAUCCUUAUCCCAUGCCCUAUGAACACGUUGAUUUUCUUUUGGGAUAAAAAAUUAUUUGAGUUUGAUAGAAAUUUGGGAGGAAUGAUGAAGUAAAAAAGAAGAAGAAAAAAAGUGAUUGCUAUGGUUGUUUGGGGUGUAUUGUCAAAAAAAAAAAUUGCUUUUAUGGUUCCCUAUCCAACUUUCAAUUGAGUGAGCCUUUUGGAUACUCAAUGGGUUGGAAAUUUUCAUGUUAUAUUAGGAAGGACUUUGGGAGAAACUCCACCAUAAAGCAAUUCAAAAAAAAAAAAAAGGAAAAAAAAGGGAAUAAUGAUAUAUUGUGGCAGAAAAAUUAUCUUGAAGGAGUGAAAUUGGACAGUGACAUUGGCUCUAAUUAGAUCCUAGAAAUCAACGUAUUGAUGGGUGAUUUGAGGUUAAAAUUCCCAUUAUCUCACCUUUAGCCCAGCCUUACAUUACAACCUGAGAAAAAUCCUAUUGAUUUUUGGUUGGAUGAUUAGCUUACAUUAGUGGAGAGGGGAAUGAAAAGCAAACCUAUGAGAUUUGGUCAUAAUUAUUGAGAAUGUUUUAGAGGUUACAUGUCAAUGUGAAUUUAUCCGGAUUGCAUAUAAUUUGAAAAAGAUGAGGACUCUCACAUACACACUUGGAUCAUAUAGUUAAAAUUGGUCUUAACUUAUAAAUUGAUUUUAAUGUUUGGAUGAAAUUUGUGUUUUUCUUUGAAUUGUGAAUUUAAGCAAUUAUGGAAAGAUGUCAUGGAGAAAGUUGUUAGGUUGAGUAUGUGUUAUGUCUUACUUUUGCUCGAGGACUAGCAAAAUGUUAAGUUUGGGGGUUUGAUAACUCUAUAAAAAUAGAGUUAUUUUCCCUAUUUUAGGCAACAAUGAAUACAUUAUUUAUGAGAAAAUAUUUGGAUUUCCUUCUGAUUAUUUAAAUUUUCCUUGUUUAUGCCGAAUAAUGAGAUAUUGAGAAGAUAAGGAAAAGAAUGGCAACUAUCAGGAAUUCAAAUAAAAGUAGCAAUGGAAGAUGGAUAUCAAAUCAGGAAAUUCUUGAUUUUGUUCCUUAAUGUUAUCUGCAAGUGUUGAGAGAUAGAUAUUUUAGAUUUCCUAUAAAUAUGAAAGAGAGAGAGAAGCUAGGGUUUGGGGGGGGGGGGGGGUUAGAUCGUUUUUCAUUCUUCUGAGAGUUUUUCAAGUAUUUUGAAGAGAAGACAAAAGUGGUGACAGAAUUCUUGUUCUUUGAUUCAAAAUGUUGGGUUUAAUUUAUAUUUUUAUUUUUUCUUCUACUAUGUUCUAAUUUUCUUUUAUUAGAGCUACAAUGUAGCCUAACCAUGAUGAUAUGAAUUUCAUGAUUUUUAUGUUUUACAAUUGAUUUCAUUCAUGUGAGUUAUAUAUUAUUACGUUUAAUGCUUUUGAGUGACUAGCCACCACUUGAAUGAUCUGAUAUGCAUGUUUGAGACUAAGAGGUGAUAAUAUGCAAUUGCUCGUUAUAAUAUAUAACCAUGAAUUAAACGUGGAUAGAAAUAUACCGCGUUAUUUGUGUAGCUUUCGGUGAUAAGGUGAUCCAAAAAACUCAUUGUAAAUCGGGAAUAUUUAUAGCUUUUAAUGCACUCAUGUUUAUUUUAAUUCACAUAGAGAUAUAGUGAAUUAAUAAGCUAAGUAGGUUUGCUCUACCUAGAGAUAGGAUAGUAAAUAGAUUAGGAAAUUCCGCUAUCACAUGUUUGAUAUCGUUCUUGUUUUCACAAUAAUCUGAAAUUCAUAUCUAGUGGUUAUGGUGAAAUCGGAUGCUCUAACAUAUUUAUCUGAUUGAUUUUACUACAUUUAGUCUUCAAGUUUUGUUUUUAAUUUAUUCUAAAUUAUAUUUUGAUUUGUUAGAUAAAUUUUAGAAUUAAUCUAUUUUAGUAUUUAAUUAGUUUAUUAAUCAUCGAUCUCCGUGGGAAGAUACUUUUUCUCAUAAUUAUAUUACUUGUUCGAUACAUGCACUUGCGUUUAGAAUUUCAAGAGCAGGAACACGUCUCAAAGAGAAUUUUGAAGAAUUCGAACAUCAUUUGGAUGAUAAAAAAAGUCCAUUUCUGGAGAUAAAGGAUGUGAUAAGCCAUGUUCUUAUGUUGAUAUAUAUUGACAAUGAGAAUUUCCUUGACGGCGUCUCCUGUUUAAUGAUCGAUUACCAUAUUCUUAAAGAUAAUAAAAAAAUUCCAUGAUUCCCUCCUUUACGUGGUUUGUAAGCAAUAAACACUUUCAACAGGAAGAAAGACAGCAAAUAGGCAAAACCUCCCAUUUAAAUUUUUUCCAACUUGGGAAGGAAUCUUCAAUUAUAAGAAUUUGACAAAUACUCCUCCCUCGGGCUUUCAAAAUCCACUCCUGAGGGAUGUAGUCGAGCCUCAAGCUUUCCACUUUAAGAAAUGAUUGGAUGACCUUCUUUAAUCUACUAUGAUAAUAAGAGUCAAGUUUUUUUUUUCUUCGAUUCUACUCUAAUUCUACUCUAAUUCUACUCUAACACUCAUUAUCAGACUUUUGUCAUGCCUCCUUGCAAGGUGUGGGAGUCGAAACCCAUUCCUGAAAUGAAAUCGUCCCCACUCCAAUCCCUCCUAAGAAGAUGGGGAUUUGAACCCUCCACCUCCCCCUACCAAGUUGGAAGGGUGGCCACUGGGACGAAUCCCCAGUGGUUUAAGAGUCUAGUUUGGAUCACCAAAAAAAAUCAAACAACAAAUAAUUUCAAAUUGUUGUGGGGUCAACUCAUUUAGGGAUGUAUGGCUCACAACAAGCCGUUAUUCUCACAGUAACUCAAAAGCUAUUAUGUUGGUAAAGUCCUUUCACUUUCUCUCUCUUCACUUGAUAGAUUAGUUCAAAAGGCUUGUCAUUUAUUGUUAUCUUUCUUUGGCCACCAAAAUUUUAUGUUUUUCUCUUUUUAAUCUAGUCAUUUACUAUACUUACCUUCCAAUCCCCUUUUUCCUAUAACAUGAGGUAGCCAAGCCUUUCAACUGAAAUAAUCUGUAUGGAUGCAUAUAAUUCUUCUCAUCCGUGUAUAUUAGAUAAGGCUCUAGAAGGUGCAAGCACGUUUCCCCUAAUUAAUACAAGUGUGAGACUAUAAUUUGGACAUGUAAUCUACUAGAUCCACAGCCAAGCAUUUAACUAACUCAGCUUAACCAUUAGGGGCCCCUUCUAAUCUCUUCACUCUACUCUAUAAUUCUAACAAGAGAUCUACAUUAAAAUGAUGUUGUGCUAUUGUCUACUGACUUAACUUUUGUUUUCUAAAUCUUCCACGAAAUGAAGAUACUUAGGAGCUUCAUAUCAUUUAAAAAGGAACCUCGGUACAAUGAUAGAUUCUUGUGCUCCCAAAAAGUGCCAUGUGACUUGUUGGUAGAAAUGAAGUACCUAAGAGUGUUUUCUUUAGUUACUAUCGCAACCCAACAUACCAUAUUGCAUUAGUCAAUUGAGGCUUCUACACUAUCUCAAUUUUUCAUAAAUCAAAAGGCUUCCCGAAUCAAUUGUUGGAUUGCACAGCCUAGAGGCUUUGAUGCUGUGAGGUUUGAAAAUCUCAUCGAAAUACAAGAAGGCAUGGAGGAAAUAGAUCAAUCUACAGUUUGUCCAUGUUGGAGACACUUGGAGCCUAAGAGCAAUGACAUUGUAUUAGGUUAUCUUGUGGUCAUCAGAUCUUGUUGAAGUUUGUUGUGGAAACCGAAAACAGAUCGAAGCUAGAGGAGUUUAAAAAAACUGAAGCAUCUUGGAGGGGAGUUGUUCAUCUCCGAGUUGUAUAAGGUUGGAGAAGUAGAUGAUGCCAAAGAGGCCAUUUUACAAGAAAGGAGGGAAUAAGCUGGUUGAGCAUGCAAUGGAGCGGAUGUUUCGAAAAUUCCUGGAAGGAGGUGCUUGAAGAGGAAGGACCUACCAAAUCUCACAUUAUCCUACUAUUAUGGCUUAGAAUUUCCAUCAUGGUGGUCAACUUUGACGUGGCACAUAUGGUUGCCACAUCAACAUCUCCAUUUUCAAUUUUAACAUAAUGAAUAACUUGAGCAAAAAUUUAAUAUAUAAUUUAGGGACUAUUUUGGCAAAAAAAAAAAAUAGUACAAGAAUGAUAUCGAACAAAUUGAAAAAGUAUGCGACACUAGCAAUUUCAUUAUCACUAAACUUUUCACACAAGUUUUAUCAAGAGAAUUUUUUCAAGGUUUAUUAUUUGCUGUUCUUCUGCUACCAUAUUAAGGACAAUUAACAUCUUUAAAGAGUGGUAUACACACUUUAGAGUCUAUUUUCAUUUCCGCCAACGUUGUGUUAUCUGAUAUCGCAUAGUCCUUAAAAGGCGGCAUCAUUUAAAAUUCAAUUUCCAAUGUAAACACCUUGACUUUAGCGUAAGUACGGAGUCGCAAAAGGUUGACCAUCCACUUUGGUUUGAACGGCCACGUGGUCCAAUUACAAAGAGAACUAGGAAAAAUAUCCUGGAAGUCUACAGUGGGGUUAGUCUUGCCAAUUUCCAGGAAGGGGGUUGUUCGGGGGCCUUGGUCAAAAGAUAAGGGCUAAAGAAGUAAAUUGCCUCGUCAAAGAAACGCUAUCCACCACACACAAUUGCUUGUGUACGAUGGCCGAAGCCCGUCUGGCUUCAUCCUUCGGUGCAAGGGAAAAAGCAAAGCUUGUUCAAGGGCAGGGGGGGCCUUGUGCUUGAAGAGGAUAAACACAUUGGAUCUUCUUUGCUUGUUCAGAGGUAAGAACACCAUGCCAAACACCAGAAAUCAUUGAGAUGCUCGUUUUCGUUCUGAGAUAUAUUUGGUUUAAUAACUCUAGAUUGAGGCGUGAAGUUGAUCCUUCCAGUUGUACUGUCUUUCGGGACUCCGGACAUAACUUGAUCUUCUCCAAACUGACUCAUUCUCAAACACAAGACUCACUGCAAUAAGUUCGUCUCUGCAUCGCUUCUUCAGGUAAGCCCAACCAUGAUUAUUUAGUCUGAUCAAGGGGCUGAUGUCCAUGCUUUAUCUAGACUUCAGGCUUGCACUUUAUUAUGCUCCGCACAUUGUUUUUAUGGAAUUGCUUGCACCUGACUGCAUUAUAACCUGUUGAGACUUCAUCUACCCCAACCUCACCUGUUAACUGAUAUUAGAACAAAUGUUGAAAAUUUAUGUGUAGUCCAACUUUCGACUUGAUUAUUCUGUUUAAUAUGUUUUGUCAUCCUUUUCUAGGUCAAGACAUCAUCCUCUACAUUAUGUGAAUAGAUCAAUACGUAUUUGGUUACAUUAAAAAUGUUAUUUAAAAUGUUUUAGACACGAUGAAGGAAGGGCUUUCAUAAACAAGAUGUGACAGUAUGAGAGGAGAUCGUAUAUGUCUAUAGCACCGAGAUAAGGCAUAAUAGCAAGUGACCUUCUCUCGCGUGCAAAUUUGAAUGAAGUCGUAUCAAGAACACUUGUAGAAAUGGGGGAAUGGAAUAAAGAAAAUAAAAUGCUUAUCUUCUCCAUGGAUGAGAGAUUUUAGGGAGUGACAUCGUUGAGCUCUAAGGAAACUCUUCCUAAUCCUAGCAAAUCAUUGAUAACUUCAAAUUAUUUUGAUUGAUAAGUAUUGGUCACGCCUAUCGUGUCCAUUAUGGAAUAAUGAAUGUGCAUGAUCACACACACAUCUUCUAGCUCUUUUGUGAAAAACCAAUUUCUUAGCGUACGUUCAAAAUCACGGAGAAAAUAAUUGAUAUGUUUAUUGAUCAACAUUUUAAACAAAAUUAAAGAGGACAAUCUGCUUUGGCAAAAGGAAAAUUAAUAUUGUGAUCUCAAAUUUAUUAAAUCAAUCAUACCAAAUGUCAAAGAAAAAUAAUUGUGCCUAGAGCAACCAAGAUCGCUCCACCAAUUCAUACCUUGCGCACAAAGUGCACGAAGUGGGAAUUCAACAGAGUGCAAAUUUAAGUGAAAACUAUUGGAAAAUAAUCCAAAGAAAACACAAACUGUUUGUUGCAAUCAGAACAUGAAAUUGGAUGUGAGGUACGGAUAUCUGAAUCUCCUUAAAGCAAUUAGUUCCUACCAAUAGUGCUCCACAGAUUUACGAAUUAUGCCUCCCAAGAUACAACACCUCGAAUUUGUUUGGAUUAGUAUUAUACAAACAUGACUCAGUCAAACCGUUCAAUUGAAUCAACACACUUAGAAAAAUCAGAAGAGUAGAUAAAAGUGUAUCAGAGCAUUUUUAGAAUCGAGUCGGAAAAACCAAAAACUAUAAUGAAGCUCGAUACUCCCAUCUAUUUAUAGAGAUUUUUAGUUCAUGUACAGAAGAGAUACAUGAAUUAAAUAGACGCAUGUAUCCAUGAAAUUCAUGAAUCAAGAGAUACAUGAAUUCAAGAGAUUCACGAAUCCAGAGAUACGCGAAUUCAAGAGAUUCGUGAACUCAAUAAAUACAUGAACUAAAAGAUACAUGAAUCUAGGAAAAUCAUGAAUUCAAUAGAUACAUGAACGGAAAAGUUUAAGAAAUUCAUGAAUCCAAAAGAGAUACGUGAAUAGAAAAGACGUAUCUUAAUUUAUUGCCAUUCGUUGAUCCAUUAACCAUAAUUAUAACCAUAAUUAUAACAAUCCCACACAUUAAUGGAUCAACAAAACAUUUUUGACUCGAAGGAAUCUGAGCAUACCUGUUGAAAUACACUGCAUCAAGAUAGGUAGCUUUCGCCUUGAACCUUCUUUAGUGAAAGCCUAUCGGACUUACUUAACUAGUCCAUGGACGAAGUCUUGAAUUGCCAGUUAUUUGUAUAAGCCUAGACAAUAAAUCUCACACAGAGUAUUUCCAAUUCAAGAUUGGUUCUCGGUUGUGUUCGUUCUUUCGGCCCUGAACCUCUCGAGAUUCAUUCGUGCUUUAGAAAAUCUAGCCUUUAAAGAUUUUCAUAGAGUCGGCCAGCUCCACGCAUAUAGGUGCAUUCCUAUUAAAGAUAUCCUACCAUAUCUUACUUGGAUGUUACAUUCCAAGUUAUAGGAAUCAUUAAACGCAUAGUGUACCCUUAAUAACGUUGUAGGAAAGCACUGUUGCAUUAUAAGAAUGGGAGACAAUGCUUACACUAGAGUUUCCAAAAUUUGAGUUGUCCUAUUGAACCUAGACCAUGGGAUCUCCAAUCGCAUAGGUUAGGUUUCCACGUUGGAAUCUCUUUAUUAGGUUAAGGCUCUUAAACCUACUCCCCUCGAUGCGCAGUUUAUCUGCUCUUUUGACAAACCUUUUGUUAGUGGAUCCGCAAUAUUUUCCUUUGACUUUACAAAGUCUAAAGAAAUGAUUCCAUUUGAGAGCAACUGCCUUACGGUAUUGUGUCUACGACGAAUGUGUCGAGAUUUACUGUUAUAAAUCACAUUAUGCACCCCCACCCUUUUAGAAAAUUGUAGGAUGGCAACUCUCCAUUCCAUAACUCGUAUUGAGUUUUAUCUGUCUUUUUGUGGGGGUAUUUAUUAAGAAUAAAAUUUGCAGUUAAAACUGCCUCCCCCUCACAAGUCUGAGGUAAACUUGAACUCAAAAGCAUGGCGUUAGCCAUCUUCUUUAGUGUCUUGUUCAAUCGUUCAGCAACUCCAUUUUGUUGUGGAGUAUAAGGUAUAGUCGUUUGGAAAAUUAUUCCAAAACUAGCACAAAAUUCUUUAAAAUUGAUUGAACUAUAUUCUCCUCCUCUAUCAAACCUAAGCACUUUGAUUUGUUUAUCAAGUUGAUUUUCAACUUCGUUUUUAUAGUUGACAAACAUGCUCAUAGUCUCAUCUUUGCUAAUUAGUAAAUAAACAUAGCAAAAUCUAGUACAGUUUUCCACAAAUGUGAUGAAGUAUUUUCCACCUCUACUUCCUACAAACUUUAAAUCACAUAGAUCACUAUGGAUUAAUUGUAGAGGUUCACUUGUUCUUUCAAUGGAUUUGAAAGGUUUCUUGGUAAACUUGGCCUCAACACAAGUUUCACACUUAUAACGGGCAUCCAACUCAAAUCUUGGAAUUAACCCCAAGUUUGCUCUUCAUUUUACCAUAGUUUACAUGUCCUAAUCUACCAUGCCAUAAAUAAGGAGACACAAUAGUGUAAACUGAAGACUUUUAUUUAUUAAUAGUCUUUGGGUACACAUAAUUCGAAUUUACAUCAAUGACAACCACAUUGGCUUUAAACAGGUCAUUACACAAGUACCAUUUCCGCCGCAUACAUCCCUCAUUUCGAAAGUACAAACUUGUCAGAUUCAAAUACGAAUUUGAAACCCUUCUUGACAAGUAUAGGGCUAGAAAUUAGGUUUUUCCGAAUCUCUGAUACAUGCAGCACAUUCAGCAGGGCGACCUUCUUGCUAGAUAUAAACUUCAAGAUCACAUUUCCUCUUUCGGCAAUCUUUGCUGAUGCAGAGUUAGCCAUAUAAAGCUUCUAAUAUUCUUCAGCCUUCCCAUAAAAUGAGAACAUGUGUUUAUCUGCACAUAUGUGAUUUGUGGCACCUAUAUCUAGCCACUAGCCAUUAGUGUUCGACACUAGAGAUGCUUCGGACAUUACCACAGCAAAUAGUCUCUCAAUAUUGUCAUGUUCUGUCAAAUUCAGUUGCUGGGUUGUAUCAUUGUUCUUGCCUUUUUUCGAGCACUUCUUGCAAUUCUUAGCACGAUGGCCAGGCCUGUUGCAUAUAAAACACGUCCCUUAGAUUUUCUGGAACUACUCCUUCUGCUUGCCUUUUCCUUGAAAAGACAUCUUCCUUUUUCUACCUUGCUUGGAUUUGGAAGAUUCCACAACGUUGGCCUUUGGCUCAGAAGAAGGAUUCGCACUCCUUCUAUUGUUCUCCUCAAUUCUGAGGCGCAAAAUGAGAUAUUCAAGGCUCAUCUCCUUCCGUUUGUGCUUCAAAUAAUUUUUGAAGUCUGACCAGUCCGGAGGUAGUUUCUCAAUCAUAGCCGCCACUUGGAAUGAUUCACUAGGUAUCAUUCCCUCAGCAGAGAUGUCACUCGCAAUUAAUUAUAAUUCUUGAACCUGACUCAUGACAAAUUUAGAAUCCAUCAUCUUGUAGUCCAAGAAUUUGGCAACCACAAAUUUCUUGGUGCCAGCGUCCUCAGUCUUGUAUUUCUUUUCUAAGGACUCCCAUAACUGUUUAGCAGAUUCAAUAUUACAAUAAACAUUAUAAAGAGAAUUCACUAAACAGUUAAGGAUAUAAUUUCGACAUAAGAAGUCCCCAUGCUUCCAAGCCUCCAAUGCACCAAGCGUCGUGACAUCUUGCUCGUUUGGACUAAUUAUUGGGUACACCUUCGAUAAAUAUUUUGUCAGAUUGAGCAUGGUCAGAAAGAAGAACAUCUUCUGCUGCCACUGUUUAAAGCCCACUCCGGUAAAUUUCUCUGAUUUCUCAUUAGCUGUAACUAGAGGCGUUGCCAUCACAGUAGGCAAAGUUCGUUGAACUAUCCCUCUAGAAACGGAGCCAAAAGCCAUUUGGCUUGUACUGUUCUAAAAAACAGUCCUGGGCAUACCAGUUAUAUGACUUGUACCUGCACCACCAAAAUUGGUGUUAGCCUAAGGGCCCGUAGCAUUGGCUGCUACAAAUUCAGACCCUAAGGGUUGAACAUCUUUCAUAGCAACGGUCGAAUUGACCAUAGGAAUGUCUCCUGAAACAUUCGGGACAUUGAAGGGCACUUGGUUGUUUUCAACCAUCUCAAUAAACUGACAAGAACAACAAAUAGUGAGUAAGAUAAUUGCCUUAAGAUUGUUGGAAAAUAAUCCAAAGAAAACACAAACUGUUUGUUGCAAUCAGAACAUGAAAUUGGAGGUAAGGUACGGAUAUCCAAAUCUCCUUAAGACAAUUAGUUCCUGCCAAUGAUGCUCCGCAGAUUCACAAAUUAUGCCUCCCAAGAUACAACACCUCGAAUCUAUUUGGAUUAGCACUAUGCAAACAUGACUCAGUCUAACCGUUCAAUUGAACCAGCACACUUAGAAAAAUCAGAAGGUAGAAAAGUGUAUCAGAGCAUUUUUGGAAUCAAGUCGGAAAAACCAAAAACUAUAAUGAAGCUCUAUGCUCCCAUCUAUUUAUAAAGAUUUUUAGUUCAUGUACAGAAGAGAUACAUGAAUUAAAUAAACGCAUGUAUCCACGAAAUUCAUGAAUCAAGAGAUACAUGAAUUCAAGAGAUUCACAAAUCUAGAGAUACAUGAAUUCAAGAGAUUCACGAAUCUAGAGAUACGUGAAUUCAAGAGAUUUGUGAACUCAAUAAAUACAUGAAUUAAAAUAUACAUGAAUCUAGGAAAUUCAUGAAUUCAAUAGAUACAUAAAUGGAAAAGUUUAAGAAAUUCAUGAAUCCAAAAGAGAUACGUGAAUAGAAAAGACGUAUCUUAAUUUAUUGCCAUUCGUUGAUCCAUUAACCAUAAUUAUAACCAGAAUUAUAACAAAAACAUAUAUGAAGAUUAAUAGAAGAUUGCAAGAAAAAAAAAUGUAAAUUGUGAGAAAAGAAAAUUGAUAUAAUGAAACUGUAAAUUGUUUAUCUUUUUCCCUUUAUUCUCAAAUUGUGUGCCAUGCCAUAACAUCAGAUUUUCCUUUUAAUAGACCAUGCUAUGCACUUUGUCACGAAACAUAGGCCAACCACACGUUUCCUCUACCCCUAAACAUGACUUACAGCCAUUGAUCAGAUAUUCCACUCUUGAAAUUAAGGACAACUGACUCGAGCCGAAAUGCACGUUCAACAAUAGUACGAAAUGCCCUUCUACAGCUGAUUUUGGGUCCACGAUCCCUAUUCGUACCCAAAUGGUCCAAAAUUACUUAAAGCCGCCAAACAUAAAAAUAUACUCGAUGUUUGCAAAAAAUAAUUCAUUUUCCAGAGCCUCUAUAGGGACAUCCAAUAAAAUUCAUUUUCCAGAAAAAAUUAUAUUUUUCCAAAUAUCGAUCGUGUCAGUAUAUUCUCUUCAAUAAUCGUACCAUACCUUUCAAAAGCUAUGGAUCAAAAUUGUCAACAACAAAUAUUUAUUUGACCGGAUCAUAGAGAAUUUUUGGAUGUCUAGAAAAUCAUUUUUCCAUUAGGGAGAAUUGUCCAAAAAGUCCUAAACCUAUUGCAGUUUUGCCAAUUUAGUCCUAAACCUUUUAAUCUUGCCGAUUGAGUCCUAAACCUUUUGUUAGUUUGCCAAUUGAGUCCAUCCAGCCAAUUUUGGCCGGAAAAUGCUGACGUGGACACCGGCAGUGCCACGUAUGACUGUCGGCGCUGACGUGGACAAUUUUUAAUAACAUUUUAAAAUUUUAAUUUUUUUUUAAUAUUUUCUGUUUUUUCCCUCUUUUUUUUUUUUUUUUUUUUUGGCUUUUCCCUUGCCCUUUUCCGGUGGCCGAUGGCCGAGCGACGGCGAUGCCAGGCGAGGCCAGCCCUGGCCCCGGCAAGGGCCGGCCUCGCCAGUUCAAGCAAGCCCUCGCCCAGGCGAGCAUCGGCCUCGCCGAGGCCAGGGCUGGCCUCGCCCGACCGGGCCUCGCUGGGGCUCACCCUCGCCCAGGCGAGCGUCGGCCUGUAGCCGGUGGCCAGCCGUCGCCUGCCUGGCCAGGGGCGAGGCCGACGCUCACCUGGGCGAGGGCGAGCCUCGGUAAGGGCUCCCCUCGCCCGGCGUUGCCGUCACCGUCGCCCCGCCGGGCCUCGCCUGUGAUGGGCGAGGCCAGCGGGCUGGCUGUAGCUGGUGGCUGGCCGUCACCUGAGGCUGGUGGCCGGCCACUGGAAAAGGACAAGGGAAAAGAAAAAAAAAAACAGAAAAAACAGAAAAUAUUUAAAAAAUCAAAAAAAAUUUAAAAAUUUAAAAAUAUUAUUAAAAAUUGUCUACGUCAGCGUCGACAGUCCUACGUGGCACCGUCGGCGUCCAUGUCAGCAUUUUCCGGCCAAAAUUGACCGGAUGGACUCAAUUGGCAAACUGACAAAAGGUUUAGGACUCAAUCGGCAAGAUUGAAAGGUUUAGGACUAAAUUGGCAAAACUGCAAUAGGUUUAGGACUUUUUGGACAAUUCUGCCUUUCCAUUAUAUUGGCAAUUUUCUUAAUAUCUGGAAAAUGAAAGAAAAAUUAAAUGCUUUCCAAAAAUUAUGAAAAAUUCACAAUUGUACUAUUUCUUGUGCUGGUUUCAAUUCAAUAGAAAACUUCAAAGUAAGCAAAGCUGCUGUUGUGUUGAAAAUUCCUUGCUGUCAUUAGAGAAGGUCGGGGUUGAAUUUUGUUUAUGUUGCCAAUUUCGCAAUUGAAGUAACGCCUUCUAUUUGAAAUCACAUGCAUUUUUCACUUUUACUGUAGCCACCGACUAUUCUAAUUUUUUCUUCCCAUAGGAGUUUACUUUCUUUUUUCCUUUCGAACGUGGCGUUCUGCAGUUGGAAAACGUAAAUGUGGGGGAGAAGAGUUUAGGUGACUUCUAACCCUUUCUCAUCACUGAUCGUCUUCCAUUAUUAUAAACUUCAUUUUUCAUUGGCUUACUGAUUUUUCAAGAGGUAAAUGAUAUGCCAACAUUGACUUGGAAAAGAACUUGAGGAAGGUAGACAAAUAUUUUAUAUAUCUAUCUUAACGUUGAUUCGUUAUGCUCAAUUGGUGUCAUCUAAAAAAUUACGACUCUAUUCUACGAACAAUAUAUCAAUCAAUUUUAUUUUAUUUUAAUUCAGGAGUUUGAAGUAAAAUAGCUUGCUGAUAUCAUAUCAGUUUUUAAGAAAUUCUUUUACAUGGAAUCAUUGCCAUGCGGGAGUGGGGUGGAAAAUUAUCCAAUAAGUCCUAAACUUAUUAUACAAAUUGAAUAUUUCAAUUUUUUCAAUUUAAAUUUAUAUGUUUGCGUGAAAUUCCAAUGUAAUCAUUCUGGUCAAUUUUUGCUGAAAAUUGCUAACUUGAUGGUCCAAUCAUUGCUAGUCAUACAUCGUCACGUAUGCAAUUUUUGAUAAAAGUUAAUUGGAAGGACUACAUUUGAAUUUGCAAAGAUUAAGGAUUAAAUUAGGAAAAUUAGAAAAUUUAUGACUAAAUUGCCAUACAUAUAAUAUGUUUAGGAUUGAUUGAACUAUUUUUCCAUAAAAGAGAAAUACCAAUGACUAUUUAUUCAUCUCCACCUCGCACUGCCAACUUCAUUAAUAAUAUGACAGUUUCAAACAAAAUUAAAAUAUAAUAUCACAUUCAUAAUCACCAGCUAGGUCCUCUUUUCACGUCUCCCACACAUUUCCAAUUUCGUUUCAACUCAAUGAUCAGCUUUUGAUUGAUUUAAAUUCUGAUUUUCAAUAACCAAAUGAAAACCGAACCUAUGCUUAUGUUUUUAAGGGAAUGCAAUUUGCAUGUACAUAGAUUUUAGUAUUUUAUAGCCCAAUUAAGAAAUUAAUGUACACGUUAUUCCUGAGUGAGAACCACGCUAAAGAGUUUGACUUGACUAGAGGGUGAGGUCCAAAAGAAGUUAAGGCAAGGACUAGAAUUAUCUGCAGCUCUUCCUAGUCAAUAAUUACUAAUUAAUUAAAUAUUUCAUGUUAAUCUUUUCUUGCUUGCCAAAAGAUACCGUGUUUAUAUUUGUCCUUAGAGACUAGUUAUCAAUCCUUUUACGCAGCAGGAAAGCAUCACUUAUUUCACCUUUUCCCCUCAGAUUGUCAUGGACAAAGGGCAGGGUCAGAGAAAGAGAGAGAAUGCAGAAAAAGAUCGCAUUGGGAUAGAAUCCGCUCCUUCCUUCAUCUCCCCUAUAUUCACGGGAGGAGGUAGAGAUCAACAUGACAUAUUUUUUAGCUUUAGAGGCUCAGAUACACGAAAAGGAUUUACCGAUCACCUCUAUCACGGACUAGUUAAUGUAGGGAUCGUACCGAUUUUCGUGUUUAGGGAUGAUAAAAGCAUUCCAAUUGGUGAGGAAUUUGGCUCAAAGAUUCUUGAUGCAAUCAAACAAUCUAAGAUUUCAAUCCCCAUCAUCUCAGAGAAUUAUGCUUCGAGCAAAUGGUGCCUCCGUGAGCUCAUUCAAAUCAUGGAUUGCAAGAAGAGCACGUCACACGUAGUGUUGCCCAUUUUCUACAAAGUGACUCCAUCAGAUGUGUGGUAUCUAAAACAAAAUUUUGGGAAGGCCUUCCAUUCGCGCAAGGAGCAUUUUGAUGCAAAGGAAAUUGGGGAAGGCCAGCGAGCACUUACAGAAGUGAGUUACUUAAAUGGAUGGGAAUCUUGAGAAAUUUGCCAAUGGGUACUGCACUUUCCCGAAUUUUUUUCUUUUAUACUUAAGUUUUCUUAUUUCACGCAAAAGUGAUGAAAUGUGGAUGAACUACUUUCACUACAAGCUCACAAAAGAUCGCCAGGAUAUCCAAUGAACACCCAUAAUACCCUAAAGACAACAAAAGCUAGUACUCCCCAAUGUGUCCCCUAAGAACCAAACCAAUAACACCUAAAACCGAAGUAUCCCAUAGUGCCUAAGAAUUUUACAAAUGUCUCCGGUACAAAAAGGACGACCCCUCUAGCCAAUAGUAUCAAUUGCUAAACAACAUGCCUAGAAAGGACUCCAAUGCUCAGUCUUCCGAAGCUUGAUCACCCCCAGAUAAAAUAGACCUCCUUAUGCCAACGGAACUUGGCUCAAUUGAAGAAUCAGACACUUUAAAUUUACCAUGUUUAGGUUUGAUUUCCGCUGCUGUUAACCCUUCAUUAGCAAGCGAUCUACAAGUUAAUCAAUGUAGGCAUAUGGAAUGCCCUGGCUGUGGAUUAGGGUCCCUUCCUCUGAAACUUUUUUUAACCACCCAAAAAGAGAGAGAGAGAGAGAGAGAGAGAGAGAGAGAGAGAGAGAGAGAGAGAGAGAGAGAGAGAGAGAGAGAGAGAGAGAGAGAGAGAGAGAGAGAGAGAGAGGGAGGGAGAGAGAGAAGAAUCGACCUCCUAAAUUUCAAUUAACAGCAACCUUAAGCCUUAUAACAAAUAUUAUACUUCUAAAGACUCUUAAUGAGCCAGGUGCACCAAAUCGACCUCCUAAAUUUCAAUUAACAGCAACCUUAAGCCUUAUAACAAAUAUUAUACUUCUAAAGACUCUUAAUGAGCCAGGUGCACCAUUUUUUUUUCUAUUUCAACAAGAUCUAUCAACUGGCAGAAAAGGAUGGGAAAAAAAAAUGAAAUGACUGCUACACCUUCAUCAUUCAUUGUCAUUUAUAAAACCAGUACAUCUUGCAUGUUGAUUGGCGCCAUUCAUCUUGGAAAAGUUUUACGUGUCUUUUGAUGAGAUUAAGUGUAACCACAAAGUUAUCAGGAUUUUGUUGUAUGACAGGCAUGAAGGAGAACUAGUAGAAAAAGUUAUCACAACUAUUUUGAGCAAGUUGCGACAUGAUUUUCAACUUGAUGUUACUAAGCACCUAGUUGAAAUUGGUGAUCAUUUGAACAAAAUCAGGAAUUGGGUAGAUGCUCCUGCCAAUGUUGCUCGAAUGAUUGGAAUCUAUGGUAUGGGUGGGAUCGGUAAAACGACUCUUGCCAAGGUUAUCUACAACGAGUUGUCAAAUAAAUUUGUGCAUUGUAGCUUUCUUCCAGAUGUUCGAGAAACAGCUCAUUGCAAUGGUAUUCCUUAUCUACAAAAUCAACUAAUUAAGGAAAUACUGCAAAUUGAACAUCAAGUUUGGAAAGUUGAUGAUGGAAUUAGUUUGAUCAAAUCUAGAUUCAAAGGAAGAAAGGUUCUCCUACUUUUGGAUGAUAUAGAUCAUAAAGAUCAAUUAAAUGCUUUGGCUAAAGAACGUGACUGGUUUAGUCAGGGAAGUAUCAUCAUUGUUACAACUAGAAAUAAAGCUAUUCUUGAUCAAUCUGAAUUUGAGGUUGACUUCAAGUAUGAAUUGAAUGAUAUAGCCGAGAUGCAUUCUUUGCAUUUAUUUAAUAAACAUGCAUUCCGUAUGAACCAUUCUUCGAAGGAUUCUGAGGGUAUCUCUCGUGAUAUAAUUUCAACUAUGGGGUGGGGCUUCCCUUGGCUUGGAGGUUAUAGGUUCAUACUUGUAUGGAAAAACAAAUAGAAAAGUAUGGCAAGAUAUGCUUGAAAAAUUAAGAAAAGAACCCGAUAGAGAUGUCCAAAAGAUAUUAAAAAUAAGUUUUGAUGCUUUAGAGCAAGGACAUAAGGAGAUUUUUCUCGAUAUUGCUUGUUUCUUUAUCGGUGAAGAGAGCAAAUUUGCCAUGUACAUGUGGGAAGACUCUGGAUUUUAUGCAAGUCAAGGAAUUGAAGAGCUGAAAUUGAGGUGCUUAAUAAAAAUUGCAAAUGAUGGUAAGUUAAGGAUGCAUGAUCAACUGAGAGAUCUCGGAAGGAAUAUUAUUUGCCAAGAAGGACUGCCUGAGAGACGUAGUAGAUUGUGGGACUGUGAGGAAGCCUCUAGAGCACUAACGGGAGGAAAGGUAACGAAUGACCCUCCUUUUUUCUUUCCCUCUCCCUCAUAUUUUCAUAUAUUUAAUCAGAUCUAUUUAAUCUUUUGUCUAGUAUGGACAGACGUAUCUGCUUUUGAAUAAAAAGGUCCAUUCAUAAUUCACGUCCAUCAUAGAGUAAUGGUGACAACUAAAUGUAUCACAAAUACUCCAGGGAUAAAAAGCUAUAUUAUCUCACGAUGAUGGCCAAGUAGAAUAUCUCUAAAUAUUCAAAUUCAAUGACCUGAGUUAUGCAUGUCAAGAAUAUAAUUUAUAACAAAUUUCAAAUCACUUAACUAAUGAUUCUACACUAAAAUCCUCGUUUACUAAAAAAGUGUAAUUUUCAUAUUGGUUGGUAAUAUGAAAGACUUCAAUAAUAAAUAGACAUGAAGUAUAUGCAUGAGAUAUCAAAUUAAUGAAGGGCUCUUGGUCUAUAAUAAUAAGAGAUACUGGGUGCCAAUUAUAAUAAUUAACAAUCAAACAAAAGGUGUCAAAUUCACACGUAUCAAAAGUGCUUGCUUUCUAUGACGGCCGUAUUUAUUUCGGUGCUCCUUUGUUUUGGGAAACCAAUAUUUGAUAUAAUAUCUCUCCUCUUUGAUUUUGAAGACAACUAUUCCUCCCUCUACUAGUUACAUCUAUAUUAUCUCACUCUUCUUUCCUCUUAAUAGAUGUGAUAGUGAAAUCCCGUCAAGAAUUAAAUUUAGAAAAUCUUAGUGUAGCUGUUAAAGUUGUGUUUGGUUGACCUUGUUCAUCCCAUGGAUUAGGUUAAGUAAAUGAUAGAGUGAGUUUUCUCAUCUCUCUUUUUUUGUUUCUUUCAUUGCUAUUGCCUUGUCCUUUUCGCUUUUCUUAAUUCACCAAUUUUUUUUACUCCAACCCUACCCCAUAUCCUACACCCAACUUUUGCCUUUCCACCCUCGUCACUCACCUGACGUUACACAGCGUCACACCCCCCCCCCCCCCCCCUUUCUCUCUCUCUCCCCUCCCCUUGUCCUCUCUCUACAGAGGUCCUCAAUCGUGAUCGGGCAUACUCUGGACCAAAUUUGAGGCGGGGACGGCAGGGGGACCAAGUUAAUGAACCAAAACACUUGUUAGGAAAGUAUACCCAUGCUAAAAAUGAACGCCAACAAUUGACAUUAAGAUACCUCUAGAGAACUUAUUAGGAAAGCAUCCCGAUCAACUAAACGUUUGGGGUAAAAACAUAAGUACAAUUAUUGAAGUCAAUCAAAGCUGUAUGGGAUUUUUUCAGUAUCGUCUACUAACUAAAUGAUCUGUUUCAAAAGGAAAGUCAAAGAAGAGUUUUUGACUUAUAAGAUGCAAAGCGAAAUGGUGCCGAUAUUAUGCAAACAGACAUAUGCAAAACAUUUAGGUCCGUUUGUCUUAGAUUUUUCAAGUCAAAAUUUUAAAAAAAUUGUUUAAAUUUCAAAAGAUUAUCAAAAAAUUAAAUGGGAUUUUAUGUGUCAACAUUCAUAUACGACAUGGUUAGAAAAAUGAAAAAUUGCAUUGUCCACAGUUUAAAAAAGAAAAAAGAAAAAAGAAAUAGCCAAUCCAGAUAUUCAUUCGAUUGAUUUUAUCAUAGGGAACUGAAAGGAUCCAGGCAAUUUGUCUUCGCAAAGACUAUCGCCAUUUCCAGACAUACAAGAAUGAACAGUUUAAAAGGCUACAUGGCUUAAGGUUCCUUCAAUUGAGGUCGGUGGCUUUAAGUGGAGACUUUAACAAUCUGUUUUCUGAAUUGAGAUGGCUUUGCUGGGAUGACGUUAAAAAGAAGAAAUGGUUGUCCAUAUUUAACAAACAAUCUUUUCCGGCAACCAAUUUGCGUCUGCCGAAAUUAGUGGUGCUAGAGUUGAAAGAUUGCUGGAUCACAGAACAAUGGAGAGGAUGGGGUUCAAUUAUGGUAAGAUGGAGAAAAGACAUCACCUGUGAUUUUUGUUUGUUUUGUUUUGUCAAUCAACUCAUUAUUUUCUUUUGUAUAGGUGGCAAAACGGCUGAAGAUUCUCAAUCUUGAAUAUUGUGUUAAUAUAAGAUGUACUCCUGAUCUCUCAGCUUUCACAGAGUUUUUUUUUUUUUUUUUGGUCAGUUAGCUUUCACAGAGUUAAAAGUUCUCAUAUUGAGACAUUGUUACAACCUGAAGCAAGUCCACCCUUCUAUUGGCAAGGUCAAGAGCCUCGUUUCUUUGGACUUGUGUAACUGUUACCGUCUCAAGCAGUUGCCAAAGGAAGUGGGUCAAUUAAAAGAACUUAAGGAACUUAAUAUACAUUGGACUGGUAUUACAAAGGUCCCUACGGCUAUCAGUUCUUUGAGAAAGCUGGAGAAAUUAACUGUCACACUUUGUUGGCAUGUGGGAGAAAUUCCUAGCUCAAUGGGAGAAAUUCCUAGCUCAAUUGGAAACAUUUCUUCUCUCCAACACCUCGAACUAAAUCUUUUUCCGACAUUGAAAGUAAUCCCCAGCUCAAUUGGGGAUUUACAGAAUUUGCAGUAUCUAAACAUGAAUUAUUCUGGGAUUGAAAAUUUACCCGGUGCUAUUGGAAGGUUGAAAAAACUGCGGAGUCUACUUCUUGCAAACUGUGGUAGUUUGAAAGGGGUUCCAAAUGAAAUCGGUGACUUGUCUUCCCUUGAGAUUAUUAAAAUCACUAACACGCCGAUAUCUAACCUACCAGAAAGCAUCCAGAAUCUUUCUUAUCUCCAAAACCUUAGCCUAAGGGGCCGUUUCAAGCUCCGGUCGCUGCCGGAGCUUCCAUCCAACUUAACAUAUCUGGACGUCUCUUGUCGGAGUCCUAGGUUGACUCAGCUUUCUUGCCUAAUCCACUUGGAAGUACUUGAUCUUUUUAGAUGUGAUCUACUUGAAGACAUCCAAGAACUUUCACAAUUAAAUUGUCUAAAAAUGUUUUCAAUGGAAAAGUGCAAUUCCAUUAAAAGAUUAGACCUUUCACAAUUAAAUUAUCUGAAACAAUCAUCCAUUAAAUAUUGUGAUAAUUUAGUUGAAAUUCAGGGCCUUGAUAAUUUGGAGUUCUUGGAAGAGAUACAUAUAGUACAUUGCAAGUCAGUUGAAAGGCUGAUCCUUGUACAAAUAUGGUGUUUGAAGAAAUUUACAGCUAGUGGUUGCGACAAUCUAGUCGAAAUUCGAGGUCUUGAUGGGACGGAGUUCUUAGAAACAUUGGAUCUAUGUUGUUGUAAGUCCAUUGAAAGAUUACCUGACCUAUCAUGCUUUGGGACCUUGAAAGAAUUGAACAUUAAUGACUGUCGCAAUCUAUGUGAUGUUGAGAGUCUCGAGAGCUUUUUGUCUUGCCGAAGCAUAUACAUAACGGGGUGCAUAUCAUUAGAAAAACUACCAAACCUGUCAAAAUUUGAAAAUUUAGAGAAUUUCACAUUGAAGUAUUCGUUUCAUAUUACAGACAUUCCUGGGAUUAAGGAAUCAAGAUCUCUAACACACAUAGAUAUCAGAGGAUGUGUAUCAAUGCAGACUUUGCCAGAUUUGUCAGGAUGCAAGAAGUUAGAACGUCUAGUGGUACGAGACUGCAAGAAACUUACUCAACUUUGGGGAUUGGAAAAGUUGGAUAUUAUUUAUUUGGAUAUUUCUGGGUGCGACUCAUUGCAAACAAUACCGAUGUUAGCUAAUACACACAUCAUGAGAAAUUAUGAAAGUCAGCCAUAUGUGCAGGACUAUCGAAAUAUUAUAUUGCAGUGAUAAUGAUAUGAUAGAUCUUAUACCCAUAUUACAAUAAUGAGACCAGCCACGUUUCCUUAACAAAGGUAAAUAAGCCAUAAAAUACCAUUUUUCUUCUGAGAUUCAUGACUUAUUUUUCAUCACUAUUUUCUUUUGACAAGAAGGUUUUCCUUGACAGGGUUCUAUACUUUCCUGAACUCCUAGUCUUACAUAGUUGAAGGAGUCAUGACGGUGGUUGAAGAAGCUGACUUGAUGCUUCAGCCAAGAUCAAAAUGUAGACCCAAAAGUGUCUACAUACAAUAGAAGGCAUUUGUCACUAGUAAGAUUCUUCAUCCUAUAGCCAGCGUGAGUGAAUAGUAUUAAAAUAUAUCUCGAGUUUGAACUUGUAGAAUAAAAUUCAGUUUCAAUAAAGUGAAGUACACGGGCUCUUCUUGAUCAUAAAACAAAAUUAAAUGGAGAGGGGCACACAAAUUAUAUGUCCGUGUUAGUGCAGUCGGCCAAGGAAAGGAUAAAAUAGGAAUGUUAAAAAUUUGGUUUUGGUUGACCGAAUAUGACUCCGACUUUGUUUCCUAUUUGAUGCAGCAACCUUCACUAUGGAAAUUUGCACUUUCGCUGGCAAUGGUAUAUAUGAUAUUUUGUUUAGCUUAGGAGUUUUUUUUUUUUUUGGACAAAGAGUCUUGAUAAGCCGUUGUUGAUAGAUACGUGAAGUGCUUCUUGAAAUGCUGUGUUUUUAAGCGAGCGUUUGGUGUGGAUUAUUUUCAUGGGUUUGUACCAGACCGAAGCUAAUCCACACUUCUAUUGGCAAAGUCAAGAGACUUGUUUACUUGGACUUGAGAUGGUGUUGUUGUCUCAAGAAGCUGCUAGAGCAAGUGGGCAAAUUAGAAGAACUAAAAGAACUUAAUGUAGGUUGGACUCGAAUUAAAAAGCUUUCAAUGUCAAUUAGUUCUCUAAGGAAGCUGGAGAAGGUCAAAGCCCAAGUUUGUCCCAAUUUGGGAUAUCCCUAGCUCAAUUGGGAAUCUUUUCUUCUCUCCUGCACCUUAAUCUAGAAGUUUGUCAGUCUUUGAGAAUAAUCCCUAGCUCAAUUGGGGAUUUAUAGAAUUUACAAGAUUUGAACAUGAAUUAUUUUGCAAUUGAAAAGUUAUCCAUUGCUAUUGGGAGGUUGACAAAAUUGUGGAGUCUACUUCUCACAAAUUGCGGUAGUCUGGAAGGGGAUCCAAAUGAAAUUGGUGACUUGUCUUCGCCCGAGAUUCUCCAAAUCACUAAUGCACGAAUGUCUAACCUACUGGAAAGCAUCCGAGAUCUUUCUUUUCUCAAAAUGCUUGACUUAAAAGGCUGUGACAACCUCCGGAUGUUAGCAGAGCUUCCUUUCGACUUAAAAUAUCUUACACUUUAUGGUUAGAGUCCCAAAUUGCCACAGCUUUCUUGCCUAAUCAAUUUGGAAGUACUUGAUCUUUUUAGAUGCAAUCUACUUGAAUACAUUCCAGAGCUUACCUCAAGACCCUCAAAACAUUAUGUUGCCUCCUCUCCCAAGCUAAUAUUGCCUAAGCUUGAUGGAUUUGGGUACUUGAAAAAGUUUUCAAUAGGAGAGUGUGGUUCCGUUAAAAGAUUGGACAUUUCACAAUUAAAUCGGCUGGAACGAUUAUAUGUUGAAUGUUGCCGUAACCUAGUUGAAAUUCAGAGCCUUGAUAAUUUAGAGUUCUUGGAGGAGAUACAUAUAUUACACUGCAAUUCCAUUGAAAGGCUAAUCCUUUCAGAAGUACGGUGUUUCAAGAAAUUAACAGCUAGUUGUUGUGACAAUCUAGUCGAAAUUCGAGGUCUUGAUAGAUCGAAGUUCUUAGAGGCAUUGUAUAUAUGUUGUUGUGGGUCCAUUGAAAGAUUACUUGACCUAUCAUGCUUUACGACCAUAAGAGUUGAGGAUCAAUGGUUGCUGCAAUGUACAUAGUGUCAAGAGCCUCGAGAGAUUCUUGUCUUGCAAAAACAUAUACAUAGAUGAGUGCUAAUUCCUAGGAAGACUACCAAACCUGUCGAAAAUUCAAAAUUUAAACAAAUUCACGUUGAAGUAUUUUCUCUGUGUCACGGAGAUUGCUGGGGUUGAGGAAUCAAGAUCUCUAAGGGACAUGAAUAUCACAGGAUGAAUGAAUGGAGAUGUUGCCAGAUUUUGGCCUAUGAGAAGUUACGAUCUCUAGUGUUACGAGACUGCAGGAAACUCAACUUCGGGGACUUGAAAACUUGGAUUUGAUUUAUUUGGAUAUUUCUGGGUGCGACUCAUUGGAGACGAUACCAAAGCUUCCCGGAACACGUGUCUUUAGAAAUUACGAAAGUAAUGUGGGAAUAUCAUAUUCUGUCGUUCUCUGAAUUUAUAGUCUUACAUAAUUGGAGGAGUGGAACAAUUGGUCAUAGAAGCUGACAUGAUGCUUCAGCCAAGAUCAAGAUGUAAACCAAAAUGUGGAUCUACGUACGAUAGAAGGCAUUGGUCAUCUCGUAAACUGUUCACCCUAGGGCCAGAGCAAGCAAAUAGAGUGAUACUUUUGCUCCCGACUGAGGGUCUAGUUGCUUGAUUUUAGAAACUCCGGAUUUUGUACUUGCUGUUGACUGCACCAUGGCAUUAUCUCUUCAUAUAUCCUUCCUUGGGCAGCUUUUGCAGAUUGCGAACAGAUUCGCGGCUUCUAAGGCAAUGAAUGAAAUUGUCAACCUCGGUAACCUAGUGAUUUAACGGUUUCCCUCUCCUAAAACCAAGGAUUGAAUUUUUCAUCUAAAGGCAAAAUGAUCUUGUGCUACUAAAUAUUGCAAACUGCGCCCAAAAACCAUUUUUCCCUCCGUCUGAGAUUAAUAUUUUCUUUGGAAAAGUCCUUGGCCGUUUUGGACUCCGUUGUGAGUUUUUUCUUGUCAAAUUAGACUAAUGGAAUAUAUUCUGCUUAGAGGAAACACCUUCUAAUUUUCUGUGAUGUAUGAUUGUUGAUCAGCUUUUUAUUACCAGUGGUUGAACUGUUGUUUUAAAAGAUUAUCAAGCAACGUAAACUUGUGCUGCUUUUGUGCCAGGUCUGGUUGGUCUAUGUAAUGAUCAAGGAUUACUUUUGGACUUCGAUUCAAAGAGCCAUAUAGAUGACAUUUUGCACAAUUGGGACAAUUUUUGCCUGCUCUGUGAAACAAGUUGGGUCGAGAGGCUCAAGAAUUGGCUAAUUAGUUUUCAUCCUCUCUAAUCCUAUUGUUGACAUGGAAUUGUUUUAUCAAAUGAUUGAUCUAGGUCUGGCUAACUUGUCUAAGAAGCUUCAAAUUCCAUACCAGAGACCGAUCAAAAUGAAGAGGAGGGAUUUUUUAGAGGAAGCAUCAACAACAACUCAGGGCCAUUUGCCGUGCCAACCUUGAAGAGGCUAGUGUGCCAGCUGGAGUGCGAAGAUGUGAUAUGGUCUAUACCCAAAUGACUGACUUGAGUGUUUUCAAUUGAAUCUGCUUCAUGUAUGCUCAUUAGGUUCUACCUCUCUGUUAAUCAAAUACGUACCUGUUGAUAUCCUUGUAUGUUAUCCUGAUGCAGAGUUGCUUGAUGCAGUUGCAUUCUACCAUAUUACUCCCGAACUUGAUGAAGCUCUGCAGAGGGAGGUAUGGAUAACCAGUAAUGCCAUAACUAUGAAUGAAAAACUUAUGUGCUUAUACUAUAUGAGCUGUGAAAUUUCACCUGAAAACCUAUAUACAAGGGUGCAUGAUGACAAUCUCCUCCCUUUUCUAUCAAUUUAUUGGUGUGACAAUAUCCUCCAAACGUUGUCAGAUAGGUUUCUAAUCGAAAAGCUCAGUCUCAUGUUUGCAGUGUUGAAUUUGUGAAGUCCAAUUCGUCUCCUAGCACACUAUACUGAAUUGCUGAUUUUACUAAUUGGAUAUUGGGGAACAACCGAGUACAUGUUCAUCUUUAUGGUCUGGAGUUUAGGCACAUCACCUUUUCAGCAUAAUUCUAUUAACACCAGUUUCGUUCCAAAACACAAGUAAGGAAAGUGUUGCUAAUUGCUUACACAAGUCUGUCGUGCUCCUCUUCAUCGGCCAGUUAAUCAAGUCUUUGCUAACUGCGGUCCAACUGUGAACUAAUUAGAGACACCUGGAAUCUGUGGCAAGACAUGUCCCCAAAUUUUGGUCUUGGAGCAAACGAUGUUUAUGCAUUAGUACCUCAUCUUUCAUGGGGUAAAUUGUGAUGCUAUGAUAUCGAAUGUCUUCAUGUAUUGAUAAUUAGUUAAUCCGAUACUUCUUGUGUAGAUUUAAUCUGUUUCCAUGAAAUUGGGAGAAAGUUCCCAAAUGCCACGAGAUGGCAAUGCAGAUAGUAAUGAGUUUUUGUCAUGAGACAUUAUGGAAAGGCGUUCCAGAGUUCUUUGCCAUUGGCGUUUAUCAUGUGCUCUGGGUUGUUAAAACUCUUCAUAGGAUUCUUGAUAUCAAGUGGGUGUAGUAGUCCUUUGCAAAGCUUUGAUAUCGUGCUAUUCUUUAGCAAAGGCUGAAUCUCAAAAGUGCUUGUGUAGGUGGUUCUGUGUGUGAAGUUUAGGUAUGAAAUCAAAUUUGUUAACAAGAUCACCGCUAAGAUGUCCUCUUCAAGCUACAAUCUUGUCACUGGAAGAGAAACUAUUUUCGUGAAAACAGCGAACGUCAUGGAAUCAGCAAAAAAUCUGUCUAGUGCAGCCAAGAGUUUCGAUGAAAAGGUUUCCCAAAAGACAGUAUUCUCUCUUUUGAAAGAAUUUCUAACCCAAAAAUGAAAGUUUAAGUGUACAAUUGUCUCUCUGAUAUGAGUACGUCAAAAAAUUCAUGUCUUGGCAAUUUGCAAUGACACCAAUUGUGUAAUCUCAAACUUGAUCAUUUAAGCACGAAUCAUAAAGUAGAAGAGACGCAACCAUAUAUUUUUACAAAAGAACCAAUUAUAAUUUUUGGAUGGAAUUUUUUUUUUUUUUUGAAAAGGUGUCAUUUAAUUGGUUAAUACUCCGACUCUAUUAGGCCAAAUUGUGGUCACAGGUUUAUUGGUUGAGUCUACUCUCAUGCAGAGGAAGCCAAAUGAAUUGCAAGCCCAAGGACUUGAGCGCAUAAUAUGUCCUAUGGACAAAUAGGAGUUUUCACUAUUUUUAUGUGAUAGCUGCAAAGGAUAUUAGUUUUUUUUUUUUUUUAAUUUUUUGGUAAAGGUACGAACUAUAUUGAUUUUGCCAAAAGAAUACAAGGAAGGAUAACCGGCACCAUACAGGACAAACACUCAGGAAGACAGUCGUCAAAGAGAGUGUAAGGGUGCCAUGGGAUCCCAAGGAAAGAAAGAACUACCAAAAGAACAAGACAAGAAAGAAAAAACUAACAAACAAACACUAGAAAGAACCUCCAUUAAUCAAAGAUAAAUGGAUGUAGGUCCCAGCUCCGUAGUAGCCUUCUAUUCUUGUGGUUGUCUGGAACACGUUUAAAGGUCAACGCCUUAUCUUUAAUAGCCUUUUGAAGGUGCAUCUUCAUCGCCGGGAUAAAGAGGGCCUAAUUGUGAAAUAACAUAUUAUUGUGCUCUUUCCAAAUAAUAUAACAAAGAGCGCCAAAGCUGAAGCGAGCCAUAGAUUCGAAGAAGCUAUCAUCUGCAAAUAUCCUGGUUGCCCAUGCAAGAUUAUCCAUCCAAGGCUUGUUUCGCCAAUAUAGGUUGAAUUUGGCCGCCCAAAAGGAAAUGAGAUUACUUGAAACUCGAUAGGCAAAAAAUAAGUGGUUCACAGAAUCUGGUCUACAUAAACAAAAGGGCCAAUUAGCAUUUGCAAUUCUAGCGUAGGAGAUAAGUAAGACUUGAGUAGGCAGCUGGUUGCGAGUAAUGAGCCACAAAAGUGUCUGAUACCGCGGAGGAAGAGAAGGACUCCAAAUAAAGGAGUACCAAGGGACCGAGUUACCCUUAGGGCGAAUCAACUCCCAAGCCGAGGCUGUAGAGAAACGUCCUGUCGGGUGGCCAAGCCAUUGAAUCUGAUCAUCUUCUUGAUUUAUCACCGGGAGGGGAUCAUCCCAAUUGGCCAUGAUAUUUAUAACGAACCAACCCAUAGGGGUGGUGAAGCCAUCCACCACCGAGGCUAGGUGAGAGAUACCGGUCCGAUAAAUUUGCUGGUUCGAAAAGAUCUUGUACAACGGUCCCUUUUGAUGCCAAAGAUCAAACCAAAAUGAAACCGACUACCAAUUACCAAUGAUCCAUUUAAAAUAUUGUUGGAAGUGACCACGGAGGUCCAAUAACUUUCUCCAAGCCCAUGAACAUUGAGUAGGACGCUGGACAACCCAAAAAUUCUUAUGCUUUAAAAAGUUGGAGUGUAUCCACUUGCACCAAAGAGAUUCCUUAUCAAAAAAGAGAAUCCAAAUGUACUUGAGCAUAGAGGCAGUAUUACUUUCUCGAAGGGUACGAAUACCUAAGCCACCUUCCUUCUUUGGUAAACACACAUCACUCCAAGAUACCUUAGCUCCACCCGGCCCCAUUCUCGGGCCUUUCCAAAGGAAUUGACGCAGAAUUUGCUCAAUACGAUUAAGAAUCGAGCAGGGAAGGACGAAAACAUUAGACCAAAAAACUUGGAUGGAAUGAAGAACUGACCUGAUAAGUUGCAUGCGACCCGCAAGCGAGAGGAAUCCGUGUGUCCAAUAUUGAACUCGAGCAAUAAUUGCAUUGACUAGAGAGACACAGUCUGCCUUUUCCAAUCUAGAAGAGAUAACCGAAACACCAAGGUAGCGAAAUGGUAGAGAUCCCUUAUGAUAACCUAGCCUACUUAAAAUCUCAUCAUUGAGAGUAUGCGAGCCCCCAGAUAGAAAGACUUCACUCUUAUUUGAGACGCAAAGGAUAUUAGUUGAGAUGCAAUGACGAGAAAAAGAGAGAGUAGAAAAAUCUGGUUUGAGGGUAGUAUCUAAUUGAGCUGAAAUUUUGUCGGUUUGUUUGUGGCACAUUUUUCUCGAAUAUGAACGGUUUGAUUUUCAAAUGAAACUCCUUAGAUAAGGUUUUUCGUGAGUUGAACAUCUCUUGUGAAAUUUAUGUGUAUUAUCAAGAAUGAUGUUCUUGAAAUCUUUGUUGCUAUGUUCCUCUACUAUUUAUUAGAUAAGAACUUUGUUCACCUAAUUUUGUUAAUAGUGAAGAAUUUGGGUGGACUCCGGUCUUAUGGUUUUUUAUCUCCUCACGAUAAGGCUUUUCACGUAAAAAUGGUCUUGUACUUGCAUGCUUGGUAUUUAUAUUUCCCAUUAGGUUUGCACAAGAAGUGAAAUUAUUUUGUUCUAUUGCAGCAAUUUGAUAUUGUUCAAGUUGUUAUUGUACUCUCAACAAAAGUCAUGCAUUCAAGUUUCAUUCAAAGUAAUUUUUUUGGGCCACUCUCAGAAAUUCCCCUAUCCCGUACUAGAUUACAUUGGUGGAAUUUUAGUAGUUAAUUCUCGCAAGGUUGAUUCACUGGCUGUCUACUCGGACUAGAUUCAAUUUCUCCGGAGCUCAAGACAAGUCCAAGUUUUGAGACAAGCUCGAAUCUACAAGUACUAAGUCGAUGUAUUGACAGCCAAUUUAUUUCCUUUCUUGCUUAACUAGUGCCUAAGUAUUUGUUUGAAAUUGACAAAGUAAUACUUUCUUUUUUCUUAAUUUACCUUUCUACUUUUAUAUUCGUUUUCAUCUGACGAUCUCCAAAAAAAUUGAAAAAAUAGCAUUUCCAACACUACUUUACCGUCUGGCCAGAAAAAAGAAAAUGGAUAAUUAUGUACACCAAAGGAAAAUUAGGAUCCGUAAGGUAAUUUAGUAACUAACUGAAUAUUGACAAACCAUACGACCCAUAGCAAAAUCACCAUCAUUAGACAGGAUUCGGUCCCAUCUUCCCUUCUCAUCUGGUCACUAGCGAUCAUUCGACUAAUUCUCGCCAUUCUUUAGGUGGCUUUGGGUUGUCCCCAAGCAUUUUGCCAGCGAGCCGAACUCGAGUCAAGAAAACAAUACUCGAUCAAGUUUCGAUUUUUGAGUGCCACGAUCCGAGCCGAAUACACACAUUUGUGCACAUUUUCUGUGGCAAAGAAUGAAGGUUUAGGUAUUCUUCAGCAACGGGUACUCUUUGUCAAUUCUAUUUCUGUCUAUUGGUGAGUCUCAUGUAAAUAUAUUAGUCAGUCCACGCAUAAAUAAAUCAUAUGCUCCAUUCCUUUGCAAAAGGCUAAACAUAUAUGUACGUUGAUCACUUGAUUAGAGAAUCAUACAAUAGCCACCACCCUUCUCCUUUUGGACACUAUAUUUACUAUGAAAUGCAAAUUACAAAUGCAUUAUACAAGUUUCUAUCCACAGAGUGAUGGGGAAACAAGCUAAUCGACGCUUGAAGUUGCCCCAAAAAUGCAAAGAAACAGAUGCGGCUUGGUGGAAUUGAAGAUUCACACACAUGGAGAAAUAGGUUCAAUUCCAGUCCCGUGCUUCAAGCUGCCGUCACCAUUCAUUUCAUCUUAUUAAAGCAGCCAUAAUGUUGCCUAACCAUUUCAUUUAGGCCAAUCCCACCUGUCUCUCCCACCUAAGGUCUUCGGAGAAUUUCGAGAGUGCAGCCCUUGGGUCACCAUCAGAGAUAGACAAGUAGUACUGAGCAGUCCCGUCAUCAACCUGCAUACUCCUCCUAAGCGAGUUGAGUAUUCUCUUCUUCCCUCGUUCAGAGGUCGUCCUCUUCAGCAAAGAACUUAUCUCUAUGUCCCGGACACCUUCUGGGUAAAGCACAGCGACUUCCCUCUUUGCAUGGUUAUCGCGCUCUAUGUAGCAUGUGGAAUCGAUAAGAAUGUCAGGGUUGCUUAUGGGGAUUAACAAUCUCUCCCUCGAAUAUAUACCAUGAUCACUCAUCAUGUUGUUCAAGCGCUUUAUGUCCAUGACCUGACAGAACAAAGAAAUUCUUGAAGCAUGUGACAUGCGGUGUAGACAGGCACAAAAAGGAUAUGCUUGACAGAAACAUUGAAGCAGGGAAGAAAAAAAUUUCAGGGAAGCCAUUCUAAAAGUAAGUCUCUGCCAACAGUUAUCAAAACAGUGAACCCAGAGAGACCUAACUACAUGACAUCAUUAUUGACACUUCAGGGAUUAUUAAGACUACAACCAUGGAAAAUUUCCAUAUAAAGACAUUCAUUUCCUAGUUGCACAAACAAUUUAAGUUCUGCUCUCAGAAUUUGAGGUUCACAUUCAACCAUUUCGAUGAAUCAAUACCACCACUGUAGAAUCAUCUACUAUUUCUAUGUCAAUGUUAUUAAGUCAGAAGAACUAUCAUGAGGAUCACAAAGUGCAUUGCCCAUCAUUUCAUACUGAUCACUUGCAAAAUCUGAGCAUCAUUUAGCCUCGUGUGUUCUGGCAACUAAGAGAUUGUGAUUAUCUAUUAAGAUAAUCAAUAUAUAGUUGUCAAUCAAGCAUAUCUUUUUGCUAUUAGUAACCGGAGAUGCUUCUUGCUCGGCAAACUUAAGAAAACUUUACCACAUGAAGAGAUUUCAUAAUGUUUUACAUGAAGAGGACCCUAUGCUCCCUAAGACAUAACAUUUUUGUCCAAGCCCCAACCUUCCUCCAUACCUCCAGAAGAAACCGCAAUAGUGACUUCCAAGUGUAGCCAUUUCCUUUUCCUUCUUUAUAUUUUAGGCUUCACUAAAAGAUGAAGUGACUCCAAAAUUACAAAAUUCGUAUGUCAAUUAGUCUGGCCUUCUCCAAUGGGAAUAAAUCUAUAAGAUUUGCACUAGUAAAUUCCAUUGAGCAUCUAUCCUACCACGUAUUUGAUACAAUAUAGAGCAACAGAAUAAAAUUAUAACUAACCCCACUCAAUGGGAUAAAUCUGUCAUUAACGUUGAAGUCAUUCAACCGCCAGCCUGCACAAAGAAGCUAUGAACAUCUGAUAUGUACACUGUGUAGCAUCUUGUCAACAUUUUUCUUCUCCUAGUAAAUUCCCCAAGCUAACCUUUAUCAAAGAGGCCAGAACCCAAUCGAAUGGAGGUAUAAAAGAGCCAUGCCCGAAAUUGAACAAAACUAUGUACUUAGACAAUCCUGCACCAAUCAACAGAGCUAUCCAACUUUAGCUGUUGUAAUGGAGGAAUGACAGAAUGCUUCUUCAAGGAGAAAAGCCCCUGCAAAGACCUGAAAAUUGUCACUAGCUGUACAGCAUUCCUCAACCAACAAGUCCUCAGCAUUUUAUCGGGAUUCGCCACUUUAGCAAUCAAACUCAGGAUCACAAAUUCGUAUAUUAUUAAAAGCACCUAACCCAUCCCCACCCAUCCUCUCAGCGCCAAUGAAUAACCAAAUAGACAAUCCAUGCUGCAGAAGAAAACCAGAUGGAUUCCAAGCCAUCAGCAAAGCAAACCCACCAGAAAUUCCAUGAAAAUUCACAAUAAGGCUCCCAGCUUCCGGCCACUUCACUCAAACGGCCCCACCCACGUCUAACGCCAGCUACACAUGACCACAUGCAGAACAAACCUACAUGACUUCCGAAACAUCAGAACGAUACUACCAAGAAACCUUCUUCGUAAAGUUUCAAAAGCUGUGGCCUUACACACCACUUUAGCUAACCUUUAAAUGAAAUCGCAAUCCAUCUGUUCUUCAGAAUCAGCUGAAAGUGAAUCUCCAUCGAAAUGCAACGCCAAAUCAUGUCAUUUGCAAACGUUUAAAGUAUUCUGCAUGAGAAAAUCAUUUCGCUGCCAACAUAAUUCACAGUUUUGCUCACAAUCAAUACAGCAAAAAGGAUUGUUUCGCUGUUUGUGUUUCCUUUUUUCUUAAGUUUUUGGUGCCGAGACCCCUACUAGAUGUUGGUUAAAAGUCGAUAUAUUUUUUACCUUACCAAAAAAAAAUAGAGCAAAAAGGACAGAAACUCCAUUACCUGAACAGAGUACUUCACGGCGAGGCUCGCGACGCUAUCGCCGCGCUUAAUCCGGUGCGAGAUCGCGAACUUCCCCACGCCGUUAUCCCUCCAGAAGCUACCCGAGCUCGGGACGCCGACCACCUCCUUCAACCUCCAGGGGGCCGCGAAGGCUCGGGUGACCAUGUCAUGAUCGGAGGCGACGGAGCUCCAGAUGCGGCAGACGCAGCUCGCGCGGGCCAGGUCCGGGACGGGGAGCUUCUCGAAGAUGAGCCGGAGGGUGUCGCGGCAGGCGAGGGCGGAGAAGUGCGAGUUCAUGGGCGAGAUGGUGGAAUCGUCGGCAGCGGAGGCGGCGGCGGAGGGCGGCAGCGGCGGAGAGAGAUCGGGGGUCGGGGGUGGAGGCUCCCGGUCGUCGUCGUCGUCGUCGUGGCCGCAGCAGCCCAUAGAGAGAGAGAUGGGAAUGUUUAUGUAGUCGGUUUUGAUGGUUUUGGAUUUUUGGUUUUGAACGGUGCGUGGUAGGUGCCAGAAAUAUGGUUGAAUUAUGGUUCUACGCUCCGUGUAUUGUCAUUUAUUACAAAUUGCCCCUGACUUUUCGAUUUUUCGCGAUAUCUCCCCUAAAAUUUGAAAUCGGUUGCGAUGUCAGACUGGUGUGACUUCCGUCAUUUUUUGGGUUUGAGCACCGACCAUGUGCUUGUCACGUGACUGAGUUGAUCUUUCAUGGAAGGGAGAAAAUAUCGGCUGCCCUGUAGCAAAUAAGAUAAGAAGGUGAUAAGAAGGCGACACGUGUUUUCGUGGAGUCCACAAUCUAAACUGAUUGAGGAUAAAAUGAGGCGUCAUUUGGCUACUGCAGAAGGGACGGUUGGGAUUUUUCUGCGAGUUCUCUUUCUUUGCGCCUCUCUCUCCGACGAACAGGAUCGCGACCUCCCUCUCUCUCUCUCUCUCUCCCUCCCUCUUUCCGAUCAGCGAACCACCGCGCGGGAUCGGCGAAAGGGCCGCCAGCAACUGACAAACCACCGCACGGGACCGGCAAGAGGACCGCGACCUCCCUCUCUCUCUCUGCCCUCCCUCUUUGCGACCGGCGAACCACCGCGCUGCCCCUCCGGCUCCAGAUCCGGCCCCGACUCGUCCGUCCCUUGCUCUUUCUCUCCCCUCGCGUCUCUGUCUGCCCUCCCUCUCUCCGACGGCGAACCAGCGCGUGACCGGCGAACUAAUAUUUUCUCCUUGCGGUAGAAGCAACGAAAAUAUCUUUGAAGUCUACAGCGAGGUAGUCUUAGCAAUUUCGAGGAAGGAAGGUUUGUUUCGGUGGUCUUGGUCAAGAAGGUGACGCGCAAUCCUCUCCACAAGAUUGCAUUGCGCGUCUCCUAGUACUUGUGCCUCAGGAGCUUAAACGCCAAUCACCAUAAAUACUUGAGACGCUCUCGUCUUUUGUUCUGAGAGAUCUGAUCUUGGCAGCUCUAGUUUGAGGCGUGAAGCUGAUCCUCAGAUUGUAUUGUUCUUUCGGAAUCCAAACACAACUUGAUCUGCUUCAAGACAAUUUCUUCUCAAACACAAAAGCCCAUCACAAUAAUUUCAUCUUUGCAUUGCUCCUCCAGGUAAGCUCGACUUUCAUUCUCUUGUCCAUUACAAUUGAUAGGUCGAAGAAAGAACAUUUGAUUUUUACUCAUUGCAUAACACCUAGCAUCCUUUAAAGCAUACAAAAUUUUGCAAGUGAGGUUCCCUCAACUUUUCCAAAAUCAUCACAUAUAUUGCUAAUUUUUCCUAGCUCUUCUUAUUCAAACUGAUUGCUAUGAAUGGUUGGAUUGGUUAAACCCGGCGGAAUCGCAUGCUAGCCCUUUACCUCGAUAAUGUUUCAAAAUAUUACCUUUGACUAGAGACUGGAAGAUUGACUGAACUCCUUCGGACCAAAAAGUCCAUUCGAUAAAAUUACAAACUCUUCUAGACCCAAUUUUGGGUCCAUCAAUCCUAUACGUAUCCCAAUUGUAUAAAUUACUUAAAGCCAUGAAACAUCCAAAAUACUCGAUUUUUGCAGAAUAAUUCCUCUUUUUCUUGAAAAAAGCUAAAGAUUAAAAUUUUUCCAAAUAUCGACCGUUUCUUUUCAAUAAUUGCAUAGAGCCCUUCAAAGGCUACUAAUCAAAAUUUUCAACAACAAAUAUUUAUCUGACCAAAUCAUAUCAACUAGAGAAUUUUUGGAUGUCUGGAAAAUUAUCCAUUAUAUUUUUCCAAUUCUUGUAAUUUCUGGAAAAUGACAAAGAAUUCAAAUGUUUUCCAAGAAUUAUGAAAAGUUCACAAUUGUACUAUGUUUUGUGCUGGUUUGAGUGGAAAACUUGAAAGCGAGCAAAGCUGCUAUCGUAUUGAAAAUUCCUUGCCGUCACUGGACAAGGCCGUUGUUGAUUCCUCUUCAUGUUGCCGGUUUCACAAUUGAAUUACGACUCUAUUUGAAACCACAUGCAUUUUUCACUUUUUUCUAUAACCACGGAGUAUUCUAAUUUGUCUUCACAUAUGAGUUUACUUUCUUUUUUUUUUCCUUUCGAACUUGGCAUGCUGCAAUUGAAAAAUGCAAGCGUGGGUAGCAACCACGCCUAUCGUGUCCAUAACAGAACAAGGAAUGUGCGUGAUCGCAAACGCAUCCUCUUCAUAGUUUACUAUGUUUUGUGAGAAACUAAUUUUUUAGCACUUUCAAAAACAUGGAGAAAAUAAAGGAUAUGUUUGUAAAGUUGAUCUCUUUAUAUUGAUGGACAUUUGAGACGAAAUUAAAGAGGACAAAUGGUUUUAAAAAAAGACAAAUUAAAAUUGUGCUUUUCUAAAUCUAAUAAAUCAACCAUACAAAGAGUCAAAGAAAAACAAAUUGCACCGAUUAUACCUUGAGCACAAAGCGCACGAAAUGGGACUUCGAUGGAGUGCAAAUUUAAGUGAUACCAUAUAUUGAGAAAAAUAAAAGAUUGCAAGAAAAAACGUAAAUUGCAUUGAAAAUGUAAAUGUUUAUAAUGAAAGUGUAAAUUGUUUAAUGUUUCCCUUAAUUCGCAAAUUACGUACCAUACCAUAACAUCAGAUUUUCCUUCUGAUAAAACAUGCUAUGCACUUUUUCACGAAAACAUAGGCUAAACACACAUUUCCUCGGUCCCUAAACAUAAUUUACAGCCAGAUAUCAGAGAUUGCACUCUUGAAAUUAGCGACUAAACUCACUUGGGCCAAAAAAGCAAUUUCAACAAAAUUACGAAAAUGCCCUUCUAGCCUGAUUUUAAGUCCAUGGGCCCAGUUCGCAUCCAAAUGGUCCAAAAUUAUCACAUCAGUUUUGCUGAAAAAUAAAAAAACUUACGAAAAAUUAUGUUUUGUUUCUCCUCAUUUUAGAAAGAUGAUGUAUUAUACUAAAUAAAUAGCAAAGGAUAUUUCACUUUUUGAAUUUGACUUAUGACUAACUUUAUAAUUUUUAAAGAGGGUAAUAGUUCUUGAAUUUUAUUUUCCCUACAUGACUAACUCUUGACUUUUUAGAUUAUUAACACAUUCAACUUCUUUCCUAAAGAAUCUCUCGUAAUGUGUCAAUAGUGUGUAUGUUUUGAGUGGAUAUUUAGUAUUGCCAAAAUAGAGAUAGACCUAAUAGUAAAGGUCACUCAAUCCAUUUACACCAAUGAGUCUAGUCAUUUCUCAACCAUUUAUACCAAUACCUCAUUUCUCAAGCUUGGAAAUAAGUCAUCAUUUAUCAUAUCUCACAGUUGGAAGCAUGAUUGUUGCAAAACAUAGCUAUUAAAUUUGGAUGACAUCUUUGCAAAAAGUUUCUACCAAUAGAUUCUUAAACUUUAGAAUGUAAAGUAAUUGGAACAUUUUUGUGGGGCCAAGAAUUAUGGAUGAAUAUGUGAAUUUUAUCAAAUCAGUGAGCAUAAAUAUAAUUUCGAAAAGUUAAGCGGCGCCCCCUCAACCCCCUUUAAAUCCACCCAUGUUGUUCGACAUUUUGGAUGUGGCGGGAGAACAACUAAAAAAAAGGAGAAAACUAGGGGGAUGAGAAUAUAUAAUACAGAGAGUUAAAUGAGAGGAUAUUAGGGGAACAAAGAGAGAAGAACCAGGAAAUAGACAUAAAUGACACAUUUAGGAGAAUGGUUCAGGAAGGCUGCCAUUUUUAGUGUAGAGCAAACUAGUUGGGAGAGAGCCAAAUGCCAAAUAUGCUUAGAUAGAGAGAGUUUACCUUUUCGUCUUUUUAUGUUUUAAAUUUCAAAAUGAAGUUUUAUUUAACGAUUUAGCCAUAUAAUUUUCUAAUAAUUAUAUUUCCUUUUCGAUUGAUUACGGACACUUUCAUUCUAAAUGUUAUGAAUAUCGGUAAUCAGCACUUGAUAAAGGCAGAUAGAAGGUAUGCAUGUGCUUUUGAAUAGAUGCUUACGUUAAACUACCGAUCAAAGGUAAGGUUGAAGGAAAUAUGAAAAAAAACUUAGAUGAUCUGGGUUGAUAUUAGUGGUCCUCACUUGAAACUCACAUUAUGCAAAGGGUGGGGAUGCAUUAGGCUUACAUGCCUUAAGAAUGUCUCAAAAAAUUUAAGCACCACCCAUUUAAUUUUAGUUAGUUUUUACACGUGAGCCAUGUUUAUAUCUUGUAACCCUCCAAAUUUCCUCCCGUUAGGAAAGUCCCGCUUGUAAAGACCAAGAGGACCCAUUUUCUUCUUGUCCGUGUGCGGACGCAGCUUUUGAUAUUGGAUUAACUAGUAGACACUCGCCUAGGAAGACUCGUUCAUCAAACAUUUUGUAUUGGAACCGUUCAGAAAGCAUGUAUUCUCCAUCCAGAAAGCAUGUGCUUUCGAUCCAGCCUUUUCGUUUGUUUAUGUACAUCUUUUUGUGCAGUAAGAAGGCAUCCUCUCUUCAUUUUUGCCUAUCAGGCUUCCAUGGAGAAAGGACAAAGUCAGAGUAAGGCAAACAAAAGGAUGCACCGUUUCAAUUUAGGCCGUCCCUUUGCGGUAUUCAAUCAUCUCAAGAAGAAGAAAAACGGUGCAGAGAAAGAGAGCAUUGAGGGAGCAUCCAUUUCUUCCUUUAUCUCUUCGAUACCCACAGGAGGCAGUGAUCAAUACGACAUAUUCUUGAGCUUUCGAGGCUUGGACACCCGCAAGGGAUUCACCGAUCACCUCUACCGCAGUCUAAUCAAUGUAGGGACCGUACCAAUUUCCGUGUUCAAGGACGAUAAUAGCCUCGAAAUUGGCAAGGAUUUUGAUUCAGAGAUUCUUGAUAUCAUCACGCAGUCUAAGAUUUCAAUUCCCAUUAUUUCCGAAAAUUAUGCUUCGAGCAAAUGGUGCCUCCGUGAGCUAGUUCGUAUCAUGGACUGCAAGAAGAGCAUGCCUCACAUGGUGUUGCCCAUUUUUUACAAAGUGAGCCCAUCCGAUGUGCGGUAUCUAAAGGGAAAAUUUGGGGAGGCCUUCCAUAUGCGUAAGAAGCGUUUUGAUGAGAAGGAUAUUCAGGAAGGGAGACAAGCCCUUACAGAAGUGAGUUACUUAAAUGGAUGGGAAUCUGAAAAAUUUUCUAAUGGGUACUUCUCUUCCACCUACACUUUUAUUUUUCGUAAGUUUUUUUAUUCAGCAAAACUGAUGUGAUAUGGAUGAACUGCUUUCACUACAAGCUCACAAAACAUCCCAGUGCUAAUGAAUAACCAUAAUGGCCCAAAGACUACAAACCCUUGUACUCUGCUAUUUUUCCCCUGCAAACUACACCACCAACAACUAAAACCUUAGGAUCCCAUACUCAGCCUUCCAAACCUUGAUCGACCCCAGAUAAAUUGACCUCCUAUUGCCAACAGGUGGCUCGGUUGAUGUGAAUGGGACACUUUACAUUGACCAUGUCAUAGGUUAAACUUCCGCUACUUCCAGUAACCACCAUGGGUAGGUGAUUAUAAAUUAAUUACAAGUUCCCAUUUAGGGCCCUCGGAUACGCUGGCCUCGGAGGGAUGGCCUCCCCUCCUCCUAAGUCCUAAACUUUUUGUAAUCAAAAUAAUCGACCUCCUAUCCUUCAAUUAGCAGCGACCAUAGGCCUUAUAACAAACAGUUUACUUCUAAAGAUUCUCAAUUUGGUCGGUGCAACACCUUAUCUUAUUUCAAUAAGAUCUAUCUAUUGGUAGAAAAAGAAGGAGAAAUUGAAAUGACUACUACACCAUCAUCCUUCAUUGUUAUUCAUAAAACCGAAACAUUUUGCAUGUUAAUUGGUUCCAUCCAUCCUUCACAUAUAUGUGGGUGUCCUUUGAAGAGAUUACGUGAAACUACGAAAUUAUGAUGAGUUAUUGUUGUUUGACAGGCAUGAAGGAGAAUUAGUGGAAGAAGUCAUCAAAACUAUUCUGAGCAAGUUGAGACAUAAUUUUCAGCUUGAUGUUCCUAAGCAUUUAGUUGGAGUUGGCGAUAUAAUUAGGAAUUGGGUUGAUACUCCUGCCAAUCAUGCUCGAAUGAUUGGAAUAUAUGGCAUGGGCGGGAUCGGUAAAACAACUCUUGCCAAGGUCAUCUACAAUGAGCUGUUGAAUGACUUUUUGCAUCGUAGCUUCCUUCCAGAUAUACGAGAGACAGCUCACCACAACGGUAUUCUUUAUUUACAAAAUCUACUAAUUAAGGAAAUACUACCCAAUGAACAUCAAGUUUGCAAAGUUGAUGAUGGAAUUAGUGUGAUCAAAUCUAGAUUCAAAGGAAAAAGGGUUCUCAUUCUUCUAGAUGAUGUUGAUCAUCAAGAUCAACUAAAUGCUUUGGCUAGAGAACGUGAUUGGUUUUCGACAGGAAGUAUCAUCAUUGUUACGACUAGAUAUGAAGCUGUUCUUGAUCAACCUGAAUUCCAAGCAGACUACAAGUAUGAACUGAGUGAAUUAGAUGAGGUGCAUUCUUUGCUUUUAUUUAAAAGGCAUGCAUUUCACAUGGGCCAUUGUUCAAAGGACUUUGAGGGUAUCUCACGUGAUAUCUUAUCCACCAUGGGCGGGCUUCCCCUAGCUAUCAAGGUCAUAGGUUCAUACUUGUAUGGGAAAACAAAUGGAAAAGUAUGGCAAGAUAUACUGAAGAAAUUAAGAAACGAACCGGCUAAAGACGUCCAAAAGAUAUUGAUGAUAAGUUAUGAUGCAUUGGAACCUGAACAUAAGAAUAUUUUUCUCGAUAUUGCUUGCUUCUUUAUCGGCGAAGAUAGCAAAUUCGCCAUUUACACGUGGGAGGAUUUUUAUCCAUAUCAAGGAAUUGAAGAGUUGAAGUUGAGGUGCUUAAUUAAAAUUGGAGAUCAUGGUGAGUUUAGGAUGCAUGAUCAACUAAGAGAUCUUGGAAGGAGCAUCUUUUUCCAAGGACAAUCGCUUGAAAGAUGUCUGAAACAAUGGGUUGACCAAGAAGGCUUAACAGUGAAACCGGAACGUGGGGUAAGAUAUGGCACUCCUUUUUUUCUUUCCCUCUCUCUCAUAAUUUCAUGUUUAAUUUGAUCUAUUCUACUAUUUUACCUAGUGUGAGCAGAUGCUCCUACUUUUUAGGAAAAAGUCUAUUUAUAUGUCCAUUCAUGUCCAUCAUACAUGAAUUGUGGCCGUAAUUGGAUUAUAUGUGUGCCAAUGAUUAAAAAGUUACACUAUAUAAUUCAAAUUCAUUUGCAUAAAGUACAUUAGUCAAAAAUUUAAUAUACAAUCGAUUCUUUAACUAUGAUUCUAUAGUAAAAAUCUCAUUCACUAAAAGCAUGCAAUUUUAUAUCUAGUUGAAAAUAUUGAUAGUUUGAAAGACUAAUAAUUAAUAAAGAUGAAGCAUAUACAUCAUAGAUCAUAUAAAUAAAUAUUGUUUUUAUUCAAAACAAUAAUGGACAAUAUGUGCCAAUUAUAAUAACUAAUAAUUAAGCAAAUCAGUAACAUUAAAGAAAAAUAUCACAUUUACAACGGGUGCUUUCUUUCUAUUAUAGUCGAAUGUAAAGAAAAAUAUCAAUGUUUGGUAUGCUUUUUCUUUUUUUUCCAUUUUGAUUCAAAAGUACCUGUCCCUCUACUAGUUAUAUCUAUCUCUUUUCAUUCUUCUUUCCUCUUAAUAGAUAUGAUGGCAAAGAAUCUCCUUAAUAAAUAUAUUGGGAGAACCUUACUAUCGUUGUAUCACGUGGACCUUGCUCAUCUUAUGGAUUAGGUUAGGUGUUUUUUUUUUGGUCCGUUAGGUUAGGUGUUUGACAAUUAAUGGAUUUCCUUAUUCUCCCUUCUUUGCUUCUUUCAUUUCUGUUUUCUUUUUCUUUCGCUUUUCUUGAUAAACAUUUCUUUCCUCGCCAAGCUCUUUUAUAAUAUUUAUAUUUUUGGGACAAUGCCCUUUUGUGCCAAUAGCCACUAGACUAACUUGACUAUUUAGAGGAAAUGUCGUGCUUCUUAUUAAUAUAUUGAUACCUUUUUCUUUACUAUAUACGAUUUUCAGCAUGAAAGUAAGGUCAGUUUUCACUUAGCUUGGUUUGAUAUGCAGGCACGCUAUUGUUUGAAAAACUACGAUACAUACUUUCAAUGGCCUCGUGGCUGUUCCCCUGCAUACACAGUGAACAAUUUAAAACUUACCGAGCUCAGUUCCUUCAAUUGUGCUGGAAGGCUUUAAGUGGAGACUUUAAUGAACUAUUUUCUGAAUUANNNNNNNNNNNNNNNNNNNNNNNNNNNNNNNNNNNNNNNNNNNNNNNNNNNNNNNNNNNNNNNNNNNNNNNNNNNNNNNNNNNNNNNNNNNNNNNNNNNNGAAAAAAGACAUCCUUUGUGAUCUUGCUUUGUUUUGUCUGUCCAUUAAAUUCCUUUUUUGACAUCUUAUCCUCCUUUAUAUAGGUGGCAAAGCGGCUAAAAGUUCUCAACCUUUCAUAUAGCCAGGUUUUAAGAUGUACUCCUGAUUUCUCGACUUUCACAAAGUUGGAGAUUCUAAUCUUGGAUGAAUGUUGCAAACUGGAGCAAGUCCACCCUUCUAUUGGCCAAGUCAAGAGACUUGUUUCCUUGUACUUGAGGAAUUGUCUCAAUCUCAAAGAGCUACCAGAGGAAGUGGGUGAAUUGCGAGAACUAAAAGAACUUCUUUUAGAUGACACUGGCAUUACAAAAAUUCCUAUGUCAAUUGGUUCUUUGAAGAAGUUGCAAAAGUUGAGUGUCCCACAUUGUUUGUCAUUGGUUGAAAUCCCUCUCUCAAUCAGUAAUCUUUCUUCUCUCGAACACCUUGACCUAAGUAGUUAUUCACCAUUGAGUGAGAUCUCUAGGUCAAAUAGGAAUCUUUCUUCUCUUGAAUGCUUUAACCUCCUUAGCUCAAUCGAGAAUCUUUCUUCUCUUCAACACCUCAACCUCUCUCAAUAUUCGUCAUUGAGAGACAUCCCUAGUUCAAUUGGAAAUCUUUCUUCUCUCCAACACCUCAACCUUUCUCAAUGUUUGUCAUUGAGAGACAUCCCUAGCUCAGUUGGGAAUCUUUCUUCUCCCGAAUGCUUUAACCUCCUUAGUUCAGUUGGGAAUCUUUCUUCUCCCGAAUGCUUUAACCUCCUUAGCUCAAUUGGGAAUCUUUCUUCUCUUCGACACCUCAACCUCUCUCAAUGUUCGUCAUUGAGAGACAUCCCUAGUUCAAUUGGAAAUCUUUCUUCUCUCCAACACCUUAACCUUUCUCAAUGUUCGUCAUUGAGAGACAUCCCUAGCUCAGUUGGGAAUCUUUCUUCUCUCUUACACCUUAACCUCUCUCAUUGUUCCUCAUUGAGAGAAAUCCCUAACUCAAUUGGGAAUCUUUCUUCUCUCCAAUACCUUAAUCUCUCUCAUUGUUCGUCACUAAGAGAAAUCCCUACCUCAAUUGGGGAUUUACACAAAUUGCAACAUCUGAACAUUGAUAAUCCUUUGAUUAAAGAGAUCUCCGAUGCCAUUGGAAGGUUUAAAGAACUGCGGAGGAUAAUUAUUAUAUCCCAUGAUAGUCGGGGAAUUGGAUCUGUCUAUCGCUCUCGUUCGCUUAGUAAAAUCAUUGACAUGUCCUUAUCUACUCUACCCGAUUGCAAGGAUAAAUCUUUUCUUCAGAACCUCCUUUCCCAACACUUUAAGGUGCUUAGAUUGAUGCCAAAGCAUCCUUUUGGUUUAACAUAUCUUCAAUACAAUUUCGCAAUUCCCAAAUUCCUACAACUUUCUUGUCUAAUCGACCUAGAAGAACUUCAUCUUUAUGCAUGCGAUCAACUUGAGAGCAUCCAGGGGCUUCCUUCAAGGCUCUUGAAAUUUUGUGUUGACUCAUGUCCAAACCUGAUAUUACCUGAGAUUGGCAGAUUCAAGUACUUGGAAGAGUUGUCGAUAAGAAGCUGCAGUUUCAUUAAAAGAAUGGACCUGUCACAAUGGAAUCGCUUGAAAGAAUUGGACAUUCAGGGUUGCGAUAAUCUAGUUGAAAUUCAAGGCCAUGGAGAAUUAGAGUUCUUGGAGACGAUAAAUAUAUAUAGCUGCAUGUCAAUUGAAAGGUUGAUCCUUCCGAAAUUACAGUGUUUGAAGCGACUACAUGCUUGCUCUUGCAACAAUCUAGUUGAAAUACGAGGUCUUGAUAAGGCAGAGUUGUUAGAGGCAUUAGAUAUUUCCAAUUGUUGGUCCAUUGAAAGAUUACCUAAAUUAGGAUGCUUUGCGACCUUGAAAGAGUUGAACAUUAAUGGGUGUCACCAUCUACAUGGUGUUGAGAGUCUCGAGAGAUUCUCAUCUUGCCGAAGUAUAUUUAUUAAGGAUUGCAAAAACCUAGAAAAACUACCAAACUUGUCGAAAUUUGAAAGUUUAGAGAGUUUCAUAAUCUUGGGUUUAAUCCGGCUUAGGGAGAUUCCUGGGAUUGGGGAAUCAAGAUCGCUAACAAAAGUAUCAAUCAUAAAAUGUCAAUCCUUGGAGACUUUGCCAGAUUUGUCGGGAUGUGAGAAGUUACGAUAUGUAAGGGUAGUAACAUGUGACAAACUUACUCAACUUUGGGGACUUGAAAAGUUGGAUUUGACUCUUUUGGAAAUUUAUGGGUGCCAGCAUGUACCAGAAUUAUUUAAAACAUGCAACGGGAGAUAUGAAUAUGAAUGCUUUUGUAUUCCCGAGGUAAUUAAAUUGCAGUGAUAAUAAUGUGAUGAACUUUAUACCAAUAUUACAAGAGCAGGCUAGUCAUGUUUCCUUGACAGAGGUAAAUAAGCAGCAAACUACCAUUUUUCUUUGAGUUUCAUGACCUAUUUUUCAUCAUUAUCUUCUUUUGACAAUAAGGUUUUCCUUGACAGGGUUUUGUUCUUCCUAAGUUCCUAGACUUAAUAACUUGAAGGAAUGGUGGAGUUGGUCGUAGAAGCUGACAUGAUGCUUCAGCCAAGAUCAAAAUUUAGAUCCAAUGGUGCUUCCUCGUUCAUUAGAAGGCAUUGGUCAUUUGGUAAGAUUCUUCAUCCUUUAACAACUAGCAUGAGUGAAUAGAGUAAUACUUUUGUCAAGGAUAUAUCCUUUAAGAAUUAUUUGCUUGACACUACGUAUCUCAGCGAUAUGGAUUUGCCUAAAUCUUUUGUUGUAAAUUCCAUGACAACAAUCUUUUUUUAGCUAUCCUUCCAUUGGCAACUUUUGUAGACAGAUUGGCGGCUUGUGAGGCAACAAAUGAAAAUAUCGACAUAUGUAAAAUAAUUACUUAGCGAUUUACAGCUCCCCUCUCAAUAAAACAGGUAUUUCAAUUUUUUAUCUAGAGGGCAACGAUCUUCCGCUACUCAAUAUUGUAAACUGCACCCAGAUCCGCUUUUUCACUCUGUCUUAAACUAGUAUUUCCUUUAACAAAUCCUUGUUUGAACUCAUUUUGUCAGCUCUUCAACAGGUCAAAUUUGACCGAUGGUAGUUAUACUGUUAAGAGCAAACACCUCUCGAUUUUUCGUGAUAAUAGGAAAGCCUGUCAAGGCUCUUCUCAUUCGCUUGAGCAUGAAUUCCCAGUAAGGAAAAGAAACUGAGCUAAAAUAACAAUCAAAUUUCAAGUUUUUCUGGUGGAUGAUGGAAAAGGAAAUGAAAAGUAAUUUUGGUUAGUCUGUUUCGUAAAUGAUUGGAGACAGGCUCUCUAUAACCGAUUGUCAUACUGCCGUUUGAUGAUCAAGCAAGGCAAACUGGUGCUGCUUUUGGGACAAACCUGGCUUUCUGUUUAAUGAUCAAGGCUUACGUUUGGACUUUGAUUCGAAGAGCCGUACUGAUGACCUUUUGCAUAAUUAGGAUGAUUUAUUUGCCCGUUUUAUAAAACAAGUUGGGCAAGGAGCUUAAGAUUUUGUUAAUUCGUUUGCACGCUGAUUGAUCCUGUUGUUGUUGUGGAAUCAUUUUAUCACAUGAUUAAUCUGGGUUUGGCUAACUUGGCUGAGGAAAUUCAAAUUCCGUACCAGAGAACGAUCAAAAUGAGGAAGAGGAAUUUUGCCGAGGAAUCAUCAACAGUAGCUGAAGGCUUUUGUGCCCACCUUGAAGAGGCUUACGGGCCAACUGAAGUGUAUUGGUAAAAAAAUUUAUGCCUGUGAAGAUCAAAGUACUUGAUCUGGUCUCAACAGCAUGUACUUGAAAAGUUGGGAUUGUAUUUUUUUUCAAUUGAAUCUGCUUUUUGUAUGCUCAUUAGGUUCUACCUCUAUUAAUUAAAUACACUUGCUGAUUUUUCUGCAUGUUACCCUGAUGCAGAGUUCUUUGAUGCGCCUGCGUUCUAAUGAUAUCAUUCCCAAACUCAAUCAGGCUUUGCAAAUAGAGGUAGCACUGCCAAUCCUCCCAUAACUGUGAGAGAGUAAGUUGUGUGCUUAUACUUAAUUGAAUGUGCUUUUUUGUAAGCUUGUUAGGCUCUGCCUCUCUGCUAAUCAAAUACGUACUUGCUGAUUUUCUGCAUGUUACCUUGAUGCAGAGUUGUUGGAUGCGGUUGCUUCUAAUAAUAUCAUUCCUGAACUUAAUGGGGCUCUGCAGAGGAAGGUAUGUAGUGCCAGUCAUACCAUAACGAUGAAAGAUUAACUUGUGUGCUUUAAACUGUAUUCAAUGUGCUUUUUUUAUGCUCGUUAGGUUCCACCUCUCUGUUAAUAAAGUACGUACCUGCUAAUUUUUCUGCAGGUUACCCCGAUGCAGAGUUGUUUGGUAAAAGCUUAAAGAAGAAGAAGGAAGAAGAAGAGAAGCUCUCUUGUGCCAAACAGCAUUUUCUGGUUGUGUUCGAUGAAGUUAUUCGAAAGUCCUUGCUCAUGAAAUUUUACGGUCUGAUCUCACUUUCUAGCCAAAACAGCACUUCUCACUAUACGUGUUCAAUUAAUUUUAUAGAAGCCAUUAGUGAUGACCCAGGAAAAAGGAAAUGAAGCGGAACGUCAAGAAGGUGGUAUUUGCGCCAUUUUCCUUAUUUCCUAGUUAGUAAUGCUAUUGGAAGAGAAUGUCUUCAAGGUUCAGGCAUAACAGAAGGAUUGGUGAGGAUUGCAGUUACCUUUGCUCCUAGGACCAUCUCAUGUGGACUCUAAUGCCACCUCCUCUGUGGUAUACCGGUAUGAUGACUAGUUCAUGAAAUAUUUGAUAUAAUGCCAACGUGCUAAUUUCCAAUUCCGCUCUGUUUAUGCAACAGUAUAAGCUAGCACAUGUUCAUUUUUCUCUCAUAUAAGCAGCAUCACAAAGUCUGGACUUCCAAUUCCCAAGGAGAUAAAGGUUUGUCUUUUUUUUUUUGCAGGGGUUUAUAUCAAUAAAUAGUCAAUACGAGACACCAAGGAUCCAAGCAAUAACUGCCGAUGCUCUUUGCAUUAACUGCCGAUGAUCGUGGAGUACGUGAUCACAUCUGGCUCCCCGCCUUCUUCUUACAAAUUCUUCAGCAAUGGAACGGAUCUCCUGGCAUGUGGUUAUAUCUACCUCAUCAAAGUGUUAAAGCUCACAGUAGUUGGUUCUUGUUACGAUAGGGCGAGCGAUCGAACAAAAUAUAGACGGAAGAAAAAAUAAAUCGGACACCGGAUUUACGUAGUUCAGUCGUAAAGACCUACGUCCACGGGGAGAGCAGCAGUGAAUUUCACUAUAAAUCAAGCGAUACAAGGAGAUUACACACUCAAGUCACUCAAACACUCUCUCGAUGUUUCUCAAGCCCCAAUUACACCCAAUAACGCACCCAGUGUUUAGCUCCGAAAUUCCUCAAAAAUAAUCUCUCAAUUUCACGAAGGAAUUACAUGCAAAUCUUACCUUAAAAUUUAAUCGACUACAAAUACUAAACUUCUUGGAUGUAAUUGCACGAAUGAAAAACAACAAGCCCACUUUCAAGCACUCGAUAUUUGGUGCUUCAAGUUUACUUGCAUCAACAACGGCGGAACAAGCACUCACGCGGCGCUUCAAGAUGUGGCUUCGCUCAACGAUGGUAUGUGGCUUCGUGCGGCAGCAACUCACCGAAAAGAAGAAACUCUCUUUCGCGGCUCCCCUCUGCGACUUCUCUUUUUCGUAAAGGGCUUCGGCAGCUCUUUUAUACGUGUGCCCAUGAGGUCAAAACUUUGACCAUGAGCCCACCUUCGUUUCCUUUUCUUUCACGCGUGCAGAGGACUCCUUCACGCCAAGACUCACGAAUUGAUUUCCUUCAAUUCGGAAUCCUCAGGCUUUGCAGCAAAGAACUUUGCUUCUUUAUUUUAAUAUUAUAUUUUCUCUUUUAGUCCAGUAACUCCUUCGCGAGUCCAUCAAAUUUCGCGUUUUAGCAAACGCUUAAACUCGAGUCAUAUUUAACAGUUCUAGUGCAAGUUUGACUAUUUAACAUCAAAACUGAGAAACCGAGAUCGGACCUCUUCAAUUGGCGGAGGUGAUUCAUCAAAAUGCUGCGAGUAAAAACACUGGGCGAAGUUCCUUCCAAACCCAUCCUCUCGGUCAUGUCAAUGGUGAUGGCGCAAUGACUAUUUUACUAAAGACACGUUAGAUAGAAAUUAUUACUAUGAAAACAUAGAAUAACUUCAAAAGCACCGCUGUUCCUAGGAGAAGACAACGUCAAGACCCAUUCUAAGGCACCAAUUCAGCCACAGCUCCAUGAAAUGGCAAAACCCAACAACGUUCCCACGCCGCGGCUACCUAUAACCGUCGCGGGCACAGUAAAAGAACGAGUCUUUUCCAUCUGUUUUCCCGCUUCCCCUCUAGGAGAAGACAGUGUCAAGACCCAUUCUAAGACACCAAUUCAGCCACAGCUCCAUGAAACAGCAAGACCAAACAACGUUCCCACGCCGCGACUACAUAUAACCGUUACGGGCACAGUUAAAAAACGAGUCUUUUCCAUUCAUUUUCAUGUUUCCCCUACUGCCCAUAUAUCGCACCAUCCGAACUGCCAGUACCUCGAAAGCUGCUGUAACAAACAUCGACGCCCGGGAUCGGGCGCGCCAUGUAGUAGUCGAUGGACACGAUCCGGACGCUGAAAAUCAUGGGGUCCUUCUCCGGCGCCGACGCCGCUGUACUGGGCUGCGAACCUUCUUCCUCCUUCGGGAGUGGCGGCUCCUCCAUCUGUGGAAACCUUCCCACGACCCUCGCUGGGGAAAAGUGCCGGAACCCAGGGCACGGUUAGCCCGAAAGUCGAUUGCCGGCGAGAGCUCGGAGGCGCUGGCUGGUGUAUAACCGACCGCGCAAAAGUCGAGUGUCUUCUCCAAGCUUUUCUCCAAUUUUUUCCCUCUCGCUUGUUCUCGUGCAGUGCAGUAACGGAACCCCAGAAUAGGAAAAUGGACCGAGAGAAGUCUUUGGGACGAUGAAUUAUUUUAAGUUACCUCGGAACGGUUAUUUUACUACUGUCACAUAUCAUGAUAAAUUCCGACCAAAAAAAAAAUUUAAUGAUGGAUUCGGUCAAAAAAAUAUUUGAUGAUAGAUUAAAAAUUGGCUUUAAUCUAUCUUAUUAAUUGGUUUUAUAUACUAAGUAAAUGCUAACAACAAUGUUCAAUUAUAGAUAUUAGCUAUUAAUAACUCAGCAAUCAAAUUACAAUUUCAUAACUUUCUAAUAGUUUAAAAAAAUAAGCGUAUUGAAAAUAUUAAAACUUUCAAAAAGUACAAUCAAAUUAGAAAAUUUAUCAUAAAUAUACAAUUGAGUUUUAAAGUUUUAAAAAAAUACAAUCAAGUUUUAAAACAGAUUAAUGACUUUAAUAUGAAUUAAAAUUUGUGUACCAAUUGAAUCAAAACUAGUUCAUAACUUAAUUAAAGAAAAAUUUGUGUAUCACAUGAAUUAGGAUCUGUAAGUUCAUAAAUGAAUUAAUGACUUUAACAUGUUGACAACUUGUACGACUAAAUAUUUAUAAAUUAUUAAAAUGAACAAUAAUUUUGGAACAAUCAAACAAACCGCAAUAUUUUUCGUGAAAGUUUGAGUAUAAACAAGUCACAAGCCAAAUACAUCGCCGAUCUUUUUUUACAAACUGUUGCUAAACAAUAUUUAUGAACUUACUGAUACGGAACACCAGAACAAUCCUGGUCAGUGGUGAUGCUCCCGAAUUACAGACCUUCAAGAGGUUUGUCCAACAACAAUAGUCAUCAAAUUCAAAAGAUCUAUCCACCCAUAGCUACAUCUACAAGACCAGCUGAAAGUUUAUCAACACCUCGACCAUUCGCUAAAACAUUAGUCAAUCCACACAAAUUACUCCGUAAAUAUAUUAGUCAGUCCACGCAUAAAUAAAUAAUAUGCUCCAUUCCUUUGCAAAAGGCUAAAAAUAUAUGUACGUUGAUCACUUGAUCAGAGAAUCAUACAAUAGCCACCACCCUUUUCCUUUUGGACACUAUAUUUACCAUGAAUUGCAAAUUACAAAUGCAUUAUACAAGGUUCUCUCCACAGAGCUCGUUUGAUUCGGCUUUGGGGAAAUGCCAUUGAGAGAAUGCAAAUACCUUUGAGGUAAAUGGGCUUUUGGAAAUAUUAGACCAUUUGGUAAAUUAUAACAUUGAAAUGCAACUUAGCAUAAACACCGUUUGGCAAAAUUCACAUUUAUAAUUAGCUUUUGUUAUUUAUUUUUUUUUUAAGUCUGAAAUCAAAUUCCGACGGCCGGCCACUGCCGACCAACCGUUGGCCACCGUCGGACUGCCAGAUCUGGCCUCGCUUGGUCGCCUGGCUCGCGCGAGACUAGGCAACGCCGGCUGAGGUCCGCACGACCUCAAGCAGUGUCGCCUGGUCGCGCACAACCUCAAGCCACCUCGCCUGAGGUUGUGCGACCUUAGGCGAGGCUUCCCAGCAGCCAAAUCUGGCCGCUCGCAACUGAGUGCCGCCCACCGCAAAGAAGAAGACGAACGGCAGAGGACACGAUGAACAGUGACCCUGUGAACAGUAAAAUCGCAUCUCCGGAAUGCCCAAUGCUCAAAGCUGGUCCUCCCCGGCAUUUGGCUUUCGGCAUUUAAAAUGCCCGCAUUUCACAAAUGAGCAUUCAAAAGCCCUUGCCAAACACCCAAAAUUUCCUCCAAGGGGGAAUGCCCAACCAAACACCCCCAUAGUGAUGGGAAAACAAGCCAAUCAACGCUUGGAGUUGCCCCAAGAAUGCUAGAUGCGGCUUGGUGAAAUUGAAGAUUCACACACAUGGAGAUAUAGGUUCAAUUCCAGUCCCGUGCUUCAAGCUGCCAUCACCAUUCAUAUCACCUCAUUAAAGCAGCCAUAAUGUUGCCUAACCAUUUCAUUUAGGCCAAUCCCACUUGUCUCUCCCACCUAAGGUCUUCGGAGAAUUUCGAGAGUGCAGCCCUUGGGUCACCAUCAGAGAUAGACAAGUAGUACUGAGCAGUCCCAUCAUCAACCUGCAUGCUCCUCCUAAGGGAGUCGAGUAUUCUCUUCUUCCCUCGUUCAGAGGUUGUCCUCUUUAGCAAAGAACUUAUCUCUAUGUCCUGGACGCCUUCUGGGUAAAGCACGGCGACUUCCCUCUUUGCAUGGUUAUCUCGCUCUAUGUAGCAUGUGGAAUCGAUAAGAAUGUCAGGGUUGCUUAUGGGGAUUAACAAUCUCUCCCUUGAAUAUAUACCAUGAUCACUCAUCAUGUUGUUCAAGCGCUUUAUGUCCAUGACCUGACAGCACAAAAGAAAUUCUUGAAGCAUGUGACAUGCGGUAUAGACAGGCUCAAAAAGGAUAUGCUUGACAGAAACAUUGAAGCCGGGAAGAAAAAAAAAUUCAGGGAAGCCAUUCUAAAAGUAAGUCUCGGACAACAGUUAUCAAAACAUUGAACCCAGAGAGAUCUAACUACAUGACAUCAUUAUUGACACUUCAGGGAUUAUUAUGACUACAACCAUGGAAAAUUUCCAUAUAAAGACAUUCAUUUCCUAGUUGCACAAACAAUUUAAGUUCUGCUCUCAGAAUUUGAGGUUCACAUUCAACCAUUUCGAUGAAUCAAUACCACCACUGCAGAAUCAUCUACUAUUUCUAUGUCAAUGUUAUUUAGUCAGAGGAACUCUCAUGAGGAUCACAAAGUGCAUUGCCCAUCAUUUCACACUGAUUACUUGCAAAAUCUAAGCAUCAUUUAGCCUCGUGUGUUCUGGCAACUAAGAGAUUGUGAUUAUCUAUUAAGAUAAUCAAUAAAUAGUCAUCAAUCAAGCAUAUCUUUUUGCUAUUAGUAACCGGAGAUGCUUCUCACUUGGCAAACUUAAGAAAACUUUACCACAUGAAGAGAUUUCAUAAUGUUUUACAUGAAGAGGACCCUAUGCUCCCUAAGACAUAACAUUUUGGUCCAAGCCCCAACCUUCCUCCAUACCUCCAGAAGAAACCGUGACAGUGACUUCCAAGUGUAACCGUUUCCUUUUCCUUCUUUAUAUAUUAGGCUUCACUAAAAGAUGAAGUCACUCCAAAAUUACAAAAUUCGUACGUCAAUUAGCCUGGCCUUCCCCAAUGGGAAUAAAUCUAUAAGAUUUGCAGUAGUAAAUUCCAUUGAGCAUCUAUCCUACCACCUAUUUGAUACGAUAUAGAGCCACAGUGUAAAAUUAUAACUAACCCCACUCAAUGGGAUAAAUCUGUCAUUAACGUUGAAGUCAUUCAACCGCCAGCCUGCACACAGAAGCUAUGAACAUCAUCAAAUGAUAUGUACACUGUGUAGCAUCUUGUCAACAUUUUUCUUCUCCUAGUAAAUUCCCCAAGCUAACCUUUAUCAAAGAGGCCAGAACCCAAUCGAAUGGAGGUAUAAAAAAGCCAUGCCCAAAAUUGAACAAAACUAUGUACUUAGACAAUCCUGCACCAAUCAACAGAGCUAUCCAACUUUGGCUAUUAUAAUGGAGGAAUGACAGAAUGCUUCUUCAAGGAGAAAAGCCUCUGCAAAGACCUGAUAAUUGUCGCUACCUGUACAGCUUUCCUCAACCAACAAGUCCUCAGCAUUCUUCGGGAUUCGCCAUUUUAGCAAUCAAACUCAGGAUCACAAAUUCGUAUAUUAUGAAAAGCACCUAACCCAUCCCCACCCAUCCUUUCAGCGCCAAUGAAUAACCAAAUAGACAAUCUAUGCUGGAGAAGAAAACCAGAUGGAUUCCAAGCCAUCAGCAAAGCAAACCCACCAGAAAUUCCAUGAUAAUUCACAAUAAGGCUCCCAGCUUCCGUCCACUUCACUCAAACGGACCCACCCACGUCUAACCCUGGCUACACAUGACCACAUGCAGAACAAACGCACAUGACUUCCGAAACAUCAGAAGGAUACUACCAAGAAACCUUCUUCGUAAAGUUUCAAAAGCUGUAGCCGUACACACCACUUUAGCUAACUUUUAAAUGAAAUCACAAUCCAUUUGUUCGUCAGAAUCUGCCGAAAGUGAAUCUCCAUCGAAAAUGCAGAUUCAAAUCAUGUCAUUUGCAAACGUUUAAAGUAUACCCAUGCGAGAAUAUCAUUUCGCACCAACACAAUGCGCAGGAUGCUCACAAUUAAUACAGAAAAAGUGACAGAAACUCCAUUACCUGAACGGAGUACUUCACGGCGAGGCUCGCGACGCUAUCGCCGCGCUUAAUCCCGGUGCGAGAUCGCGAACUUCCCCACGCCGUUAUCCCCUCCAGAAGCUACCCGAGCUCGGGACGCCGACCACCUCCUUCAACCUCCAGGGGGCCGCGAAGGCUCGGGUGACCAUGUCCCGAUCGGAGGCAACGGAGCUCCAGAUGCGGCAGACGCAGCUCGCGCGGGCCAGGUCCGGGACGGGGAGCUUCUCGAAGAUGAGCCGGAGGGUGUCGCGGCAGGCGAGGGCGGAGAAGUGGGAGUUCAUCGGCGAGAUGGUGGAAUCGUUGGCAGCGGAGGCGGAGGCGGAGGCGGAGGAGGAGGCGGCGGCGGCGGCGGCGGAGAGAGAUCCCGGUCGUCGUCGUCGUCGCCGCAGCAGCCCAUUGAGAGAGAGAGAGAGAGAGAGAGAGUUUUUUGGUUUUGAACGGUGGAUAGUAGAGGUGCCUGGAAUAUGGUUGAAUUAUGAGUUUUCCCCGUGUUUUGUCAUUUAUUACAAAUUGCCCCUAACUUUUCGAUUUUUUGCGAUGUCUCCCCUAAAUUUUGAAAUCGGUUGCAAUGUCGGACUGGGGUGACUUCCAUUACUUUUCAGUUUGAGCACCGACCGUGUGCUUGUCACGUGACUGAGUUGAUCUUUCAUGGAGGGUAAAUCCGUCGGAUAAAAACAUGCGAAUUGUAUUUUAACCUCCAAACUUUGGCAAAGUUGCCCUAACUCUCCGUUAUAUUUCUCUUCCACUUUUUAUCAGCAAUAGAAAUUAUAAAAUCAUUUCCUUUGAUUUAUGAACAUAUUGCUCACACAAAAAUUUCAUGAAAGGAAGUAGUUACACUGAUUUGGUAUUUUUUUUUAUAAUAUAACUAGACAUCAUCACACCACAUGAAAAUCUGAUGUUCGUAUCAUGUUCCUACAGAUUGAUAUUAGUGCUACACUAUCGUGUCUUUUAUUUAACAAUUAAAAUGAUUGACUUAUGGAGUAAUCACUUUAAUAUGUGCUAACAAACAAGUUCUACAAGUUCUAUUGUCUCUUACAAUGUUAGGACUUCUAUUUGCAUUUCCUGAUUUGCUUUUGUCUUACCCUGUAUUGCGAGCCCUAAUAAGCCAUUUCUAGAAAUGAUACAUGAAUCUUUUAGUUGAUUACAUAUGCCUUUCAAAGUUUGGACGAAGUUUGGAGGCUGUAAUCAAAAUCAAAUGCAAAAUUUAUUCGUAACUAAUUAUUUUAAAAGUAUGGGUUAAAUUUGUAAAAAUAUUGAAAACAUAAGCCCCUUGUGAAAAUUGGCCCGAGCCAACACUAGGAAGGCUUUGCAACCAAUUUCAAGACUUGAGGGAGCAUUGUGAAAAUUGAGAAGUCAUGGGGCGAUUUGCAACAAGUGCCAAGAUCUAGAGGGACGGGGUGUAAUCCAUUCCUCAAAUUCCGAUGCCGCGAAACACUUUUUCUUUGCAAUUUUUUUUUCUUAUUUCUAGUUUGUGGAGUUUUUUUUUUUUUUGGUAAAGACACAGUUUGUGGAGUUUUUCUUCUGCACAUAAUGAGAAAAAUACGGACGCGAAAUAGUUUUCGAUGAUGAUGACCAUAUUUGGAAUCACUUGUCGCCGGAUUUUAACCGUUUUGCCUAUACAAAAAGGCAAAAAGAAGAUUUGCCCACAUGUCUAUUGAUUUUGAUUUUAAAUAAGAUACACUAUGACAACUAGACAAAGUAUAAUGUUGGCCUAUGGUUGAUAACGUCGACUCAUCUUUGCUUAAAGUAUCAUGAAACUGUCAAGCUCUCUUUUUGAGUUUAAAUGUGACGUAACUUUAUGGAAGGAAAUCAUACUACUGGCUAGCUUUUGAAUCUUGGGAUCAAUAAAUGUUUAGAUGCUAGGUUCUUUUCACUUCAUUCUGGAGAGUAACUCCAUGUUUUAUUACUAUUAAAAAAAGAAGAAGGAAUAGUAGGCUCUUGACAUUAAUAUUUUGUAUUUGGCUUUACCCUUACUUUCAUACAAAAAAUAAAUAAAUAAGAUUUAAUUAGCACGGGUGCUAUGAAAGUUAUUACCAUGUGGGCAAAAUCGACACUACUACUAAGCUUCUUUGUUUGGUGUCUUCCGCAGGAACCAAAUUUUCUUUUGUGUUGGCAAAAACUAAACUAUUCUUUAACAAUAACGAUCGUAUCGAUCACAGUAUAUGCAGAGGUUGAUUUAAUUAAACGGAUUGAAAUCUUAAUAGAAAUCGAUUGAAACUUUUACUCUACAUAGAUUAGAGUGAAAAUAGAAGUUGCAGCUCCCUACACUUAGAUCUCCACCUAUCGUUAGAUCAAAUUUGAACUAGGAUGGAAUGAACAACUUAUGAGCAUUAGUGUGGUUUCACGUAUAGUUCCAUGAAAGAAAAUGCAAAAUCUGUAAAUGUAUCUCUCAUGGAUAAUUUACUUGGAAUUAGAUCCUAAAAACUGGUGAGGCUUUGAUAAAUCACGUCUUACACUAUAUAGGAGUAAAUAUACCUGUUGAUAAUAAUUGGGGCUAGGUAGAGAGAGAUUUGGGAGAAUGACAAAAGAUAGAUUCGUGUAGCCUUUAAUAGAACUUCAUGAGCAUUGACGGAUUGAUUGAGUGAUUAAAUGUUUGAUUUGGAUGCAAUAGAUUUCAUAUUCAAAUGGUAACCUCAGAGGCCAUACCUGUAAUCUAAUACACAUAGAAGUGGUGGUUUGCAUUCAUAUGUGGGAUCAAUUGAGCCAAAAGGGUUGGAUAUCACGUUUUUAUAAAAAAAAAAUCAUAAGAAAAUUUUAGACCACUGUCCAACUAUCUUUAAUUCUUAAUUGAUAUGGUAUGGUAAGCACUUGGUUAAGAAGAAUUCCAGGGCAGACGACUCCUACAUUUUGCGCUUUAGAUCUGGAUCGUGCAAGCAAGAACUCAUGCAAACUAACUCGCCUUAAGUUAGCGAUGGUUUACUUGAUACUACGCCAACGAAAUGGAAUCUGCUUAUCAAAGGCCCAUGAGUCAAUUGAUUUUCAUGAGUAAGAACGCAGAUGAAUGAGAAAGGGCAGAUCCAGAGCAAUCCAAGCAACGGAAUGCAUCGCAUGAAGAAGAGAGAGGGCCAGCUGUGACAACGCCCGAAACUAAAAUAGCCGACGGGGCAUCCGCACCCUCAUUCAAGAGAUUUUUUUGGACAUUGCUUGCUUUUUCAUUGGAAAAAUAUUACUUUUUAACUUAUAGGGAGCAAAAAAGAUUCAGGCCAUUUGGCUUGACAAAGGCUCAGAAGAAACAGAUGACAAAGAGGAUCGAACAUACACAAAUGAACAAUUCAGGAAGUUAUUGAGGUUAAGGUUCCUCCAAGCGAGGGAUGAAAAUUUUAGCGGAGAUUUUGAGAAGCUAUUUCUUGAAUUAAGAUGGCUUCAGUGGACAGGAUGUCCUUCAUCUUUCGAGGCGACCAACUUGCGUAUGGAGAAACUAUUCAUGCUGGGAUUGACACAAAGUGCAAUUACAUAACAUUGGAAUGGAUGGAGCUCAAUCAGGAUAAGCCGGAACGACACAUCUUGAUGUCAUGUUUCUAAUAUUGAUUACUCCUUGACGACUAAUUCCCACUAUACUCUUUGUUCUUAUAGACGGCGAAGUGGCUCAAAGUUUGGAACCUUAGGUGUGGUCAUUUACCAUGUACUCUUGGCUAUCCAAAAUAUAGAAAUUCUCAUCCUUAAAGAAUGUGAACAUUUGGAGCAAAUUCACCCUUCUAUUAAUGAAUUAGGAGAAUUGAACGAACUUGUUUUGGAUUCGAUUGCUACAAAAGAGAAUCCUGCUAUUGUUUCUCUGAGGAAGCUAGAGAAGCUCAGUGCCAAGCGUUGUUUUGCUCUGGUUCGACUUUCGGACUCCAUAAGUCAUCUAGUGAAUUUGUUGACCCUCGAAUUUAUGUAAUUGUCAGGGAAUGGCCAAACUUCUAGGCAACAUUGGGUACCUCAAGAAGCUAUAGAGCUUGCCAUUUGGCGCAACUUCCACACUCUGUUGCCCAUCGACACAAGUCCCAAGCUCCAUUGGGAAGAUGGAAUCCAUGACUAAACUCGACCUAUCCAGCACAAACAUAACGUAACACUACCAUCUUCCAUAGGAGAUUUGCAUAACUUGGAAAUCCUGAAGAUUUCUACUAGAUUGAAAAGUUGCGAGGUGCAAUUGGAAGGUUGGGGAAACUCCUGCAAUUGGAUGCUUCAAGUUGCACUAGAAUAGAAGGGGAAAUUCCAAGUGAUUUUAACAACUUGUCUUCACUCGUGAAGCUUCUAACAUAUACAUCCAUUUCUGGCUUGCCAGAAGGCACUCAGAAUCUUUCUUCUCUGCAACAUCUUGACUUAGGGGGCUGCCAAAAGCUUCAAUCAAUGCCUGAGCUUCCUUCUGGGUUAGAUUUUCUGCAAGUCACUAAGAGUUUUUGCCUCCACUUUUUUACCAAAUUCAUCUAAGAGAACUCAUUGUUUAUGAUUGCAUAUCGUUGGAAAAUCUCCUAGAGCUUCCUCCAAGACUGUUGAAGCUUCACGUCACAAGAUGUGGCAAGUUGAAAUGCUUGCCAAGAUUUGAGCCUCGUGAAUGCCCCAAAAUGAUGCAAAGCAAACGCCGACACGUUGCAAUAUCCCCAACGACGUUGGCCAUAGCAGGUCGCGUGAAGUUGACUAAGUUGGAUGGCCUUGGACAAUGUGCAAAGUCCCUAAGAUGCAUGCCAAUGAGUGAGAACUAUGGAUCAAGCACUCCAUUAGAUAUGGAAGACAAUCUAGUCGAAGUUCAAGGUCUUGACAAGUUGAAGCACUUGGAAGAAUUGGAUGUAGAUUUUUGCUGUUUUAUUGGAAGACUGGACCUUCCAAAACCAAAUCAUCUGAACGAUUGAUUGCUAGAUAUUGCAAAAAUCUAGUUGAAAUUCGAGGCCUUUAUCAUUCAGAGUUCUUGGAAGCACUGCAUAUCACUGAUUGCACGUCCAUUUUGAGAUUAAACCUUGCAAAAUCAGAGCAUCUAAAGGAAUUGAAGGCCACAAAUUGCAAAAGUCUAAUUGAGAUUUAAGGCCUUGAUAGGUUGAAGUUCUUGGAAAAGUUGGAACUCUGGUCAUGCAAGUCCCUGGAAAGAUUACCAAAACUGUCGUGCUUGGAGACCCUGAAAGAGUUCAACAUCAACUGGUCCAUUGUCUGACCAAAAACAACGGAUGCAUUGAGCUUCGUGAUAUUGAGUCUGGAGAAUUUUUUGUCCUGCCAAAGCAUAUAUAUGGACGAAUGUCCAUCCUUAAAGAUAUUGCCAAACCUGUCAAAUUUCGAGAAUUUAGAGAAGCUCACCAUCAGGAUUCGCUUGAUAUUCACAUGAUGCAAGUCAAUCAAGACUUUACUAGAUUUGUCGACAUGUAAGAUGUUACAAUUUUUGGUGGCCCAAGACUGGGACAAACUUGCCGAACUUCGAGGACUUGAAAAUUUGGGUUUCAUGUAUUUGGAUGUUUCUGGAUGCGACUCACUGGGAGCAAUACCGAACUUUUCUAGAACACACGUCAUACAGGACUAUGAAGAAUGCCCAUAUGAUUAUGGCUUACCAAUGAUUGAAUUCCGAAGGUACUGAUGUGAUAAAUCAUGUAUUACAAUUGGGAGACAAUUGAUGCUUCCCUAAACUAAGGAAAAAGAGCAAGUAAAUUGUCGUUCUUCUUUCGAUUCGUACUAACUUUUUGCCAAGAACAUUUUCCUAAAAAAUCAGCUCUCAGAUUUUUCAUUAUGAUCCCGAAGCAUUGGAAUUUUAUGCUACACAAAGGUGGAUUUGUUCCCUUGAUGCUUGUCCCGGACAUUCCAACUAGGUGCCGCAAGUCCAAACAACUCCAAGAAGUCAGGAAUGACCAACGUACUAGCCACAAAGAACGAUGCUCAAAGCUUGUGGAGUUAGUAAUGCUAUCUUCCAUUUGCCUGAACUGAGUUGACCACAAAAUGCACUGAAAAUCUCAAAAAAAAAAAGAAAAAGAAAAAAAGAGGAAGGUAAUGUCUUUGAAGAUAGAAGAUAACAAACGAAUUCGUGAGGAUUGCAGCUACCGCUGCUUCCAGAGACUUUUCAUGUAAACUCCGGUGCUGCCUCUCUGUGAUAUGAUGACUAGUUCCUCAAAAAUUUGAUAUAAUGCCAAAGUUUUUGUAAAAACAGCGAGCUGUCUAUAUUGCCAAUUUUCCAAGACCACACGAUUUAUUCGAAAGUAUAAGCUAGCACAGGUUCAUUUUUCCUACUCUCAUAUCAGCAGCAUACCAAUGUCUGGUUUUCCAAUUCCCCAGGAAAUGAAGAUUUAUUCUCUUUGCAGGGGUUUAUACCAAUAAAUUAUCAAUACUCUUUUACAUUGCCAAAAUUUCACAGUUGGCAUCAAAACUGAAUUGCAUAUUAAGCUUAUUAUCGAUAAGAAAAUUAACGUUAGAUUCACUUAUAACGUCUCAGCUAGAGAUGUCCAUCACUUUUUUGACUCAGUAUAUUGAGAGGGAUGACAGUCUUUAUUGCUCAAGCUUUUCCUAGGUGUUUAUUGUUGCACUGAAAUUGAAGUGUAGCUGGAUAUGAUUUUUACUUUGCCAGAGCUGUCACUGUGCAUCAGCAACAAUUGGAACUCCAUAGAUUCCUUGCUGAUAGGAAUAUACACCUGUACCAUCAAUAUGGAGUAGUUUAAUGGCACUUCGCAGCAUGAUCAAGUGCCAUUCAAUGGCUGUCCACUAAUUUGCGUAAUUAUCGUACGGGUAUUUACAUGUAACUAUGUAGGGUACUUCCGUGCUUUUCCUCAUGAAAAGUGAGGGAAAAUUAAUUGCUUGCUUUAGUAUGGUUUGGCAGUUAGGAUUGCUGGAGACUCUUGAAUUACUUGAAUUACUCAUCUAGUUCCUGAUUUGCUGAAUCAUUAUCACUAUUUUCUUGCUAAAGAUUGGACAUCCUAGCGAUUUGUCAGCCGACAAUUUCUGCAUACGUGAGAUUUUUGAAAUUUUAGCAAAAAUAACUUCAAACGGCACUAAUGCUUGAAGAAAUCUUGUUGAAGUUGGAAAUGUUAAAUUCAUUUUUCUAGGACAUGAUAAUUGGCACCGCAUGUAGAAAUUCAUCCGCACUCCAUCCAAAUCCGGGACUGAUACAAAUUCUGUCUCAGCAUUGUAAGAAACAGGGGAAGCAGAGUAGAAUGGUACUAUGAAAUACUGAAUAAGAGAAACAUCAGGUGCAAUUCCAGAUAAAUGUCAUUUGACCAGAAUGCAGUUCCAAAUAUCAGUCGAAACCGGCAUUUCAUACGUGCAAGUUGCCCCCAAAGUCAUUGCCUAAUCAAUCCAAAGGCCAUUUGCACUUGCAUCCCGCAUCCUCUUUCUGUGAAAUUACUUAGCAUAAGGUGACAUCAAGCUUGGAUCUGCACUCUGCAGCCUCUUUCUGUUGAUAUUGUUAGAAAUCUGACAGCCUCAUCCAAACCUUUUUUAUGGUUAUUUUCCAAUUGAUUAUGGUAGAUAUUACAUCAAAACACUUUGAAAAUCACUUAUCAGGUUAUAGUUUUGCCUAAUUAGACGAAUGAUUCCAAUGGACCAAUGAUUAAAAAAAGUCUUUGGCUUUACCCUUGAGAGAACAUCGACAUCAACAUGUUGUUAGCAUUUAGCAUGUGACUAAGGUCUUUUGCGAACCUUAUUUUCCCUCCAACAUAACGUAUUUCGCAAUAGUAAUCUUCAACAUAAUAUGCAUUUUCUUUGUGGCGUCAUAGUGGGCGUACAGUUUCGUAUGGUCUCUUCAAAGUUUUUCCCUGAUAAUUCAGUAGAAAUUGUUAUCAGAAGUUGUCUCUGGUGCUGUGUUUUGUGUCCGAACUUCUUUUGUUCGUCUACUACUCUACCUCAUUCUCCAUUAAAAAAAAUAAUAAUAAGUACAUACAAUAGAAGUUAGUCUAAUAUCUAACAAGUUAAAAGUUAGCAUACCUAGAUUUCUGAAAAACGAUUGCUUGUAUCUCAAUCGCUCUGAAGAUAUUUUCCAAAAAAUAAAUGAUUUGGAAAAUACAUCUUUUCUCAUAUGGGCAUAAUAUAAUUCGAGCAAAAACAUUAUGCCCAAAAGAUUGAAGGUAUACCAUGGAAUCAAGCUACUUAUGGGCUUCAUAUCAUCACAGAAGGAACCUUUAAACCAUGUAGAGGUCCUCAUUGUCCCAAAAAGUGGCAUGUGAUUUUAUGCCGGAAAUGGAGUACUUGUGUGUGUUUUUGUUGGUAGCCAUCACAACAUCGAGGCACCAAAUUGCAUUGGUAAAUUGAGGCAUCUACUUUAUCUCAAUUUUUCUUAUACUAAUAUCGAAAGGCUUCCUAAAUCAAUUGUUCGACUGCACAACCUAGAAGCUUUAAUGUUGCGUGGUAAUGAAAAUCUUACCGAAUUGCCUGAAUAUAUUGAAAAACCGNNNNNNNNNNNNNNNNNNNNNNNNNNNNNNNNNNNNNNNNNNNNNNNNNNNNNNNNNNNNNNNNNNNNNNNNNNNNNNNNNNNNNNNNNNNNNNNNNNNNUGCUAUCACUUUUUAUAGGUAAUUUUGGGGGUCUUGAGAUGUGUCCAAAUUUGUUGUGGGAACCCAAAAAUGGCUAAAGGAGUUGUAGAUAAUGCCGAAUGCACCUUGUAGGGAAAUUAUUCACCUCCAAGUUGCUUAAGGUUGGAGAGCAGGUCAAUUUACCCACGAGGGACAGAAUAUGCUAGUGGACCAUGUAGUGAGUGAAGAUUAUGAAAAUUUCCUGAAUUUGUUUGCAAUUUUAACACAAUGAUUAACUUGAAAGAAGAAGAAUAUACAUUAAGAAUCAUAUUGGAAAAAAAAAGUACAAGAACGACAUUGAACAAAUUGUAAAAGUACAGCGACCGGCGGUUUAUUAUCUCUAAAGUUUUUGCACAAAUUUUGUGAAGAGAGUCUCCUAAAGAUUUUGUUAAAAGUGAAAUGUAUUGCUUUCUAUUCUUUUUCCACAAAAUCAAGGCAAUGACACUUUCAAGAAAAUGACCUACACGUCUCAAUAUCUUUUCCCGUUUCCACAUGCAUUAUUUUCUCUAACAUGGCUCUUAGAGAGUAUCAUCAUAUAAAAUUAGUCUUCACUAUGAAUUACAUUGACUCUUACACUAAUAUUGAUUCUUUAUUGUUGGCCAAAGGCCUAAGUGUAGAUUAAAUGCCUCUCAUCAAAAGACCAAUUUUCCACCUGCAUUAUUCUAGUGCAUUUUGCCGUACGUCACAUUUGAAUUGUUUUAACUCAUAGAUACUUUAACAUUAUGCAAUGAAAGGCUGAGAUUUAUUCUUUAGCGGUUCAACAGUCAAUGAUCUUUUAGGUGAGGGCAGGCCAGGUUCCCUGAAUACAUAAUAGAAAAAUGAGUAAGGAAUAAGUGACACGGUUGUCGUACCACAUAAGUUGCGUUCAUAAGGUUGGGUUGUACUACACCCAAGCGGGGAGGCCCGCUAAAAAGGAGCCAUAUAAGAAGCAAAUAAAAAAAAUCAUAAUUUAUUUUUUUAUUAACAUGAAUUACAUGUGAAUGUGGGUCGGACUCAUUAAAGUUUAUAUUGAAUCAAAUCUUGUUACUUUAAAUUCACAACAAUCUUUUCUUUGAAUUUUAACUAAACCAUGCUAUUUGGCUAAUUAAAUGUGACUUAGACCACGUCAACGCUUCUAGUGGUGUAAGACUUAUAUUUUAAUAAAUAAGGAAAGUAAAGGUUGUUCAUAUUCACUUUGAUAUUCGCGACCAUGUAAUCCUAUUACAAAGAUAACUAAUGAAAGGGAAGGGCUAGUGGGGUAAAGAAGUAAAUUACCUUGUCAAAGACGGUAAGAUUAUGUGUGUCCCGAGCACUUUGGCUCAUCUUUUAAGGCAAAGAGAAGAAGUAAUUUCCAACGUAAACACUUUCACGAAAGUUGCCGAGCAAGGGAGGUGAUUGUGUGGCUCUUUAGUAGUACCAUGCAAAAACUAAUUUUUCAAUGUGAACACGUUGACUCCAAUGUAAAGUAUUGAGUUUUUCGGUUAAUGGGGUCGAGAAAAGCUAAAGGUCACUUGUCUUGAUUUGAUUGGUCACGCGGACUAAUUGCAAAGAGAAAGUAACAAAAUAUCCUCAAAAAUCUAAAGUGAGUGAGGUAGUCUUGCUUGAAGGAGAUGAUUAACUUUCUACACCUUUUACACAAACAUUAUAUAUAUACAUACAAAAUUAGAUUUGGACUAUUGAAGAUAACAAGAUUUAUGUAAGUUUUAUAUGAGCCUUGUUAAAUUUAACAGUCUAAGUUCAUUUGAUAAUAUUUUUAUUCUUGAAAAAAAAAUUUGUUUAUAAAUAAUUUGUUUAUUUUUAUUUUCGAAAACAAAGAAAUAGAUUUUUAUCUUUUCGGUUUCAAAUUUAUUUACUGAUCACUUUUCUAUUUCAGAUAAUAGAAAAAUUAGUUGAUUUUGUCAAAUAAUUUUUUUUUGACGAAAAAAAAGAGCAGAAAAAUAUGAAAACAGGAUGGGUACGCCUGGAUAAUCACUAGAAAAAUGGGUACGGAAUGACUGACAUGUCACAUGGACACUGGUCAAAGGAACAGGCAAAGCUCACGCGGUUCUCGUACGACAUGAGUUGGCCUACACAUGUUGGGUGGUGCCAGACUAGAGCACGAGGGCCCAUUAAGAAGGAGCCAGGAAAAAGCAAAUGGAAAAAUCAUUACUAUUUUAUCUUUUUUUUAUUAACAUAAAUUACAGUUGAAUGUAGUUUAGACUCAUUGAAUUUCUAUGUAGUUAAAACUUUUUACUUUAAACUCAUAACAGCCCAUCCUUUAAAUUUUAGCUAACUCACUAAAUAUGAGUUAAUUUGUAGAUUAUUUUUCAACUCAUUUUAACGCCAGCAAAAGACUUCCAUUUCCACAGCAGAGAAAGCAAAAGGUUGCUCAUCCACUUUGAUUUGCACGGCUAGGUGAUCCAAUUACAAGGAGAUCUGACAAAAGGUGAGGGUCAAAGAAGCAAAUUGCCUUUUUAAAGUUGAUCGUUUAAUUUUUGUUAAGAAUUUUAAUUGGAUUUAAUUAAUCGAAUCAAAAUAAUCCCAAAAAGUGACUUUUUUUUUUAUCAUCAGAACUUAACCAAAUAAAGAAAAUACGGAAUUUCGAUCCGUUUCGGUUCCGUACAAAUUACCACACAAAAGACGGGGCAAUCCACGGCAAGAAAGUGCGUGGAUCAGGAGCAGGUCUGGCUCAUCUUUUGAGACGAGAGAAGAUGCAAUUUCCAAUUCGAACGCCUUGCGGGACGUUGCCAAGCAAAAGUGAUGGCGAUGAUUGUGUGGCUCUUGCGGAGAAGCAACCAAAAUAUCUUUAAAGUCUACGGCGAGGUAGUCUUGCCAAUUUCGAGGAAGGAAGGUUUGUUUCGGUGGUCUUGGUCAAAAAGGUGAAGGUAAAAAAGCAGUACAAUUGCCGCGUGAAAGAAGCGCAAUCCUUUCCACAAGAUUGCGCGUCUCCUUCGGGGCAAGAGUGAGAAGUAAAAGCUUUAUUUAAAGUCCCGAGUGCUAGUAACCCAGGAGCAGAAACGCCAAUCACCGUAAGUCACUUGAGACGCUCGUCUUUCGCUUUGAGAUAUCUGGCUUUGAUAGCUCUAGAUUGAGGCGUGAAGGUGAUCUCAUAAUUGUGCUGCUUUUGAGGCUCGGACACGACUUGAUGUGCUUUAAGGUAACUCUUUUUCAGACAUUAAAGCCCAUCUGAGUAAUUCCGUCUCUGCAUCACUCCUCCAGAUGAGCCGGAUAGUCUAUUACAUUUUUGAUAGAAGAAAAUAAAAACAUUUGCACCGCAUCUAACAUCCUUAAAAGCAUGCACAAUAUAACAUGUGAAAUUCCAUCGACUUUUUCAAAAUCACAGUCGUCACAUUUAUUGUAGAUUUUUCUUACUACGUUACCCUUUAUUCAAACUGAUCACUAUGAGCGGUUGGACUGGUUAAAUUCGGGGGAAUUUAAUAGUUCCUACUACAAUCUCUCUCUCUCUCUCAUAUUUGUCACUUUCUGAACCUUUUACAUCGGUCCUCUCUCUUGCAGAACAGUUCAACGCUAUCAUCUACAGUCCUCGCUCUCUCUCUUUGUUCAUUUCCCUCUUGAAAGUUCUCGCCGAGGCUUGUUUAGGGUCUUCUCUCUUCGAGCUUGCACCUCUCUUCGCAUCUCAGCUCGCGGAAGGUAAUCGUUUUUUCAUCUCUUAUUAGCGUGUCAUCUUUGUUGAUUUGUUGCGGCUGACCUAGUGUGCAAAGUGUAUUGGGCUCUUUUUGUCUAAUGUGGGAGGCUGCUAACGUGGUGUGUCACCAGCUCAUAAUCGACUUCUGUAGAAAGGGAAGCCUUUGCUUUCGACUUUAGAUGUGACUAAUCAUGUGGCCUCUCUGUCUCAUUGUUCGUUUGCAUCGCAGUUCAUUGUCCAUCCUUUAUUAAGCUAGAAUGAGUUAGAAUGCCAGCACACUAGAUUCUUUUUUCUUUUUUUUUGGGGUCGAUAAAGCACUUACCAUUGAGUUCGAGAUCAUUACAUAAUAAAACCGAAACUGAAAAUGGAUAGGGCAGAUAUAAAACCCAAUUAUGAGGAAGGCGGUUAUCACGAUAGGCUUUUGCUACCCGGUUGGCAGGCUUGUUAGCUUUUCUAGGUGCAUAAGAUAUUUAGAUUUCUUGAAGUUGGGCCAGCAGCACUUUGGUAUCUUCUAUAAUUGGUUGCACCGUCGAUGGGCUCGGAAUUAAGCCCAUUAAACUUUCCAUCACAACUUUGUUGUCAGAGUGUACUUCGCACUCGUAGGUUAGUUCAGGCCAAGCCGAAGACUUUUCCCUCUUUCCUGCUAAAGACUCAUUUCUCUUUCUUGCCUCUGCUAGCUUCAACAAAGCCGCACGAAUGGCCAGAGCCUCCGUUUUUAGGGCUGAAUUAGCGGUGAUUUUCUCCACAAAACUGUCUAUUGCGCACAAAAUUGCCAGUAUUCACCUCAAACCAGGGACCGUCUUUUAAUGGGUCGUGAGGUUUCUUUGUCUAUGAAGGUCUAAGAUAAAUUAAAUAAAAAACGAAACAGAAAAGAAAAAGUAGUAGGCCGGUUUGCGGCCAAUUUUGGGAUCAAGGGGUUUGAUUUUCAAUUUCGAAAAUUGGAAACAGGCUUUGAUAGGAUAGGUUUCAGGUCUUGUUUCGGAAUCUACACACUAUAAAAGUAAUUAUUCUCUUAAUUGGAUUUUAUUCGACAAUUUUGCCUCCCAAUAGAACAUUCAAGACAAAUAAUAUGAUGUCUUCCUUGAAUUAUUGGACAAGAUAACUCAUUCUUCCUUCAGAGUCUUGAAAAUUGACGGAGUCAGUUAACUGAAGAAAGGGUUAACACAGUUAACUGAAGAAAGGGUUAACAAAAAAAAAAGUUGAAUGAGUUAAUAUGCCUAGGUUUGAGUAUUUUUAACUCUAUUGCUGCUUUUUUUGAACAAAAAAUGAAAACUAUAUUGCUACUUUCUACCCGCUCUCCACUCAUGAUAGUUUCAAUCAUCACAAUACAAAACAUACCAAAAUCCAUAUUAUGAUGACUUCUUUCACCUUUGUGUCUUUCUAAAAUUGCAGUCAUGGUAAAAUCUUAAUUUACUUAAUCAUAGAGACUCCCAAAUACAUGAAUUCUUUUAAAAUAGAAUAGAAGUAGAUAAUUGAGGGCUUGUUAUUCAACAGUAUAAUAUGAUUUAUAUACCCGUGUCAAUCAAUAUCCAUAUUCACAUAUAUCUAUCUAUGAUCUUUUCUUUAACUUCAUACCUUUUACAUGCUAUUCAAUAGGAAGAAAAAUAUCUUAUGACACACACGUGAAAAUGAUCACAUAAAUUGAGGCAUACGCGCAUAUUAAGAGAUUCACCAAACUUUAUAACACUCAUUUCUUACACUUCUUAUUACAAACAAUAAAUUCGUUUUUCAAAAUGUGAUUAAUCAAUUUAACUUGGUUUAUCAUGAAUUUAGUCAAUAAUCCUACUCUUCUUCCAUUUAGUUGAAGAAAAAAAGCUUUGCGGUGAUAUUUUCAAAGUGGGGCGUCCAACAAAAAUGGGGACAAGCACUCAACGUCAUUGUUUCAAACCUUGGUCGUCUCUUAAUUUUCUUCAGGAGCUUCCUUUUACUUCCUUUCUUCUCUUCUUCUCCUGCUUCCACCGAAUCCGUACAAUUUUGUGUCAUUUCUAAUCGGUCAGACUAACGUGGAGAAGGGGCAAAUUCAGAGCAAGGCAAACAAAGGGCUGCAUCGUUUCGUUUCAGAUCGGUUCCUUUGCGGUGCUUCUUGCGUCUAUAUGCUUGUAUUCAAACAUCUCACUAAGAAGAAAAAGAGUGCACUGAGGGAAUCUGCCACUCCGUUUGAUGCUAUCUAACAAAUUUAUAGCUUUAGUUCUACAGAUAAGAUAUCAAUCAAUGUUUAAGAUUUGAGGAUUUAAAAUGAAAGGCUCAGUGAUGAUAUACCGGUUCAAAAUAAAAUAUUUAUACAUGGAAUUAUAGCAUGUGGUGUUGGCGUGUAAUGAGUAAAAGAUAAAUAACCAUGAGCAUUUGUUUAUCCCUACCUCACAUUUUAACUUCAUUAAAUAUAUGACAAUUUUAAACAUAAUUUAAAUAUAAAAUCACAUCCAUAAUUACUAGCUCAGUCCUUUCUUGACUUCUUUCAAGCAUAUCUAAUUCUGUUUCAACUCAAUUAUUAACAUUUAAAUGAUUUAUCAAAUUCUGAUUUUCUAUAACCAAAUAAAAACCAAACGUAUGCUUAUGUUUUUAGUCGAAUGCAAUAUACUUGUACACAGAUUCCAGUUCUUUAUAGCCUAAUUGAAAAAUUAAUGUACACGUUGUUCGUGAUUGGAUCAAGCCAACGAGGUUGACUUGACUAGAGGAUGAGGUCCAAAAGAGGAUAUUUAAAAGCAUAGAAAUUUAAAAAUAUUUCUUUUAUCACACUAAAGGCCCUAAAAUUAACGUACAGGUUAAUUGAAAAAAUUUUGGACCCACAUUUUCAGGGAAAUACUCUUAGAAAAGCCCUAGUCAAUAUCUUCUUUCAUUUCUAUGCACUUUUAGAAAGAAAUAAAAUGUCGGCCCAAAAGGAAAUAUUUCCCCUCAAUUUAAAAUCAUUUUCAUCAACUUCCUUCAUAAUUUAAACAGCCAAACAAAUGAAAUUUUUUCCUCAAUUAAUAUUUUAGUUUUAGUUAAUUUUACAUAUGAGCAAUGCCUAAAACUUGAAUCCUGCCAAUUAAAUCAUGAUUGAUGGAAAUUUUCUCAAAUUAGGAAAGUGCACGCAUCUGGAGAAUGAUGUCCACUGGGCAACAAUUACAUGACACCACAUUAGUUUGGCCAACCGAAAUGGGGUUAGUAGAAAGGGUUGGGAAAAUGAGGUGGUGAAGAUAAUGAGGUUUGUUUGUAUAUUAGGCUAAAAAUAGUAAGAGUAAGGUCGAAGACUAUUAUAAGGAUAAGAUGUCGUGGGAGUUUAUAUUUGGUGGAAGAUGGUUCCAUGGUAUCUCCUAUUUCNNNNNNNNNNNNNNNNNNNNNNNNNNNNNNNNNNNNNNNNNNNNNNNNNNNNNNNNNNNNNNNNNNNNNNNNNNNNNNNNNNNNNNNNNNNNNNNNNNNNNNNNNNNNNNNNNNNNNNNNNNNNNNNNNNNNNNNNNNNNNNNNNNNNNNNNNNNNNNNNNNNNNNNNNNNNNNNNNNNNNNNNNNNNNNNNNNNNNNNNNNNNNNNNNNNNNNNNNNNNNNNNNNNNNNNNNNNNNNNNNNNNNNNNNNNNNNNNNNNNNNNNNNNNNNNNNNNNNNNNNCCCCCUCUCUCUCAGGAGCACGAACUUUUUUCAGCAUUUCCCUCUCAGAUCGCCAUGGAUAAAGGGCAAAUUCAGAGAAAGAGAGAGAGAGCACAGAAAGAGAGCACCGAGGGAGCAUCCACUUCUUCGUUCAUCUCUCCAAAACUCACAGGACAAGGUGACGAUGCAUAUGAUGUAUUCUUGAGCUUUAGAGGCUCAGAUACUCGUAAGGAAUUCACCGACCACCUCUACAAUAGACUGGUCAAUACAGGGACUGUGUCUAUUUUUGCGUUCAAGGACGAUAAGAGCAUCCCAAUUGGUGAGGAUUUUAGUUCACAAAUUCUUGGUGCCAUCUCACGAUCUAAGAUUUCAAUCCCCAUCAUCUCCGAAAAUUAUGCUACUAGCAAAUGGUGCCUUCGUGAGCUCAUCCAUAUGAUGGACUGCAAGAAUAGUGUGUCACACAUAGUGUUGCCAAUUUUUUACAAAGUUAAACCAUCAGAUGUGCGGAAUCUAGAAGGAAAUUUUGGGAAUGCCUUCCGUUCGAGUCAGGAGUAUUUUGAUGAGAAGGAUAUCCAGGAAGGGCCGUGUGCACUUAAAGAAGUGAGUUACUUACAGGCGUGGGAGUCCCAGAAAUUUGCUAACGGGUACGUACAGAACAUUUCUUCCUUUUUUUUGGUUGGGGAACUUUUCCUUUUUCUUUGAUAAGUUCUCUUCACGCAAAACCAAUGAAAUGCAGAUGUAUUACUUGCAUUGAAAGCUCAGAAAAGAUCCCCAAAAUGUCCCAGUAAACAACCCUAAUGGGUCGAAGACUAGCAAACACUAGUACUUCCCAGGAUCUCGUGAAAACUAAACGAACGACAACUUAAGCCAAAGAUCCCGUAGUGCCCAAGAAUUUUACAUUUGUCUCCAACACAAAGCCAAAAAACGAAAGAAACAACCCCUUCAGCCAAUACUAUGCCCAUAAUGGACCCCAAUGCUGGGUCUUGAUCGCUACCAGAUAACUUAGACCUCAUUAUGCCAACGGGUUGGCUCGGCUGAGAAGGGUUGGACAAUUCCCAUUUACCAUGUUUAGGCUUGAUUUCCAAUGCCAGUAACCCUCAUUGGUAGGCAAUCUUGGGAUAGCCUCCUCUCCUCCUAGAAUUUUUUAACCAAAAAAAAAUAAAAAAUGGACCUAUCUUUGAACGGGCAACAACCUCAAUCGUUAUAAUGAACAUUAUAGUUUGAAAGACUCUUCUUGAGCCAUGUACAUCACCUUAUUUUAUUUCAACAAGAUCCAUCUAUUGGCAUAAAAGGAUAGGGUAAAAAAAAUUGGAAUGACCACUACUCCAUCUUCCCCCAUUGUUAUGCGUAAAUCCAAAACAGCUUGCAUGUUAAUUGGCCCCAUGCAUCCUCAAAUAUAUGCUGGUCUUUGGAUGAGAUUAAGUAUAAUCAAGUAGUUAUCAAUGAAUUUUGUUGUUUGACAGGCAUGAAGGAGAAUUAGUGGAAGAAGUGGUCAAAAAGGUUUUGAGCAAAUUGCAACAAGACUUUCAGCUUGAUGUUACUAAGCACUUAGUUGGAUUUGGGGAUCAUGUGAGCAAAAUCAGGAAUUGGGUAGACACUCCUGCCAAUGCUGCUCGAAUGAUUGGAAUCUAUGGCAUGGGUGGGAUUGGAAAAACAACUCUGGCCAAAUCAAUCUACAACCAGUUGUUGGAUGAAUUUGUACAUCAUAGCUUCCUUGCUAAUAUUCGAGAAAUGGUUCAACACAACGGUAUUCCUUAUCUACAAAAUCAACUAAUUGAGGAAGUACUUCAAAUUGAAUGUCAAAUUCGGAAUGUUGACCAUGGAAUUAGUUUGAUUAGAUCUAAAUUCAAAGGAAAAAAGGUUAUCAUUCUUUUGGAUGAUAUAGAUAACAAAAAGCAACUAGAUGCUUUGGCUAGAGAGCGUAAUUGGUUUAUGAGUGGAAGUAUUAUCAUUGUUACAACUAGAAAUAAAGCUAUUCUUGAUCAAUCUGAAUUUGAGGUAGACUACCCAUAUGAAUUGAAUGAAAUGGGUAAGGUGCAUUCUUUGCUUUUAUUUAAGAGACAUGCAUUUCGUAUGGAUCAUUGUCCAACGGACUUUGAGGAUAUCUCUCAUCAAAUCAUAAUCACCAUGGGUGGGUUACCCUUAGCUCUUGAGGUUGUUGGUUCAUACUUGUUUAAAAAAACAAAUCUAAAUGUAUGGAAAGAUAUGUUGAAGCAAUUGAAAGAAGGACCACAUAAAGAUGUCCAAAAGAUACUGAAGAUAAGUUAUGAUGCAUUAGAAGAUGGACAUAAGCAAAUUUUUCUCGAUAUUGCUUGUUUCGGUUUUGUUAUCAGGGAAGAGAUCAAAUUCGCAAUGUACAUGUGGGAGGACUGUGGGUUUCGUCCAAGUCAAGGAAUAGAAGAAUUGGUAUUGAGGUGCUUAAUAAAAAUUGAAAAUGAUGGCAAGUUAUGGAUACAUGAUCAAUUGAGAGAUCUUGGAAGGAGCAUUUUUUGCCAAGGACAAUCACCUGAAAGAUGUAUUGGACCAUGGGUCGGCGAAGAAGCCUUCGGAGAACAAAUACUAGGAAAGGUAACAUCUGGCCCUCCUCUCUCUCUCACUCAUAAUUAUACAUAUAUAUAUUUUUAAUAUGAAUUAUUCUAUUCUUUAUUUAGUAUGAGGAAAUGCUCGUACUUUUUAGGAAAAAGUAUGUUUAAACAUCCGUUCAUGUCCAUUGUAGAUGAAUUGUGACAGCUAAUUGGGAUUAUAAGUGUCCCAAGGAUGAAAAAGUUACCUUAUUUGAUUCAAAUUCAUUGAUAUAAAUUACAUCUGUCAAAAACUUAAUUUACAAUCAAUUUAAGAUUCUUUAACUACGAUUCUGCACUAAAAAUCUGGUUCACUAAAAGCACGGAACUUUAUAUCUAGUUGAAAAUAUUAAUAAUCUGAAAAAUUACAGUAAUUAAUACAGAUGAAGCAUAUACAUCGUAAAAAAAAAAUUGCCAAUCAUAAUAAAUAAAAAUUAAGCAAAUCAGUAACAGUAAAGAAAAAUCAAUGUUUGAUAAACUUUUCCCCCAUUUUGAUCAUGAAAGUACCCGUCCCUCUACUAGUUUCAUCUAUCUCUUUUCCUUCUUCUUUCCUCUUAAUAGAUAUGAUGGUAAAAAAUCUCCUUAAGAAUUAUAUUGGGAAAACCUUACUAUGCUUUUAGGGUUACGUCACGUUGACCUUGUUCAUCUCAUGGACUAGGUUAGGUGUCUGACAAUCAGUGGAUCUUCUUAUUAUUUCUUUAAUUGCUUCUUUCAUUUCCAUUGUCCGUUCCUUCGCUUUUCCUAAUAAAAACUUCUUUCCUCUCCAAGUUGUUUUUAUAUUAUUUAUAUAUUUGGGACAACGCUCUUCUGUGCCAAAAACCACUGGACAAACUUGACUAUUUGGAGGAAAUGUCAUGCUUAUUAUUAUAUCGAUACUUUUUUAUUUACUAUAAACAAUUUUCAGCAUGAAGUCAAAUUUGAAAGUAAGUUUAGUUUUUACAUAGAUUGUCAAUGUUCAUGUCAUUUAAUUAUUUUAUAUUGUCCAUUUGGGGAAGCCUAGUUGGUUCAUGACUGAUCAAUGGCGGGGAAUUAGCCUUAGUUAUUAGCCAAGAGAUUGUGGGCAAAGGAAAAAGCUUUAUUUUCUUGAUUUAAAGUGAAAUAGUUCACACAUACCAUUAUAAAGAGCACACUCUUUUGUUGAUCCAGUGCCUGUUCUUAACAUUAGCACAAAGAGCACACCAUAUGGGUGCUUAAAAAAUGAAAAAGAAAAAAAAGAAGUCAGAAUUUGUUUGAACGGAGAUAAAUUUUGAAAGAUGCGAGGGACGUUAAUGUAAUUUGGAAAAUGAAAUAUUUAUGGGACUAAUUUCCACUCAUCUUGACCAUUUAAAUUAUUUAUAUCCUGUUUCUACAAUUCAUUUUGGUAAAAUAUCUGCUGAUCUUUUUUCUACGUAAUAUUCUGUAGGAUUAAUGUACGAUUGCAAUUUAUGAAAGAUAGAGUGAGAUGAUGAUUACAACAAGAUUUCGUGAUUUUUCCUGCAAACACACUUAAGAGAAAUUAUAUUCACCGUUGGUAUUUCAUUAGUUAAUAUACAAAGUACAAACAAUGACAAACGAGUCAAAUUAUAAAACUGAACCCGACUGAAAAAAAUUCUAUCUUUGAUUUCAUAGUGUUUGUGAAAGUUCUUAUUUCACAAAACAAACUUGUGUCUUCACGGUUUGGUUUAUUCUUAAUAUUUCCAAGAAACAAAAGAAAAAAAAAAUUGCACUUUCAAGUUAUGUUGAUGGGUCGAUAAUUUUAAUUUUUUUGAUGUACUAUAUCUCUUGCACUAUGGUAUCUUCUCUUCUAUGAUUGUACUUGGCCUUCUAAUAGCAUUCCAAAAAAAUAAAAAUAAAAACAAGAUAAUGCUUUCGAUUUGGAGCAAAUACUGUUCUAACAAAAUUUCACGUGAAAGAAAAAAGGUCAAUUAGUCAUGAACCCGUGCCAUGCAGAGGCACAAAAACUAACGUGAAUAAAUUUAGCGUGAAGAUAUAAUUGUAGUAUCCUAAUCUCUAUUGAAUCCAUGAGCUGUUUUCGUCAUUCACCUCUUAAAAUUGAAAACCACCAUCAAUCACCACUGCCCAUAUCUAAAUAUAGUUCUUUUUAGAGAAAGAAUUGUUCAUCGUUAGAAACUUACAAGUGGUGUCAUCGGCUCAAUCCAAUAUAAAUGGUGUGAAUUGCACCUGUCAUGUUUACUCUAUUUCUAAUAUAACAUAAUACCUUAAAUAUUAAAAAAAAAAAGAUGAGAUUUGUCUCAGUUUAGGUCCCAUCCAAUUUUACUAUAAGGAUUCUCCUACAAAUAAAAAGUGUGGCAAAAGAGUAAACUCCCACUUUUGUAUGGUACUUGUUCUCUAAUGAACACGUCCCACACCUUUAACAGUUUAAUAAUAUUCUCUUCAUCGACCCGUCGUAUCAUCCCCAAUCCUUAUCACCAUUCUCAUCUUAUUUUUAAGAGCUAAGUCACAAUGUCUCAUAAAACUAAGGAUAAUGUCAACAGAACACGCAAAUAGCAUGUGUCUAGAGAAUUGUGGACAUCAAGCAAACUCCAAUUACAAAUAUAAUACCAUUUCUAGGUCAAAUUUUGCUUUUGCGUGUCACAAAUGCAUUUUCUUGAAUAGUUCAAGGGGGGGCACCACUGGCUCAAAAUUACUUUGCUCUGGAAAUGCAUGUUGUUAUUAAAGUGAAUACUAAUUUCUAAUAUCUAAUUCGCCUCUUAAGAAGCAUGCCCAUGCUAAAAACGAACGCCAAUAAUUUACAUUAACAUACCUCUAGAAAACCUAUCUGACAAAAGUGGGUACUGACAGCUAUAUAAGUUCCAUAACGGUGGAAUACUCCACUCACUCUCUUUGCCAGGUGAGACACAGGCUUAAUUAAGUCCGACUGCACAGUUCAAACAGGGAAUAUCUGAACUUAAUGGUGCAAGGAAUUAAAUAUAAUGAGGAUAAUCUACAUUCACUAGCACGUUCCUUAACGACUAAACCGGCUGCGUAGGGUUGCCUCUCAGAAAUUUCAGCCGAAUCUUUCAAAAAACUAUCAACCGUACCUUAUUUUGCUUUGGGUAAAUCCUAAAGAACUUGACCAUAGGAUGAACUCCCAAGAAAAAACAACUCACUAGAUAUGGCUCCUUGGUGCUUAACCGAGCAUGGCUGGGUGUCCGCUUUUAUCGAGAAUCGCACUGCUAAGCCGUUCGUGCGACUGGUUGAGUCUUGCUGGAGGCCCAGCCACUGACCAGUAGCUUUGGCUACUUGCGACCUCUGUCAUGGACAUCUCAGCCUUGUUCCUCUGGAAGUCUGUGCCAUGUCAAACUGCAAAGUCCCUCGUCCACGGGUUCUUUAAUACAUAUUGAGUCGCGGCUUGAUGUAUCUGUGGUCAAGCUCGGGACGCUAAUCCAAUAAAAAGUUUAAAUAGAGUUCUGUGUGUUUGGAGUAAAUGCUCUUUUAAAAUUUCGGUGCUUGAACGUUAUCGGAUACUGUCACUGAUCAGCUAAACUUUCGGGGGAAAAAUAAAAAGUAUUGGCCGUCUGGGAUUUUGUCACCAUCUUUUAGUAAUUAAAUGAUCACCAUCUUUUACUAAUUAAAUGAUCUCUUUUAGCAACGAAGUUAAGCGGUACUUUUUGACUUAUGCAAAAAGAAACGGUGCCAGUCUCAGGAAACGGACAUACGUAUCUUCACUCUUUUGUUUUGGUAAAAUACACGAGUAGAUUUCUCCAGAAACUCUCCUCUGGCAGAGUUUGCCAAAAGAUACUGCCCAGCAACAACAACCUAUAUGUUAGAAAUCUUAAUCUAACAAUAACACCGAGAAAGGAAGUCAAUUAUUUUAUUUUUAGUUGGCCUAAAACCAACUCUUUUCCAAUUCCCAUCUAAAUCUAAAAUAUUAUUUAAAUACUAUCACCUUUUGAACAUACAUGACAAGAGAAGUUUCAUUUUUAAAAGCAAUGAUUAAACACUUGAUAAGAGAAUUUAACGAAUUGAGGGAAUCGGGUUCUUCCUUAGCUACUUAAGUUAUCCAUGGGCACUCUUUAACAUUUGUAUGUUUUAAAAGUUUCACGUAUUUCACCUUGGAUAAAAGUCAAAAUUCAUACAUUACAAGAUUCAGAAAAAGCAGAAGGUAAAACAUGUUUCGUUUUCAAUUUUUUAAAGCAAGAAGCAUUGUUGUUUUUGUUUAAAAUAUUGUUUAAAUUUCAAAAGAUUAUGAAUAUAUUAUAUGUGAGUUAAAAUGUCAACAUAUAUGCAUAGCGAGAGGUAAAAAGAUGACAAAUUGUGUAAGUCUAGGAUUUAGAAAACCAAAAAUAAAAAAUAAAAAGUCAAUUUAGACACUCGAUUGAUUUGAUAUGCAGGGGUCUCCUUCAGUUUUCCACAUGAUCGGAUAUCUUUGCCCCCAUGGCUGUCCCUCUACAUGCACAAGUGAACUGUUUAAAACCUUACUGAGCUCAAGGUUCCUUCAAUUGCACUGCAAGGCUUUAAGGGGAGACUUUAACGAACUGUUUUCUGAAUUAAGAUGGCUUCGAUGGUUAGGCGUUGAACCCAACAAGUCUUCUUUGGCAAUCAAUUUACAUCUACCUAAACUAGUGGUGCUAGAGUUGUCACGAAACAAGCUCACAGAGGAUUGGAGCGGAUGGAGUUUAAUCAUGGUAAGAUUGAAAAAAAAAACAUUCUCUGUGAUCUUUGCUUUGUAUUGUCUUGUCCAUUAAACUCCUUUUUUGACAGCUUAUUCUCCUUUGUACAGGAGGCAGAGGGACUAAGAGUUCUCGACCUUUCAGGUAGCGUUCAUUUAAAAGGUACUCCUAAUUUCUCAGCUUUCACAAAAUUGGAGAUUCUUAUGUUGAGCAAUUGUCAAAUACUGAAGAAAGUCUGCCCUUCUAUUGGCAAAGUCAAGAGCCUUGUUUCCUUGGACUUGAGAGGCUGUUCCUCUAUCAGAGAGCUACCAAAGGAAGUGGGUGAAUUGCAAAACCUAAAAGAACUUCUUUUAGAUCAAACCCUUAUUAGAGAGAUUCCUUCGUCAAUCAGUUCUCUGAGGAUGCUAAAGAAACUAAGUGCCUUGAAUUGUUGCUCGUUGGUUGGAAUCCCUUCAAUUGGGAAACUUACUUCUCUCCAACACCUCGACCUAGGUGGGUGUUGGUCAUUGAGAGAUAUCCCUAACUUAGAGAAUCUUUCUUCUCUCCAACAUCUUAACCUCUCUGAAUGUUGGUCAUUGAAGAAACUCCCUGACUCAAUUGGGAAUCUUUCUUCUCUAGAAUACCUUGACCUCUCUAAUUAUUUCGGUAGGCAUUUUAAUCAUCGACCUUUUUGCUCAAGUCCUUUAUCAUCGGGAGUACUCACUAUUUCCCAGGCGAACAGUUUUCUCGGAGAAGCUGAUCUAAGCCAUCUCAAGUUUUUGACAGAAAUCCCUUUCUCAAUUGGGAACUUACAGAACUUACAAUAUAUGGACAUUAGUUUUUCUGCUAUUAAAGGGUUCCCCCGUGCUAUUGGAAGGCUUGAAAAACUACGGAGGCUAAUUUUUAAAUCCAGCGAUUAUGAGAGAGUGGGAUUUAUAGAAACACUCUGUAAAAAAUUUCCUUCGCUUUUCAACAUCAUUCACACAUUCCAAUCUAUGCAGAAACGUUCUCUUCUCGAUUUUCUUCCCAGAUCCCAUGAUGAUCUCCGAGUGUUGUUACGGACUUCUUCCGGCUUAACAUAUAUUCAUGUCUAUUACCCGAUUUGCAGAUUGCCCCGGCUUUCUUGCCUAAAAGAACUAGAAGAACUUCAUCUUGAUGGAUGCAAUGAACUUGAGUACAUCCCAGAGCUUCCCCCAAGCCUCUUGAAACUUUGUGUUGACUCCUGUCCUAAGCUGAUAUUGCCUGAGUUUGACAAAUUCAAGUACUUGGAAGAGUUGUCAAUAAAACGCUACAAUUCCAUUGAAAGAAUGGACAUCUCAAAAUUGAAUCGUCUGAAAGGAUUGGACAUUGAGGAUUGCGAUAAUCUAGUUGAAAUUCAGGGCCAAGGUAAAUUAGAGUUCUUGGAGACUAUAAAUAUAUGUAGGUGCAAGUCCAUUGAAAGGCUGAUCCUUCCAAAAUUACAGUGUUUGAAGCGACUACAUGCUCUCUCUUGCAACAAUCUUGUUGAAAUUCGAGGUCUUGAUACAGAGUUGUUAGAGGUGUUGGAUAUCUCUGAUUAUCGGUUAAAUGCUGACUUGCCAAGCGUACUGCUCCCGAAUAAUAAGUUGGAAAAGAUAGUUUUAUCUGGCUUGUGUUUGAAGCAAUUAAAGGUUCACUCUUGCGAUAAUCUAGUUGAAAUGCAAGGUCUUGAUAAGGCAGAGUUGUUUGAGUCCAUUGAAAGAAUUCCUGACUUACCAAGCUUCGUGACCCUGAAAAAGUUGGAAAAGCUAGUUUUAUCUGGCUGCAGGUCCAUCAAGAAGCUGAUCCUUCCAGAAUUGGUGUGUUUGAAGCAAUUAAAGGUUGACUCUUGCCACAAUCUAGUCGAAAUACGAGGUCUUGAUAAGGCGGAGUUGUUGGAGGAAUUAGAUAUCUCUGAUUGUCGGUCCAUUGAAAGAUUACCUGACCUAUCAUGCUUCGCAACCCUAAAAGAGUUGAAUAUCAAUGAGUGUUACAAUCUACGUGAUAUUGAGAGCCUUGAGAGAUUCUCGUCUUGCCGAAGCAUAUAUAUAGAAGGGUGCAAUUCCCUAGAAAAAUUACCGAACCUAUCGAAAUUUGAAAAUUUAGAGCAUUUUACAUUGAUGGAAUGCUUUGUUACAGAGAUUCCUGGGCUCGAGGAGUCAGUAUCUCUGAAACAUGUAAGGAUUAUAGAAUGCAACGAAAUUGAGACUUUGCCAGAUUUGUCGGGAUGUAAGAAGUUGCAUGCUCUUGUGUUACACUGCAUGAAACUCACUCAACUAAAAUUACCUGAAACAAACGCGGCCUGUAGUUGUGAUCCAUGGUAUGAAGAUGUUGAGUGCAUUAUUUUGCGAUAAUAAUGAGGUGAUAAUUCUUAAGCUACAACAAUAAGACGCGUCAUGUUUCCUUAGUAGAGGUAAGCAAGUACGCUAGCAUUUUUUUUUUUCUGAGAUACAUAACCUACUUGUGAUUACUAUCUUCUUUUAACAAGGUCUUCCUUGACAGGUUUUCGUACUUUCCUGAAUUCCAAGUCUCACAUGGGGUAGUUGGUCGUGGAAGCUGACAUGAUGCUUCGGCCCAGAUAAAAUUGUAGAUCCAAGUGUGAUUCUUCGUACAUUAGAAGGCAUCGGUCGUCCGGUAAGAUUCUUCAUCCCUUAACAAUUAGCAUGAGCGAACAGAGUAAUAAUUUUCUCAAGGAUAUAUCAUUUAAGAAUUUUUGCUCAACAUUAGGUAUCGAUUUGAUCUGGAUUUGCCUAAAUAUAUAUCCUAUUGAUUGCAUUAUGGCAAUGUAUUUUCGGCUAUACUUUCAUUGGCAACUUUUGCAGACAGAUUGGCAGCUUGCGAGGCAACAAAUGAAAAUAUCAACAUAGGUAAACAAGAAUUACUAGCGAUUCACAGUUUCCCUCUUGGUAAACCUAAGAUGAAAUUUUUUCAUAAAGAGGCUGAUGAUCUACUACUCAAUAUUAUAAACUGCGCCCAGAUCCCUCUCUCUCUCUCUCUCUCUCUCUCUCUCUCUCUCUCUCUCUCUCUCUCUCUCAAACUAGCAUUUUCCUUAAAAAAAUCCUUGGUCAUUUUGAACUCCUUUUGUGAGCAGUUUUAUGUGUCAAAUUUGACUAAUGGUAGAUAUCCGGUUUAGAACAAACACCUCUCGAUUUUUCGUGAUGAUUGGAAAGCCUGUCAAGUUUCUUAUUGUUCAUUCAAGUAUGAAUUCUGAAUAAGGAAGAGAAACUGAGCUAAAAUAAAAAUCAAGGUUCAAGUUUUUCUGGUGGGUGAUUUAGCAAAAUGAAAAUUAGUUUUGGCUGGCCUGUUUCAUAAAUAUUUGUAGAAAGGCUUUCCAUAACCAAUUGCCGAAGUGUUGGUUUGAAAAAUUAUCAAGUGAAGUAAGUUGGUGCAGCUUUUGUGACAGCUCUGGCUGGUCUAUUUGAUGGUCAAGGCCUACCUUUGUACUUCAAUUCAAAUGACCUAUUGCAUGAUUGGAACAAUUUUUUGCCUGUUGUCUAAAACUAGCUAGGCGUGGCAUUUGUGAUUUUGCUAAUUAGUUUGCAUCCUGUUUGAUCCUGUUGUUGUCGUAGAAUCAUUUCAUUGCAUGAUUGAUCUCGGUUUGGCUAACUUGGCUUAGGAAAUUCAAAUUCCAUACCAGAGACCGAUCAAAAUGAAGAAGAGAGAUUUUGCCAAGGAAUCAUGAACAACAGCUGAGGGCAAGCUUUUGUGCCGACCUUAAAGAGGCUCACAGGCCAACUGGAGUGUCCUGAGGAAGUGUUUUAUACCUGUGAAGAUUAAAGCGCUUGAUCUGGUCUCAAAGGCACAUAACCGAGUGAUUGAGAACAAUUUUUUUUUUUCAAUUGAACCUGCUUUUGGUAUGCUUAUUAGGUUUUACUUAAUCAAGUAUCGAAGUGCUCAAUUUUCUGCAUGUUGCCCUGAUGCAGAGUUCUUUGAUGCAAUUGUGUUCUAAUGAUAUCAUUCCCGAACUCAAUCAGGCUCUGCUGAUAAAGGUAUGCACUGCCUGUCCUACCAUAACUAAUGAGAGAGUAACUUGUCUGCCUAUACUUAAUUGAAUGUGCUUCCUAUAUGCUUGUUAGGUUCUACCUCUCUGUUAAUCAACUACAUACCUACUGAUAUUCUGCGUGUUGACCUGACACAGGUGUCUGAUACUGUAUCGUUCUACCGAUAUCACUCUCAAACACAAUGAGGCUCUGCAAAGGUUGGUAUGCACUGCCAGAUAUACCAUAACUGUGAUAGAGUAACUUGUGCGCUUAUACUAUAUCAGCUGUGGAAUUUCACUGGAAAAUCCAUAAACUAGGAUGCAUGAUGAUAAUAUCCUCUUUUCUGUCAGUUUCUAAUAUCCUUUGCAUGUUGUGAUAAAGGUCUCUGAUACAACGAGCUUAGAUCUCAUGUAUGCGGUGUAGAAUUUGUUAAGUUAAAUGUAGUCUCCUAGCAAACAAUCCCUUAUUGCUGAUUUUGCUUAUUAGAUAUUGCAAAAUAACCAAGUGACAAAUGCAUCUUUCUGUUUUGUAGUUUGGGCACUUCAACUUUUCAACAUCGGUUCUGUUGCCAAGCACAAACAAGGAAGGUGGUGCUAUUUGCUUACUUCUCUCCUCCUAUGUUGUUUUCUUUUUCUUUGCUUGAUAUUGAAGUCUCCGUUGAGUGCUAUCCCAAUGCAAGCUAAUCAGAGACGCGUGUAAUGUGUAGCAAAAACAAUGUCCCCAGGUUUUGGUGUUGACACAAGUAUUUCAUUGAAGAGGAAAUUAAUAGAUCACCAGAAUCUGGACCAGGUCAAAGUAAUCUUGUUUAUAUUAAUGGACUCUCAAGUCUUUGCUUACAACUUUCAGCUAAUUUUGGACGCUCCAUACAAAAUACAUCUAAAAAUAGAAAGAACUAACCAAGGAUCAAUGCAGUCACGCCAAUAUCUCUCGUUGAGAUGAUUGGAAAGUGUAACACAGUUUACUCUCAGCCAUCUCGUGUACCUCAUGCAUCAUCCUCUUUUCUUGACCAUUUUUAACUAGUGCUCUGGUGGAGUUUAGUCAUAAGUCUCAUAAGGUUGAAUUUGCUAGUGUUCGUAACUUUUGAUGAAUAUGAUAAGUGAACCUGAAUUUAUCGUACAAUAAACAACCUGAAACUAUCGUACAUUCUUUUCCUGAAUCUUUUACAAGGUUCAUAUAAAGCUACUAGAAUAAUUAAUUAUUUUCAAACUCUCAUGGGACAACAGCUAUUAGGAAGCCAAUGAGUGUGAGACCCACUUACAAGGUUUAUAUUUGAUGAUGCAGAAACUUUUGCAUGACUUGCCUCGAAGGACACAACCAAGACAAGGCAACAAAAUCUCACCAAGGAAUGAUAAAGGCUGAAAGAAUAAGAGGAAGAAGAACUUUGCGCCAUCUUUUUUGUGAUCAGUCUUUACAACUUUCUGGUUGUGUUUCGUAAGGCUGUUUGAAAGUCUUUGUUCAUGAAAUUUUGAACCCCGUGUUCACUUUCUGGCAAAGAUCUUCAAUUAUUUUUAUAGAAGCCAUUGGUCAUCAUGGUCAAGGAAGAAGGAAAUGAAGCGGAAGAUGAAGAAGGUUUUAUUUGUGCAAUUUUGUUUAUUUCCUAGUUAGUAAUGCCAUAUGCCUCAACUGAGUUGACAACAAAAUGUGCUGAAAAUCUCAGAAAAUCGAAAGAGAAUGUAUUCCAAGUUCGAACACAACAGAAGGAUUGCAGCUACCCCUACUACCAGGACCUUAUGUGGACUCGGCUGCCGCCUCCUCUGUGGUAUAACUGGUAUGAUGAUUGGUUCAUGAAAUAAUUGAUAUAAUGCCAAAGUGCUUAUUUACAAGUCCCCUCUAUUCAUUCAGUAGUAUAAGCUAGCACGAGUUCAUUUUUUCAUUCUCAUAUCAGCAUUAGCAUCACAGAGUUGGGUCUUCCAAUUCCCAAGGAAUUGAAUGUUGUUUUUUGGUUCCUUUUUUUUUUCCUUUGCAGAGUUUUGUACCGAUAAACUGUCAACGCUCCUUGCGAUAGCCUUCGAUGAUUGUGGUGUACACGAUCCCAUCUAGCGCCCAGCCUCUUUCUUCCAAAUUCGUCAGCAAUCGAACGGCUUUCCUAUUAUUGCCGGUUCUGCACAAUCCCCCACCAUGACUCCGCAUGUGGCUAUAUGUCCCCCGAUUUAUCUGGCAACCAUUACAUCUGCCAGGCUCAUGGCUUCGGCAAUUUAAUCCUCUCCGACAAGGCCAUUGAUCGAAGUGUUACAGCGCACGGAAGUGGGUUCAAGUGCAAGUUCGACCAUUUUACACAAAACUGAGAACCCGGGAUCGAAUCUUUUCAAUUGGCAGAGGUAAUUCAUCAAAUUGCUGCGAGUAAAAACAUUGGGAGUCGUUCCUUUCGAAUCCAUCCGCUCGAUCAUGUCAAUGGUGACAUUCGAGCGAAACAGGGAGGUGAAGGCAAAUGGUUCAUCCGAAUCGUCCUCUUCAAGUAGAACAAAGAGUCGGCAGCUUCCACCAAUGCACCAUUUUUGCAUUUGUUCGCCAGAAAGGCCACAGUUCGGAUCAUGCUUUGAAGAUCGGCGCCGUUCUGACAAUUCUGGAGUACAAUAUUAUUUUGUUUCCUUCCCUUCCACCGAUAAAAGGAGAAGACGUCUGGAGCUCGAGAUGCAGCAAAAGGAAAGAGCUCAAGAGAGAGCGAAAAGAAAGAGCUCGAGAGAGUGUGAGAGUCGAGAGAGCUCAGAGAGGCUUUGUGCUGAGUCGAGUCCAUUGAGUUGUUUUGUUAAACACCGUGGGUAUCGGGUAUAAGGGGCUGGGAAACACUUGAGUGCAUGUGUGAUUGUAAUUCUGUAAUUCUCCGAUUUAUAGUGGAUAUAUUUGCUGACUUUCCUCGUGGACGUUGGUUCCGAUAUUCAGACCGAAUCACGUAAAUUUUUAAUGUCCUUAUUUUUCUUGUUCCUCGUUUUAUUUCGAUCGAUUUUUAUAACUCCCGUCAUAAUUGCAAAAUUACAAUCCGCUUCUGUUGCGACACGAUUACAACAGAGAGGAUGAUUGUUAGGCAGUCCAAUCACUAAAAACUUUAGAUGUCUGAUAAUAACAUAGUUUUCAGUUCAAUCAUCGGAAAUUAUUUUGAUUGUCAAACUGAACAUUUCUAGAAAUACUCUAACCGAUUCAUUCCCAUCAGUUUCGCAUUUUGCAGUUUGAUAAGAUGUUUGUCCCGAACACGUGCUUGAAUCUGCAAGGCAGUUGAAGAGAGGUCAGUAUGCAUAAUUAGAAUGGAUCGAUAUCUCACACAACGACGACGACUAAUACUAGUGGAGUCAAAGUAUGGCCUGUCGAAAUAAACGUAUCUAGCCUUAUUACGAUCAGCCAAAAAAAUGAGAAAAUAAUACGAACGUUGCUACUCUUGUCGUUGUGUGCACAGAACGUAUUACAUUAUAUCAAUUUAACAUUUUGUUUUUGGUCUAUUCGAUAUUAUUCCAUUCUACUUUCUUUCCAAUACCUCUCAAGGAAAAUCCCGAAUUGGAUUCAUAAAUUGAUGGGUUAGUGUGAGCUUAUUCAUGCAGUUAUGCACUCUUCCAAUAAGAAUCCAUGUUUUGAAAGAUCCUAGCCUUGAGGCAGGCAUCCUGUCUCAUAUAUUGCAAAAUGACGUCACCGGAAAAAAAUUUAUAUGUAUUUUUGGGCUGGAUGGUUUACAUGUGAAGUACAUAACUUCAUGAAAGAGCAUUAUAUUUCGUUCUUUUCUCCGAUGGCGUAGGUCUGCUUAUUCAGUGCAUAAGCUCUAAACAUGUAAAGACCGUGUUAAUUCACCUAGUUGAAGUGAGUUGAGGUGAGUAAGAGAUGGCUCAGACACCAAUUGGCUGCUAUAUUAGAAAAAAAAAAUGCUAAUGGAUUAAGAAAAAUUGUACGCUGUAAAUCUGGACUGCGAAAUCCAUUGUUUGUCUUUGAUAAUGUGGUUUUGCAAAAAUCGAUUCCAUAACAUGCGCUUAAUCCACAUGCGCAAGUUCCUUGUGAAUCACAAAACCAAUUGCAUGAGUAGUGUCAGGAAAAAAAAUCAUGAGUUAUGACAUUUGAAUGAACGAAAAUGAAAACAUUCUUUUUCCCCACCUUCAAAUUGUCCCCAUUUUCCCAGAGAGUAUAGUUUACAAUUCGUUUCUCAUCUUAAGGAUAACAAUCGUGCAUGAUAGCAAUCGUGCAUGAUAGCGCAAAACAGACGUAGAAUUUUAACCAAUAACUCCUUCUUUUAUGCUUAUCUUAUCAUCAUGUUGUUCAAUUGAGUAAAACACGCGACUAAUUAGCGAUUCCACAGUAUGAGGACAUGGAAAGACAAUAAUUUACAAUUUAACUAGACAUGAAACCGAACGUCACACGGAAAUAAAUUAUAAAAAGAGAAAACUAAUAAUUAUCAAUAAGGGAAUAAGUAUUGUAAAUGAUUCUUUUAUUCAUUUGCUCCCUAACAUAAAGGACCAUUUCAUGAAAGAACAUGAGUUGUCAAGUGUAAUUAAUGACAAUAAAAGGCAAGUCUUUGAGGUGAAGAGACCAUGACAAACGGUCCAUAAUGAAAUGUAAAUAUAUGCCUAGGUGGAGCUUUUUUGGUGGAGAAUACAAUAAAUCCGAGUUUUGCAAUAUGAAUAACACUUCUCUAGUUAUCUUAAAUCUUAUGCGUCAUUAUGGGAAGUGAUGCUUUAGCAAUACUCUGUUAUUACAUGUUUAUAUAGAAUGAGACCAUAUAGAAUUUGUAAUACCCUGUAACUUAAGGAUUCCGCAUGAACGUUUUCAUGGUACAUCGAUUUUUUUUUUCUUCUAGGUUUUGCCGGAUGGGGGAGUCCAGGUAAAAACUAGUUGUGCGAUGUAUGAGUCUUACCUAGAUCAUAAGACAAACUUCAAUUGAUGCAAAAACAACCCUUCACAUCAUUAAGUGGAAAGUAUACAAUAAUAGGUGCAAGAUAGACCCAGCUAGCUAAUUGCCGAUAUAUCUCAUAACAAAUUAGCAGAUAUUUCAAUGGAAAAUGCAUCUAAAAGUGUAAGAACUCAGAGAAAAUCUCAUGGAUCGAUGUAGCAGCAUAAUAGUUGAUUUUUUUGGAUAGAUUUACUUGCCAAAACUUGUCGGAAAAAGAAAUCCUACCCACAUAUGGAAGGUGCAUAUCGCCAGUUUUUUCGUUCGAUAUAUAUAUAUAUAUAUAUAUAUAUAUAUAUAUAUAUAUAUAUAUAUAUAUAUAUAUAUAUAUAUAUUCAGAGAGUGCAUGCAUCUUCCAAUUUUUUUUUUUUUUUUUUGUACAUCCAUGUACUAGAGAUUCUGCAUUGGCAGAUAGAAGAAGCGUUGUGCAGUAAUUUCAAAUUAGGGAAAAGACCAUAAAAAAAUCACAAACUUUAUCUAAAGUGGCAAAUUUACCUCAAUUUUUUUGUUUGUGACAUGAAAAAUCCCAAACUUUGCAAACUAUGACACAUUUACCCCAUCAAUGGUAUUUUCGUUUUUUUUUUCCUAUUUUUUCCUAUUUUUUUCUUUUUUUCUUCUUCUUCUCUCUUCCCUCCGCGGAGGGAAGCCCGUGUCUAGUGAGGGCUGCCCUCGCCGGCAUCGGGGGAGGGUCGCUCUUGUCAAACUUGGGCGAGGGGUGCCCUCGCUGGCACCGAGCGAGGGCCGUCCUCACCCAACGCAGGCGAGGGCGGCCCUCAUCAACCCUAGCUAGCCUAGGCGAGGGCGACCCUCACCCAAUGCUAGCGAGGGCAGCCCUCGCCGAAUGCUGGCUUCCCUCCGCCAUGGCCAGCAGAGGGAAGAGAGGAGAAGAAGAAGAAGAAAAAAUUUAAAAAGUAAAAAAACCAAAAUGUUCUCUAGUUUAGGGUAAAUAUGUUAUAAGGAUAGAAGUUCAGAGUUUUUUGUGUCAUGAAAAAAAGUUUAAGAUAAAUAUAUCACGGUUGGCAAAUUUCGGGUUUUUCAUGUCACAAAAAAAAGUUUGAGAUAAAUGUGUUAGUUUGAGUAAAGUUUGGGGUUUUUGGUGGUUUUUUUCCUUUAAAUUAUUGGGUGAAGUUAUGAAUCCAACAGUCCGAGGAUGGUAUAGAAUAGGUCUUGGAUGAAGAUACUAAUCAACAUCCUUUUGUUCCUAUACGUAUUUUCUAUUGGUUACUUUUUAAGUCAAUGACACGUGUACAGUUGCUACUACAUUGAGCAUUUCCAGAUAUGCAAAGAUUAGUGAAAAUGAUUAAUGUACGUUGUUGGGUCUUGUUUGGUUUAAUUAAUAAGAAACUAAUAAGUGAANNNNNNNNNNNNNNNNNNNNNNNNNNNNNNNNNNNNNNNNNNNNNNNNNNNNNNNNNNNNNNNNNNNNNNNNNNNNNNNNNNNNNNNNNNNNNNNNNNNNAUUUCUUUUUUACUUUCCAGGGGUUUAUACCAAUAAAUUGUCGAAUCUCUUUUUGCUUUGUCAAAAUGUCACAGUCAGCAUUAAAACUGAAUUGCAUUUUAAACUUAUUAUUGAUAAGAAAAUUUGACAGUAGAUUCACUUAUAACGUCUCAGCUAGAAAUGUCCAUCAGUUUUCCGACUCAGCUGAUUGAGAGGGAUGACAGAGUCCUCAUCGCUCAAGUUCUACCUAGAUGUCUGUUAUGGCACUGAAAUUGAAGCGUAGCUGGAGAUUAUUUCUUCAGUGCCAGAGCUGUCAUUGUGUGUCAGCAAUAUAUCGAACUGUCUAGAUUCCAUGCUGAUUGGAUGAUACAACUGUGUUGUCAACAUGGAGUAGUUUGGUGGCACUUCGCAGCUUGAUCUAGGGCUAUUCAACUCGGUGCCAUUCAAUGGAUUUCCACUAAUUUAUGUAAUUCUUGAACGUAUAUUUCCAUGGAAGGUUCUUCCGUGCUUUUCCUCAUAAAUGCUGAGGAAAAUCAAUGCCAUACAUAGCAAUACAUUGCCUCAGUCCCUUCUUUAUAUGAGCUAUUAGAUUGGCUGUUCUAGUUAUGGUUGAUUAGUUUUUGACGCAGCUAUUCACAGUGACGCAGUUCAUGGAGGUUGUAAUUGUUGUUGUCAUAUGGUGAGGACUGCAGGAGACUGUCGAACUACCCAUCUGGUCCCUGAUUUGCUGAAUCAUUAUUACAAUCUUCCAGCUGACAGGAUAAUUGGGCAUCCUAGCAAAUUGUCAGCUGAUCAUUUAAGCACAUGUCGAGAUUUUUGCAAUUUUAGCAAAAUAAUUUCAGACAGCACUAGUGCUUCGAGAAAUCUUGUUGACAUUGGAGAGUUUCUCAAACCUCUUGUUAGAGAUGCUAAAUUCAUUUUUCAAUGACAUGCUUGGCAUCAGUACGUAGAAAUUCAUCUACACUACAUUUAAUAUGAGACUGGUAAAAAUUCUGUUUCUUGAGAGUAUUAGAAAAAACAGGGGGAAGUAGAGUAGAGUGGGACCAUAACAAAUGUUGAUUGAAAGAAAAAUCUAGUGCAAUUCCAGACAAACGUCAUUAGUCGAGAAUGCAGUUCCAAAAUACCAGCCAAAACCGGCAUUUCAUACGUGCAAGUUGCCCUAAAAAUGUCACCUUCAAAUCAUUGCCUAAUCAAUCCAAUGGUCUUUUGCAGCUGGCAGCCUCUCUAUAAAAUUACUUUGCAGGUGGUGACAUCAAGCCUGCGACCUGCACCCUGGAGCCUCCUUCUGUCAUUGCAUUUGAUCAGAUGAAGCCUGCAGCCUCUUUCCGUUAAAUUCAUCAGAAAUCUGACGGCCUUUGCGGUGUUGCACGGCCCCACAGCCAUGACUCACAUUGGCUAUAUAUCCUUUGGCAAACAUUUCAUCCACCAAACUCAUGGCACGGCUCGUGCAAUUUAACCUUUUCCUUAAAACCCAUUGAUCAAAGGGGAAAGCUCACAACAUCUGGUUCGAGUCCAAGCUUGAAGACUACUCAAAACAGAGAACCCAAGAUGAGAUAUUUUCAAGUGGCAAGAGGCAAUUUAUCAUAAUCUUGAGAUUAAGGGUGUGUGCGUCAUUGCAGCAACCUCUGAAAGUUAAAACAUACUAAAUUCUACGGCAAGUUUACAGAAAACAUUGAAAAGACAGUUAAAGGAAAGAGCCGUGCUCAAUCUAUUACUAGGAUUAAUAGCCCAAACAGACGUUAAAAAAGAUCUCAUUGUAGCUUGGCAGAUUCAUUUUUCAUACUCUUAUACCAUCAGCAUCAUAAAGAUUCUUUGCUGGUCUUCCGAUUCCAAUGGAAAUGAAGAGAUAUUAGGCAGGCAUGCCUUAAUUCCCUCAUGGACUGCCUAAAUUUUCUAAAUGCAUGUACCUUUUUAUCUUCUGCAAGUUGGAAAAUGCUAAAUCUAUAGCAAGCUUCUAGUGAAACACAGCUAAGGAUACGAACCAUGACACAAUCCACUACAAAGAUUAAUAGCCUGAAGGUUCAAUGAGAAAACAGAUGUAAGAAAGAGCUCUUGUUGUAGUUCGGUGGAGUUCUGAAGAUGGUGAUGAACCUACGUGAGUUUCAUUGGCAGGAGACUCAUAGAUGACGCAAUGUGGACCGGUCAUGUUUGUGUUAGUGUUCUCUCAAGUCCAUGCAUACAACUUUCAGCUAAUUUUAGAGUCUUCAUACCCAAUAUAGCCAAAACAGACAGAACCAUGGAUCAAUGCAGCCGCUCCAAUCCUCUCUCAUCGAGAUAAGAUCUCUCUACCAUCAUAUCGUGCAACCAAUGCAUCGCCCUCAAUUUCUGACCAUUUUUAACAAGUGCUCGGGUGGAGAGUGUCCCUUCUCUUUCAUUUCCUGAAGCAGCUCAUAGGCAUCACUCAUUCGGUUGGCUUUACAUAGCCCUGCAAUUAUAGCACCAAAUAACAAAGCAUCAUGUUGCGAACCUUUCUCAGGCAAAGCACUGAAGAGUUCUAUAGCAUCUUCAAGUUUCCCUGCCUCACAAGCCGCUAAUAAGGGUGUCAUAGCUGAUGAUAUGGACAUUUCCAUCUUCCACUUGUCUAUACAAAGCAAUUGGCUAGUGAACCUGGUGACAUUACAAAGAUCAUCUAACAUUGUUGAUUGUUGUUGAUUUAAAUGAUCGCAACUAGCUAGAAUUUUGUAAAACAAAUGCGCAACCCAAGGCAGUUCAAUGGAGAAAAAGCCACCCCCGAGAUAGUUAUAGGUAGCAACAUCAGGGACUGAUCCAUUCUCUAACAUUCAUGAAUCAAUGUUAGACUGGUUGUGGGAGAAAGCGAGCAGUUUUGUGCAAUCAUCAAAUGAAAUGUAGCGGGUGCAUCAUCCAUCUAAUUUUAAUAACAGUAACCACCAAGUAAUGAAUUAUAUGCAACUAGGUCGGCGUAAAUCCUCCUCAGAUCAUCAGAUCAAAGAUGCACUUUGCCUUGGUAGCCCUGCCCACCCCACUUUGCAAAGUGCAUCCACAAUGAUACUGAUGGUUCGAACAUCUGCCAUCGUUCCUCUUUGCAGCAUCUCAGUUAACGCAACUGAAGCCUCUUCCCAGUGGCCACCACAGCAUAGGCCUUCGAUUAAGGAGUUACAAGUGAAAACAUGUGGCCAGAUUCCAUUGCUCAUCAGCUUGUCCAACAAAACCUUUGCUUCUUUCCAUUAACCUAUGCAAGUUGAGCAAGGGAUGACAUUUGGGCAUCAGGCAUAGUAUUAUAGAACUUCAAAGCCUCUGUCCCGGUGCCUCCUAUGAUCGUGGUAUACAUGAUCACAUCUAGCUCCCAGUGUCUUCCAAAUUCUUCGGCAAUCGAACGGUUUUCCUAGCCUUGCCGGUUAUGCACAAUCUGUCACUAUGGCUCCACACGUGGUCAUAUCUACCUUGAUUCAUCUGACCAACAUUUCAUCCGCCAAGCUCGUGGCUCCGGCAAUUUUACCAUCCUCAACAAGCCCGUUGAUCAAAGUGUUAAAGGUCACACUUGUGGGUUCUAGUGCAAGUUCGUCCAUUUAAAUUGGCGGAGGCAACUCACCAAAAUGCUGCGAGUAAAAACGACGGGAGCCAUUCCCUUCGAAUCCGUAAUGCUCCGUCUUGGCCACAACCCCCAGGAGUUGGGUGGAAACAUGGAGGUGAAGGCAAAGGGUUCAUCCGAACCAUCCUCUCCAAGUAGAAUAAAGCAUCGUCGGCUUCCUCUGAUCCCGCCAUUUCAGCAUUUUUUUUUCGUCACAAAGGCCCCGCAUUCAGGUCGAUCCAUUGAAUUUCCUUACUCCAGCAGUGGUCGCGCAAGUGCGAGAGCAACGUGAAGGCAAACGGAUCGAGGGAGGGACGAAGGUGUGGACGGUGUCCAUCACUCUGCCACCUUCGUGGAGCGCGUACGGGAGGUGGGCCUUCAAACUGGCAUUAUAUCCUUUUUCGUUUUUCACAUUAUAUUCUAGAUUUUUAUUUUUUAUCUUUUCGCAUUAUACUUUAGUGGCAUUUUCAAAAGAAAUUCUUACCUUAUCUAUAAAUUUCAUCUACUUAAUAAUUUAUCCAUAAAUUAGAUUGACAAUGUAGAAAAGAACUAGAUUUCUUGGAAAUUUCUCUUUUCAACUAAAUAAAUGUUUAUGAAAGUAAUAUCUAACAAUAAAAAAAUAGUGUCUUUAUUACACAUGAAAAAUCUACAAUAAACAAAAAUUACAUAUACAUAUGAAAUUCUUAAUUAUGGUAAGGAGAUCUUACAUAUAUAUAGAAAAACUAUAAAAAAAAAGUAAAUAAAUUUGGGACCACCAAUUUGAAUUGCAAUUGAAAACAGAGUGCAAUUUUGUCUUCUUAAUGAAAACGGAGUGGAUUUAGUCAUAUAAGGGUAGAAGUAGCACCGCCUCAAUAAAUUGCAAAGAAAGAAAAAACAACUCACUAGACGUAUCUCUUUAGAGCCUAACCAAGUGCAGUUGGGUGAAAUCGUUCUGAUUGCGAAUUGCACUACUGCGCCAUUCAAGCAGCUGGUUGAGCCUUGCUGGAGCCUAGGGCAAAAAUCUCAGUCUGUUCCUUUAAACAUCUGUUCCAUGUGAAAACUCCAAAAUUGCGUCGGCACUAGAUCUAUUUGUGCUCGAGCUCGAGAUACUAAUCCAAAUAAAAAGUUCAAAAGGAGUUUUGGGUGCUUGGAGUUAAUGUGCUAGCUUUCAUUGAACACUCUCGAGGAUCGACUGAACGUUCGGAGGAAAAAAAACAUGAAGUACUGUUGUUGAAGUCAACCAAAGCCAUACGGGAUUUUUUUCUCACCAUCUUCUACUAAUUAAGGGUCUGUUUGUUUGUGUUUCUUUUUUUUGUUUUUCAACACUUUUUCUGUUUUUUUGUUCCUGAGAACAAAAAAGGAACAGAAACACGUUUGGGUGCGUUUCUGUUCCUUUUUUGUUCUUUUGUUCCCAGGAACAAAAAAGAAACAGAAAUAAGAAACAACAAAUUUGUGUUUCUUAUUUCUGAAACAAAACUUAGAAACUCUUUUUUAUUUUCUUCUUCUUUUUCUUCUUAUUUUCUUCUUCUUAUUUUCUUUCUUUUUUCUUUCGCCGGUCGCCGGCUCGGCAUGGCGGCGACCAGCCGACGAGGGCCGGCGGCCGUCCUCGUCGGCUCGCGGCCGCUGGGCGAGCUCAGCCUCGCCGGAUCUGGGCGAGUCGGCGUCGCCUGGCGGUGGCCUGGCAAGGCCGAGCUUGCCAGCCGCUGGGCGAGCUCGGCCUCGCCGGAUCUGGGCGAGAUCGAGCUCGCCCAGCCAAGGCGAGGCCAAGCCUCGCCGGGGNNNNNNNNNNNNNNNNNNNNNNNNNNNNNNNNNNNNNNNNNNNNNNNNNNNNNNNNNNNNNNNNNNNNNNNNNNNNNNNNNNNNNNNNNNNNNNNNNNNNNNNNNNNNNNNNNNNNNNNNNNNNNNNNNNNNNNNNNNNNNNNNNNGCGACCGGCCCAAAAGAAGAACAAAUAAAAAAGGAAAAAUAAAAAAAAUUAUACAAAUUAUACAAAUUUACCAAACGUGUUUUUGUUUAUUUUUUAUUCCCGGAACAAGUUUACCAAACGCGUUUUUUUGUUCAAAAAUUGUUCCCCGGAACAGAAACACUUUUUUCUAUUUCUGUUCCCUGGAACAAUUUUUAAACAGAAACGCAAACAAACGCACCCUAAAUGAUCAGUUUCAAAAGGGGAGUCAAACAGUAUUUGUCGACUUAUAAGAUGCAAAACGAUAUGGCGCCAAUAUUAUGCAAAACAUCGAGGUGGGCACCGACUUAGAUUUUUUUUUUUUAAGGCGAUGUAUAUUAUACAUUUUAUUUUCACGUCAAAAUUUAAAAGAAAAUUGUUUAAAUUUCAAAAGAUUAUAAAUUAAAUGGGAGUUUAGGUGUCCUACGGCGAGGGUAGAAAAUGGACAAAUUGCGCGAAUGCAUAAUUUAAUAAAUAGAAAAAAAAACUAAAAUAAUUAAAAAGCCAAUCUAGACACUAAGUCGAUUGAUUUGAUACACAGGAACUAAAAGGAUCAAAGCAAUUCGUCUAGGCAACGACUAUGACCAUUUUUGGGCAUACGAAAAUGAAUAGCUUAAAAGGUUACAGAGCCAAAGAUGACAAGUACCAAAUCUAGAGCAAAAUGGUGAAAACUCUUUAGUAUUCCAAAGCAAUACCAAUUCCAAUAAGGCACUAUUGAUAGAGAAAGAAGAAUACCAAAAGAAGCUUGGCAGUACGUGAGACAUCAUGUGGAUGAUAGCUAAAGCUUCAGUCAAGGUGCCACAAAGAUGUUGCUACGGAAUAUUCAGGCAGAAAAAUAUAGAUACACAAGCUGUCAUUUAUGGAUACAGGUAUAUCUUGACAAACAGCUCUUCAGAUGCAUGAUAACCAUAAAAUCUCCUUGCUCAUACAAGGCUGCAACCAUGCAUAUGUUGCCGUUUUACGCCAGCAUUGCCUUUGAGCUGCAGUAACUCACAAAACAAUCCUUUCAGAUACAAACUAGCAAGUGAAUCGCACAAUAAGUUAAAGCCAGGACUUAAUAUUUUCAAAGAAUGACAAAUUAUACCUUCAAGGCUUUCUCCAUGGCUAGAGAGACAGCAUUUGUAAAUGCAUCCCCUGUGCAAUUCAACAGUGACCAAUUAAUUCCAAGCCAGUAGCAGAACAGUAAGAGACUAGUUUAAAAAGGGACAUGAAUUCGAAAUAUAUAAAAGCACGAAUAAUUCAAACAAAUUGAGAUAAAGUCUACAGCAACAUUAUAUUAUGAGGACAUUGACAAAAACUGGUCAAGUAAAACCACAGCCAUGUUGCCAAAAGAACAUAUACCCUGAAAACACACAAGCUACAUGCUAGAGGUAUUGUGAACUGAGAGAAACGUUGAUUAAUUUCUUCAAACCAGGAUAUGCACAAAGCAGCCUAUGCAUCUGUACCACGCACAAGUACCUUCAGACGUUGGAUGGAUAGGAAUAUCUGUACAUGGUACAUACAAAUAGGGUAAAGCCUACAAGAAAAAAAAAAACAUAAUUUAGAACCAGUAUGAAAAAAAUGUACAAGAUAUUGCUGUCUCAUAAGCUAUGCCAUGGACAAGCAUCAUGUAUUUUUCACAAUAGAUUGCUUGGAGCCACGUAAGCUCCUCAUUUGUUAUUUAGACAUUCAACUAGUGUCCAGCCAGUCAAAGAAAGUAGACUAUUGCCAAUAUGGUGCCUCUUGCGAGCAGAAAGGGGAAGAAACUUUCUGCAUCCUGAAAUUGCCUUUUAUCUUGUAGCAUAUACAUCAACUCAUGUCUGUAAACCCAUGCUGGUUUAAAUUCUUCAUCGGCAGAAAGGAAGUUACUUUCAUUGCUCCACAGCUCAAGGGGGGUAAAGCAAGUACUUGGAACAAUUAAGAAACUACAAAUAAACGAGGACUACACUCACCUUAUGCACAUGUGAGCAAGUUUUUGACCAGCAGGAGUUGAACCAUCUACUCUUAUUACAGGAACCUCAUUCACUUUUUCACCUUCAUCAAUCAAUCAUGAACAAGAUUAUGAACAUACAAAAGUAAAUAUUUGUAGCUAAAUUUCUAGCUACUGUAUAGUAAAUGUAACUGUUAUUUUUGCAGGUUAAAGGUCAAAUCCUCGCACAGAAUUUUAAAGAUUGACAUGGCACUACGCCACAUAAAAACUGUAAGUGCACCUUCUUCUCUUUGCAUCAGCAACAAAAAAGCGAAUUUCAAAUACGUCAUCAUCAAGACAACUACGCUCUCCAAACAAAAAGUAAUCUUCAGUCUAGGGAAGAAGACGGUGAGUUGAACAAUGCCCACCAAAUAUUAAGAAAAAUAUUCAAUACUCUCUGGAUUUUCUAAGCAACCAAACCAAUCAUGUAAUAAAUUAUCAAGACACCAAUGUGCUGAUUCCAUGACUCUGUGCUACAAUUUUAAUCAAUCCUUACGUAUAUCCAUGCCAAGCAAUUACUUAACAUCAAUCCAGCAGCCCCAACAAGAAGUCUGAAUAAGACAUCCACGGACAAACUGAUAAGUUCUUCAUAACAGAACACUAAGCCAAGCAUAAUCCUUGCACUCAUAAGAAAGCAAACAAACUUUUGUCUGCAAUGCAGUAACUGAUUAAGUCCUACUAUAGCAAACAAAAUUAACAGCUUCCAGAUUCAAACCACAAGCUUCUCUGGCAUUUGCUACUCACCACUAGAUUCCAUAAUCAAAGCAGCGAACACAAAAAUUAUGCUUCGAAAGAUGAGAGCAGACUUUCAUUCUUUUUUUUUACCGAAGACGCUUUACAUACAUUUUAUUACAAUAAAAACAUAGAAUAACUUCAAAAGCAUCGCUGUUCCUAGGAGAAGACAACAUCAAGACCCAUUCUAAGACUCCAAUUAAGCCACAGCUCUAGGAAGCAGCAAGACCCAACAACAUUACUGCGUGGCAACUACCUAUUACCAUCACGGGCACAGUAAAAAAACGAGUCUUUCCAUCUGUUUUCGUGCUUCCCCUAAUGCCCAUAUUCCACAGUCUCAUUCUUUUCUACUAAAGACACGUUAGAUACAAAUUAUUACUAUGAAAACAUAGAAUAACUUCAAAAGCACCGCUGUUCCUAGGAGAAGACAACGUCAAGACCCAUUCUAAGACACCAAUUCAGCCACAGCUCCAUGAAACGGCGAGACCCAACAACGUUCCCACCCGCGGCUACCUAUAACCAUCGCGGGCACAGAAAAAGAACGAGUCUUUUCCAUCUGUUUUCCCGCUUCCCCUCUGGGAGAAGACAAUAUCAAGACCCAUUCUAAGACACCGAUUCAGCCACAGCUCCAUGAAAAGGCAAGGCCCAACAACGUUCCCACGCCGCGACUAUACAUAACCGUUACGGGCACAGUUAAAAAACGAGUCUUUUCCAUUCUUCUCCAAGCUUUUUCUAAUUUUUUCCCUCUCGCUUGCUCUCGUGCAGUGCAGUAACGGAACCCCGGAACAGGAAAAUGGAUCGAGAAAACUCUUUGGGCCGAUGAAUCAUUAUAAGUUACCUCGGAACGAUUAUUUUACUACUGUCAAAUAUAAUGAUAAAUUCCGACCAAAAGAAAAUUUUAAUGAUGGAUUCGGUCAAAAAAAUAUUUGAUGAUAGAACAAAAAUUGGCUUUAAUUUAUCUUAUUAAUUGGUUUUAUAUACUAAGUAAAUGCUAACAACAAUGUUCAAUUAGAGAUAUUAGUUAUUAAUAACUCAGCAACCAAAUUACAAUUUUAUAACUUUCAAAAAGAUUAAAGAAAUAAGAGUAUUGGAAAUAUUAAAAUUUUCAAAAAGCACAAUCAAAUUAGAAAAUUUAUCAUAAAUGUACAAUUGAGUUUUAAAAUUUUAAAAAAUACAAUCAAGUCUUAAAAUGAAUUAAUGACUUUAAUAUGAAUUAAGAUUUGUGUAUCAAUCUUACCAAAAAAAAAAGAUUUGUGUAUCAAUCAAAUCAAAACUAGUUCAUAAAUUAAUUAAAGAAAAAUUGUGGAUCGCUUGAAUUAGGAUGUGUAACUUCAUAAAAGAAUUAAUGACUUUAAUAUGUUGACAACUUGUACGACUAAAUAUUAUUAAAUUAUUAAAAUGAACAAUAAUUUUGGAAUAAUCAAACAAACCCCAGUAUUUUUUAUGAAAAUUUGGGUACAAACAUGUCACAAGCCAAGUACAUGGCUUAUCUUUUUUUCAACAAAUUGUUACUAAACAAUAUUUUUGAACUUACUGAUACGGAACAAUCAGUGGUCCUCAUGUUCUGUCUCUUGCUUCCAUGGAGUUCUCGGAAUAGACAUUUUCUCUGUUCCGACAGCAACUCACCACCACUUUCGAGAAGAUAAUAAUUUAGUCGGACCUAAGCGUGGCAGGGAGGAAAAACUAAUAUCCGUCAGCUUGCGUGCUGCUACGAUAGGGCAUGAUUGGUUCUAUUGUAUUAUUUCGCAAGAGAAGUCAUCUGCGAGUUCUUUCUCUUUGCUCCUCUCUCUCUACCCUCCCUCUCUCUCUCCGACGAAAAAGAUCGCGACCUCCCUCCCUCUCUGCCCUCCCUCUUUCCGAUCGGCGAACCACCGCACGGGACCGGCGAACCACCGCGCCGCCCCUCCGGCUUCAGAUCCGGCCCCGACUCGUCUGUCCCUUGCUCUUUCUCUCCUCUCGCGUUUCUGUCUGCCCUCCCUCUCUUCAACGGCGAACCAGCGCGUGACAGCGAACCUGUAUUUUCUCCUUGCGGAGAAGCAACGAAAAUAUCUUUGAAGUCUACAGCGAGGUAGUCUUACCGAUUUCGAGGAAGGAAGGUUUGUUUCGUUGGUCUUGGUCAAGAAGGUGAGGGUAAAAAAGCAGCACAAUUGCUGCGUGAAAAGACGAGCAAUCUUGUCGCGCCAUCCUCUCCACGGGAUUGUGCGUCUCCUUCGGGGCAAGAGGUUCGAAGUAAAGCUUUAUUUAAAGUCCCGAGUGCUCGUGACCCAGUAGCAGAAACGUCAAUCACCGUAAGUCACUUGAGACGCUCCUCUUUCGCUCUGAGAUAUUUGCCUUGGAUAGCUCUAGAUUGAGACGUGAAGGUGAUCUCAUAAUUGUGCUGCUUUUGAGGCUCGGACACAAUUUGAUGUGCUUUAAGGGAACUCCUUUUGAGACAUUAAAGCCCAUCCGAGGAAUUCCGUCUCUGCAUCACUCCUCCGGAUGAGCCGGACAGUCUAUUACAUUUUGAUAGAACAAAAUAAAGGCAUUUGAUUAUUACUCAUUGAAUGACAUCUAACAUCCUUAAAAGCAUGCACAAUAUAACAUGUGAAAUUCCAUCUGACUUUUUCAAAAUCACCGUCGUUACAGUCAUUGUAGAUUUUUCUUACUACCUUCCCCUUAUUCAAACUGAUCGGUAUGAGCCUCUCUCUUGCAGAACGAUUCAAGGCUAUCAUCUACAGUCCUCGCUCACUUUCUUUGUUCAUUUCCCUCAUAAAAGUUCUCGGCGAGGCUUGUUUAGGGUCUUCUCUCUCCGAACUCGCACCUCUCUUUGCAUCUCAGCGCGUAGAAGGUAAUCGCUUUUUCAUCUCUUAUUAGUGUGUCAUUUCUGUUGAUUUGUUGCAGCUGAACUAGCGUGUUUUGGGCUCUCUGUCUGAUGUGGGUGGCUGUUAACUUGGUGCGUCACCAGCUUAUAAUUGACUUCCGUAGAAAAGGGAAGCUUUUGCUUUCAGACUUUAGAUGUGACUAAUCAUGUGGCCUCUGUCUCAUCGUUCGUUUGCAUCGUAACUUAGUGUCGAUCCUUUGUCGAGCUAGAAUGAGUUGGAAUGCGAGACGCGCUAGAUUCUAUUGCGCGCAAAAUUGCUAGUAUUCGCCUAAAGCCAAGGACCGUCUUUCUACGGAUUGUGAGGUUUCUUUGUCCCUGAAGGUCUAAGAUCAAUCAAAUAAAAAAUGAAAUAUAAAAGAAAAAGUAGUAGGCCAGUUCGCGGCAAGUUCCAACAUCAGGGGGGUUCGAUUUUCAAUUCCGAAAAUUGAGAACAUGCUCUGAUAGGUAGGUUUCAGGGUUUUGGUCCAGAAUCUACACACUCUGUAGCCAAUCACCCAUAAAAGCAAGUACUCUCUUAAUCAGAUUUUAUUCACAAUUUUGCCUUAGACAAUUAUAGGACAUUCUAGACGAAUAGUUUGUUGUCUUCCUCGAAUUAUUGGACUAUAUAAUCCUAAAAAGUAUAUUGCCUUUCACCUCUAACUCAUUUUCUUCCUUCAAAGUUUUGAAAAUUGACGAAGUUAGUUACCCCAAAAAAGGGUAAAAGGAGGUUGAAUUGAGUAAUGAAAAAGUAUAGUUCACACGCAUAAACAAUAAUAACUAUUAUGCAAAGGUUAGAGCAUUUUUAACUCUAUUGCCACUUUCUCGAACAAAAUAUCUCCGUUGCUACUUUUUACCUGCUCUCAAAUCAGUGAUAGCUUCAGUCAUCAUCACAAUACAAGACAUACCAAAAUCAAUGGUAUGAUGCUUCUUAAGAUCUUUUAUGUUAGAGAAAAAUAAACUAAUUGAUCUUUGACAUAUGCACAUGAAGACAUUUCAAAAAAAUUGAACUAUACAUGUUUAUUAGGACACUCACUCAGCUUUAUAUCUCUCAUAUCUUUCACCUUUUUGCUACAAACUAUAAGUUCAUUCAUUAAAAUGUAAUUAAUCAAUUUAAUCUGACUUAUCACGAAUUUAGCCGAUAAUCCUAUUCUACGUCCAUUUAAUUGGAUUAAAAAAACUUUGCGAUGAUAUUCUCAAGGUGGACCCUCGAGGAAAAAGGGGGCACUAACUGAAGGUCAUUCUUUUCAAACCUUGGUCCUCUCUGAAUUUUCCUCAGCAGUUUUGCUUUAUUUUCUUCUCUUCUGCUCCUCCUUCGAUCAAAUCAUGACCUAAUUUCAAGUUGUUCAGACUAAGGCAAAGUCAGAGCAAGGCAAACAAAGGGAUGCACCGUAUCGCUUCUGGUCGUUCCUUUGCUAUGCUCGUUGCACUGAUUCUUUUCUCUAUGCUUGUAUUCUAUCAUCUCAAGAGGAAGAAUGUGAGCGCAGAAAAAGAGAGCACUAAGGAGCAUUCACUUCUUCUUUGGUGUCGUCUAAUGAAUGACAGUUCUAUUCUACAGAUAAAAUGAUGAUCAAUUAUUUAAAUUUCAAAGUUUGAAGAGAAUAAUUCAGUGAUGUUACAUCAGGUUAAAGUGGAUUCGUUUUGCUUGACAUUUCUAAUACGUAAAACUCAUUCAUUAAAUAUUGUGUACAUUCGGAAAUCAGGUGCUUUCUAUCUAGCCUUUUCACUUGUUUAUCUACAUCUUUUAGUGGAACAGGAAGGCAUCUUCUCUUCAUAAAUAUUUUAGUGUUAGUGAUCGUUUCAAAUGCAUGUGCUCUCCACCAAGAUUACGAGCCUUGACUAUAGAGCACGCAUGUAGAGAUGAAGACUAGCCAUUGUUUUCUUGUCCAUGAGUGGACACAACCCAAUGAUGUUGCCAUGACGAGAAAGCGCGGUCCAUUGGAAAGAAAAGAUGCACGCCUAAGUCAAUAACUUUUACUAUUCAAAAUUAGUCAACAGACUGACUUGAUCAUUAAACAUUUUGGAUUCGAAAUCGUUCAGAAAUCAUAUGCUCUCCUCCCAAAAAGCACGUGCUCUGCCUUUUCAUUUGCUUAUCUACUUCUUCUUGUGCAGCAGGUUGGCAUCCUCUCUUCAUUGUUGUCUAUAAGAUUUCUAUGGGGAAAGGGCAAAGUCUGAGCAAAAUAAUAAGAAAAAGAAAAGGAGCGCAAAAAAAAGGAGCAGUAAGGGAGAAAGAGAUCACUGAUGGAGCAUUUGCUUCUUCGUCCUUACCUUCCAUACCCACGGGAGGAGGUAGCGAUCAAUACGAUGUGUUCUUGAGCUUUAGAGGCUCCGACACUCGCAACGAAUUUACCGAUCACCUCUACCGCAGUCUGAUCAGUGUAGGGACUGUACCAAUUUCUGUGUUCAGGGACGAUAACAGUGUUGAAAUUGGCAAGGAUUUUAAUUCAGAGAUUCUUAAUUCUAUCAUGCGAUCUAAGAUUUCAAUCCCCAUCAUCUCUGAAAAUUAUGCUUCGAGCAAAUGGUGCCUCCGCGAGCUAGUACGCAUCAUGGAUUGCCAGAAGAGCACGUUGCACACAGUGUUGCCCAUUUUUUACAAAGUGCUCCCAUCGGAUGUGCGGUAUCUAAAUGGAAAUUUUGGGGAGGCCUUCCAUUUGCGUAAGAAGCGUUUUGAUAAGGAGGACAUUCAGGAAGGUCAACGAGCCCUUACAGAAGUGAGUUACUUGAAUGGAUGGGAAUCUGAGAAAUUUGCCAAUGGGUACUUACCUUCUACCUGCACUUUUUUUUUUUCUAAGUUUUGUUAUUUAGCAAAACCAAUGUCAUAUGAAUGAAUUGCUUACACUACAAGCUUACAAAACAUCCCAAAAUGUCCCAAUGAAUAACCAUAGUGGCCCAUAGACUACAAACACUUGUACUCCCUGAGAUUUCCCCAGAAAACUACACUGACAACAUCUAAAACCUUAGGAUCGCUUACUCAAUCUUCCAAAGCUUGGUAACUGCUGGAUAAAUCGACCUUCUAUUGCUUCACACAGAUCAUGUCUAGGUUUAACACCCGCUGUUGCCAAUAACUUUCAUUGGUAUGGUAGGCGAUCUAUAAGUUAAUUACUAGUCCUCCAUUUAGGCCUGUGGGAUACACUGUUCUUAGAGGGAUAACAUCUUGUCAUCCUAAACAUUUUGCAACAAAAAUUAUCGACCUUCUAUCCUUCAACUAUCAGUGACCAUUAGCCUCAUAACAAACUCUUUACUUCUAAAGAAUCUUAAUUUGCUAGGUGCACCACCAUAUCUUAAUUCAAUAAGAUCUAUCUAUCGGAAGAAAAAGAAGGGGAAAAAUGAAAUGACUGCUACACCAUCAUCCUAUAUUGUCAUUUGUAAAACCAAGACAUUUUGCAUGUUAAUUGGUCCCAUCCAUCCUUCACAUAUAUGUGGGUGUCUUUUGAUGAGAUUACGCAAAAUUAUGAAGUUAUGAUGAGUUUUGUUGUUUGAUAGGCGUGAAGGAGAAUUAGUGGAAGAAGUUGUCAAAACUAUUAUGAGCAAGUUGAGAUGUGAUUUUCAGCUUGAUAUUCCAGACCACUUAGUUGGAGUUGACGAUCAUGUCAACAAAAUUAGGAAUUGGGUAGACAUUCCUGCCAAGCAUGCUCGAAUGAUAGGAAUAUGUGGCAUGGGUGGGAUCGGUAAAACGACUCUUGCCAAGGUCAUCUACAACCAGUUGUCGAAUAAAUUCGAGCAUCGUAGCUUCCUUCCAGAUAUACGAGAAACAACUCAUAGCAAAGGCAUUCUUGAACUACAAAAUCUACUAAUUAGGGAAAUACUACCAAAUGAACGUGGAGUAUGUAAAGUUGAUGAUGGAAUUAGUUUGAUCAAAUCUAGAUUUAAAGGAAUAAAGGUUCUCAUUCUUUUGGAUGAUGUUGAUCACCGAGAUCAACUAUAUGCUUUGGCUAGAGAACGUGAUUGGUUUUCGACAGAAAGCAUCAUCAUUGUUACAACUAGAUAUGAAGCUGUUCUUCAUCAACCUAAAUUCGAGGUAGAUUACAAGUAUGAAUUGACAGAAUUAGAUGUGGUGCAUUCUUCAUGUUUAUUUAAAAGGCAUGCAUUUUCCAUGGGCAAUUGUCCGAAGGAUUUUGAGGGUAUCUCUCGUGAUAUCUUAUCCACCAUGGGUGGGCUUCCCUUGGCUAUCGAGGUCAUAGGUUCAUACUUGUAUGGAAAAAAAGAUGGAAAAGUAUGGCAAGAUGUGCUGAAGAAAUUAAGAAAUGAACCGGAUAGAGAUGUCCAAAGGACAUUGAAGAUAAGUUAUGAUGCAUUGGAACCUACACAAAAGGAGAUUUUUCUGGAUAUCGCUUGCUUUUUAAUCGGCAAAAAUAGCAAAUAUGCCAAUUACAUGUGGGAGGACUGUGAGCUUUUUCCAUAUAUCGGAAUUAAAGAGUUGAAGUUAAGGUGCUUAAUAAAAAUUGGAGAUCGUGGUGAGUUUAGGAUGCAUGACCAAUUGAGAGAUCUUGGAAGGAGCAUCUUUUGCCAAGGACAACCGCCCGAGAGAUGUCUGAAGCCAUGGCUCGAAGAUAAAGCCUUGAGAAGUAAUAUGGAAAUGGAGGUAACAUAUGAAUCUCUCUCUCUCUCUCUCUCUCUCUCUCUCUCUCUCUCCAUAAAUUUAAUGUGAUCCAUUUUAGUCUUUUAGCUAGUAUAAGCAAAUACCCCUACUCUUUAGGAAAAAAUCUAUUCAUACACGCAUUUAUGUCCCCCUUAGAUAAAUUGUGAUAAUAAUUGGAUUAUAAGUGUCCCAAGGAUGAAAAAGUUACAUUAUUUUAUCCAAAUUCAUUGAUAUAAAUUACAUCUGUCAAAAACUUAAUUUUGCAAUCAAUUUAAGAUUCUUUAACUACGAUUAUACACUGAAAAUCUCAUUCACUAAAAGCAUGUAGUUUUAUAUCUACUUGAAACUAUUGAUAAUCUAAAAGACUACAAUAAUUUAAUUAAGAUGAAGCAUAUACAUCAUAGAUCAGAUAAAUGGAGAUGUUUUGAAUUUUUAUUCAAAAUGGCAAUGUACGACAUAAGCUGAUUAUAAUAACUAAUAAUUAACCAAAUCGGUUGGGCUAAAGAAAAAUUUCACACUUAUCAUAGGUGCUUGCUAUCUAGUAUGGUCGAAUGUAUUGUGGUGCUCCUAUGAAUUAGGAAAGCAAUGUUUGAUACACUUUUAUUUUUUUCUUCCAUUUUGAUUUUGAAAAUACCUCUUCCCCCCACGAGGUAUAUCUAUCUCUUUUCAUUCUUCUUGUGUCUUAAUAGCUAUGAUGGCAAAAAUCACCUUAAGAAUCUUAUAGGGAAAAUCCUUACAAUGUUUUUAAGGUCGGAUCACGUUGACCUUGUUCAUCUCAUGGAUUUAGGUGUGUGAUAAAGAGUGGAUUUUCUUAUUUUCCUUUCUUUGCUUCUUUCAUUUCUCGUUGUCUGUUCCUUUGCCUUUCUUAAUAAACAUUUCUUUCCUCUCCAACUUGUUUUAUAUUUAUUAUAUUUUUUGGUACAAUGCCCUUUUGUGCCAAAAACCCUCGACAAACUCGACAAUUUAGAGGAAAUGUCAUGCUUGUUCUUAUAUCGAUACAUUUUUCUUUAGUAAAUAACAUUUUCAGCGUGCAGUCAAUUUUGAAAGUAAGUUUAAUUUUUACUUAGAUUGUCAAUGUUCAUAUUGUUUCAUUAUUUUAUAUUUUCUAUUUAGAGAAGCGUAGUAGGUUCAUGACUGAUCAGUGGGGGGGGGGGGGGGGAAUUAACCUGUGCAAUUAACCAAGAGAUGUUGGGAAAGGAAAAAGCUUUAUUUUCUCAAUUUAAUUUGAAUUAGUUCGCUCAUACCAUUAUAAAGAGCACAUUCUUUUGUUGAUUCAAUAACUAUUCUUAAGAGAAAUAACAUUGACAGUGAGUUUUUCACUAGUUAAUACAUAAAGUAUGGAUAAUGACAAAUGAGUCAAACCAUAAAAUUAAGCCCAACCUAAAAAAGAGAAAAAAGAAUUCUAUUUUUGGUUUGAUAGUGUUUGUGGAAGUUCAUAUUUCACAAAACAAAUUUGUCUUUUCGCAGUUUAGUUUAUUCAUAAUAUUUCCAAGAAACUAACGAAAAAAAAUGCACUUUCAAGUUAUGUUGAUCAAUCGAUAAAUUUUUUUUUUUAAUGUUUACUUAUAUAUCCUGCCCUAUUGUAUCUUUGCACUCGGCCUAUAAAUAGCAUUCCAAAAAAAAAAACAAGGUACUACUUUCAAUUUGGUGUUGUCACAAAAGUUCAUGUGAAAGAAGAAAGGUGUCGAGUGUUGUGAAAUAUGGAUUAACUAGUCGUGAGCCCAUACCAUGCAUAUGCACAAAACUGACAUGAAUAAAUUUAUCAUGAAGAUAUAAAUAUAGUAACCUCAUCUCUAUUAGAAAAGCACAUAUAGAUGGACAAAUCAUGUUCUUUGGAAAGACAGUUAUAAUUUAUAAGUUGAUAGUUUUUAAUCUUUCAUUAUAGUAAUUUAACUGGAUUUUUUUUUUUAAAAAAAACAUCUCUCAUUAUAGUAAAAAUUCAGGCGGAAACCGCAUUCGAAAAGACAUUCCUUUUUUUUCCCCCUAACAACAAUGGACAUACUUCUCUUGGAUGGAGUGCACAAGAAAAAGUUAAACGCGCUAAAAAUCGAAUUAUAAGGAAUUUAAAAAGAUAUUAAAUGAAAUUGCAUGAAACGGAAGUGCGAUAAAAGGAAAAUUAUGAGGAAAGUAAAACACGAACUUUGUUGUGCCGUGCCUGCCUGAUCUUACCUCCGAAUACCCCUUUUAUACCAAUGCUUCGUGUCGACCAUUCUGUUUCUAGGCCAUUCACAUGUAACUUCCACAUGCAUCAUAUGUCACAUGCAUCAAUUGUCUCAUGCGUUACUUGCCACAUACAUCCUAUGACACCUAGUCCAAUACUAUUCUUUUCAAGGGAGAGAUUUCUCUAUUAUUCUCUCAACCAAAAUUAUCUCACAAUCAAGUUCAUUAUAAAUCGUAUUUAUUUAAAUGAAUCCAUGGGCUGUUUUCAUCAUUUAGCUCUUAAAAGGGGAAACCAUCAUCGUUAAUCGCAAUUGCCCACUGUCUAAAAAUAGUUAAUCAUAUAUAUAUAUAAACAUGUGUUUUGCUUCUCUUGCUCAUCAUUAGAAACAUCAAUUGGUGUCACCUGCUGAAUCAAAUAUAAAUGGUGUGCAUAGCGUGGGUCAUGUCUAGUCUAUAUCUGAUAUAACAUGAUACUAUAAUUAUAGAAAUGACAUUGGUGUCACUUUAGGUCCCUUCCAAUUUUACUCUUAUUUAAGGAUUCUACUACUAAUAAAAAGUAUGGCAGAGGAGUGAAGUCUCACUUUGGUAGAGUGCUCCUUCUCUAACCAACACAUCCCUCGCCUUUAACGGUUAUAUAAUAUUGUCCUCAUCAGCAUGUCGUACCAUCCCCAAUUUUCAUCACCAUUCUCUUCUUAUUUUUAAGAGUUUAAGUUACAACGUUCACAUAAAAAUAAGCAUAAUGUUAACAUAACACGUGCGUAGCAUGUGUAUAGAUUACUGUGGACAUUAAGCAAAGUCCAUUUACAAAAAAUAUACCAUUUCUAGGUCGAAUUUUGCUUUAACGUGUUACAAAUGCGUUUUCUUGAACAGGUCGAGUGAGGGGCACUACUGGCUUGAAAUUACUUUGCUCUAGAAGUGCAUGUUAAUAGAUGAAUACUAAUUUCUAAUUUCUAAUUCACCUCUUGAGAAGGAUGUCCAUGCUAAAAACGAAUUUCAAUAUUCACAUCAACAUACCUCUAGAAAACCUAUCUGACAAAAGUGGGUACUAACGGCUACGUAAGUUCCAUAAUGGUGAAAUACUCCAUUAACUCAUUGCCAGGUGGGACACCAGCUUAAUUAAGUCCGACUGGACGGUUCAAACGGGAAAUUAUUUACACUUAAUAGUGCCAGGAAUCAAACUCAUAUCAUGAUACACAAAAGCACAUUCCUUAACCACUAAAUGAGCUGCGUGGGGUUGCCUCUCAAAUAUUUCAGCCAAAUCUUUCAGAAAAUUAUCAACUGUUCCUUAUAUUGCUUUUGGUAAAUCCUAAAGAACUUGACCAUAGAAUAAAUUGCAAAGAAAAAAUAACUCACUAGACAUGUCUCCUUAGUGCCUAACUGAGCGCCAGGUGCCCGCUGUGAUCCAGAAUCGCAUGCCCAACCAAGCGUGACUAGGUGCCCGCUUUGAUCCAGAAUUGCAUCUCUACGCUGUUCAAGUGACUUAGUCUUGCUGGAGCCCCAGCCACCGACCAGUAGCUUUGGCUACUUGCGAUCUCUGUUAUGGGCAUCUCAGUCUGUUCCUCUGAACGUUUACGUCAUGUCAAUGUGUAGAUUGAGUGGCGGCUUGAUUUAUCUGUGGUCAAUCUCGAGAAUGCUAAUCCAAUAGAAAGUUUAAGAUUUAAAAUUUUGAUACUCGAACGUUAUCCAAUACCGUUACUGAUCAGCUAAGCUUUCGGGGGAAAAAUAAUAAAGUAUUGUUGUUAAUGUCAAUCAAGCCGUCUGGGAUUUUGUCACCAUCUUCUUCCAAUUAAAAGAUCUCCUUUAGCAACAAAGUUUAAGCGGUACUUUUGACUUAUAAGAUGCGAAAAGAAAUGGUGCCAGUCUUGGGAAAUGGACAUACGUAUCUACACUUUUCUGUUUAGGUAACAUAAGUAGAUUUCUCCAGAAACUUUCAUGUGGCAGAGUUUGCCAAAAGAUGUUGCCCAGCAUUGACAAUCCUAUUGUUCCAUAUGUUAAGACCUUAAUCUAAGUAUAACACCAUGUAAGGAAGUUAAUUAGUACAUUUUUAGUUGGUCUAAAGUCAGGUCUCUUCCAAUUCUGUCAAAAUCUAAAAUAUUAUUCAAAUGCUAAAGGUGUAUUGCUAAAGAAUGAUUAAACACUUAACAACAAUGGUUAACAAAUUGAAAAUCAGGUGCUUACUUAACUACUUAACAAGUGACCCAUGGGUACUCUUUAACAUUCGUAUGUUUUAAAAGGUUUCAUGUAUUUCCACUUUAAUAAAAAUCGAAGUACAUGCACUACGAAAUUCCAAAAAACCGAGAGGUAAGAAUUGAGGUGUUUUGUCUUGAAUUUUUUAAAGUAAGAAAAAGUGUUCUUUUUAUUUAAAAUAUUGUUUGAAUUUUAAAAAAAAAUUAUCAAAAUUCUAUAUGUGUGUGUUUACUUGUCAACAUUUAUGUUUGGCGAGAGGUAAAAAGAUGACAAAUUGUGAAAGUAUGGGGUUUAGAAAAGCAAAAGUAAAAGAUUAGAAGUCAAUUAGACACUCAAUGAUUGAUUUGAUAUGCAGGAUUUCGAGAGAAGCUUUGAUUAUUGGCCUCGUGGCUGUUCCUCUACAUGCACAAGUGAACUGUUAAAAAACUUACCGAGCUCAAGGUUCCUUUCAGUUUGCUGUACGACCAUAAGUGGAGACUUUAAUGAAUUGUUUCCUGAAUUAAGAUGGCUUCGAUGGUUAUACAUUGAACCCAAUAUGUUUUCUUCAACAAUCAAUUUGCAUCUAUCUAAAUUAGUGGUGCUGGAAUUGUUACAAAACAAGCUUACAGAUGAUUGGGAAGGAUGGAGUUCAAUCAUGGUAAGAUGGAAAAAAAGACAUCUUCUACGAUCUUUGCUUUGUUUUGUUUUAUCGAUUAAACUCCUUUUUGAUAGCUUUUUCUCUUUUGUAUAGGCAGCAAAGCAGCUAAAAGUUCUCAAUAUUUCAUAUAGCAUAGAGUUAAGAUAUACUCCUAAUCUCUCAGCUUUCACGAAAUUGGAGAUUCUCAUCUUGUCCAAUUGUUGCAAACUGAAACAAGUCAACCCUUCUAUUGGCAAACUCAAGAGCCUCAUAUCCUUGGAAUUGUGUUAUUGUGAUAAUCUGAAAGAGCUACCAGAGGAAGUUGGGGAAUUGCAAGAACUAAAAGAACUCCUUUUAAUUUCUAUUGGCAUCACAAAGAUUCCUAUGUCAAUCUAUUCUCUGAGGAAGCUAGAGAAACUGGCUAUAAGAUCUUGUCAUUCAUUGGUUGAAAUCCCUCUCACAAUUGGGAGUCUUUCAUCUCUCCAAUACCUUGACCUUUAUUUCUGUUCGUCAUUAAGGAAAAUCCCUUAUUCGAUUGGGAAUCUUUCUUAUUUCAAACGACUUGAACUAGGUUGUUGUACGUCAUUGACAGAAAUCCCUAGCUCAAUUGGAAAUCUUUCUUCUCUUGAACAACUUAAUCUAAACGAUUGUUUGUCAUUGAUAGAAAUCCCUAGCUCAAUUGGGAAUCUUUCUUCUCUCAAACAACUUGAUCUAAAGAGGUGCAAAUUAUUGAAAAAAAUCCCUAGCUCAAUUGGGGAUCUUUCUUCACUCAAACAACUCCAGCUAGGGAUUUGCUCGUCAUUGACAGAAAUCCCUAGCUCAAUUGGGAAUCUUUCUUCUCUUGAACAACUUGAUCUAGAUGAUUGUUGGUCAUUGACAGAAAUCCCUAGCUCAAUCAGGAAUCUUUCUUCUCUUGAACAACUUCAGCUAGGGUUUUGUUCAUCAUUGACAGAAAUCCCUAACUCAAUUGGGAAUCUUUCUUCUCUUGAACAACUUCAGCUAGGGUUUUGUUCAUCAUUGACAGAAAUCCCUAACUCAAUUGGGAAUCUUUCUUCUCUCAAACAACUUCAGCUAAUGGGUUGCUCGUUACUAACAGAAAUCCCUAGCUCAAUUGGGAAUCUUUCUUCUCUCAAACAACUUCAGCUAGUGGGUUGCUCGUCAUUGACAGAAAUCCCUAGCUCAAUUGGGAAUAUUUCUUCUCUUGAACACCUACAGCUAGGGGGUUGCUCGUCAUUGACAGAAAUCCCUAGCUCAAUUGGGAAUCUUUAUUCUCUCGAACAGCUUCAGCUAGGGCGUUGCUCGUCAUUGAUAGAAAUCCCUAGCUCAAUUGGAAAUCUUUAUUCUCUCAAACAGCUUCAGCUAGGGGGUUGCUCGUCAUUGAUAGAAAUCCCUAGCUCAAUUGGGAAUCUUUUUUCUCUCAAACAGCUUCAACUAGAGGGUUGCUCGUCAUUGACAGAAAUCCCUAACUUAAUUGGGAAUCUUUAUUCUCUAGAACAGCUUCAGUUACGGGGUUGCUCGUCAUUGAUAGAAAUCCCUAGCUCAAUUGGAAAUCUUUAUUCUCUCGAACAGCUUCAGCUAGAGUGGUGCUCGUCAUUGACAGAAAUCCCUAGUUCAAUUGGGAAUCUUUCUUCUCUCAAACAGCUUCAGCUAGGGUUUUGCUCGUCAUUGACAAAAAUCCCUAACUCACUUGGGAAUCUUUCUUCCCUCCAACAACUUGAUCUAGGGGAUUGCGUGUCAUUGACAAAAAUCCCUAGCUCAAUUGGGAAUCUUUCUUCUCUCGAACAACUUUAUCUAAUGAGAUGCGAGUUAUUGACAGAAAUCCCUAGCUCAAUUGGGAAUCUUUCUUCUCUUAAACAGCUUCAACUAGGGUUUUGCUUGUCAUUGACAAAAAUCCCUAGCUCAAUUGAGAAUCUUUCUUCUCUCGAACAACUUGAUCUAGGGGAUUGCGUGUCUUUGACAAAAAUCCCUAGCUCAAUUGGGAAUCUUUCUUCUCUCGAACAACUUUAUCUAAUGAGAUGCGAGUUAUUGACAGAAAUCCCUAGCUCAAUUGGGAAUCUUUCUUCUCUCAAACUACUUGAUCUAAGGGAUUGUGUGUCAUUGAGAGAAAUCCCUAGCUCAAUUGGGAAUCUUUCUUCUCUCAAACAACUUUAUCUAAGGGGUUGCGAGUUAUUGACAGAAAUCCCUAACUCAAUUGGAGAUCUUUCUUCUCUCGAACAAGUUAGCUAGGGGGUUGUGUCAUUAAGAGAAAUCCCUAACUCAAUUGGGAAUAUUUCUUUUCUCAAAGUACUUGGACUAGAGGCUUUAGAGGCUUGCAAGUCAUUGAGAGAAAUCCCUAACUCAAUUAGGAAUUUUUUUUUUUCUCUCGAACAACUUGAUCUAAUGGGUUGUGAGUUAUUGAUAGAAAUCCCUAACUCAAUUGGGGAUCUUUCUUCUCUCGAGCAACUUGAUUUGAGGGGUUGCAUGUCAUUGACAGAAAUCCCUAGCUCAAUUGGGGAUCUUUCUUCCCUCGAACAACUUAAGCUAGGGAUUGUGUGUUAUUGAGAGAAAUGCCUAACUCAAUUGAGAAUCUUUCUUCUCUAAAAAAACUUGGACUAGAGGCUUGCGAGUCAUUAAGACAAAUUCCUAGCUUAAUUAAGAAUCUUUCUUCUCUCAAAGGGCUUUAUCUAUCACAUUGCGUGUCAUUGAGAGAAAUCCCUAGCUCAAUUAUAAAUCUUUCUUCUCUCAAAUACCUUAACCUUUACAGGUGUUGUUCACUAAAAGAAAUUCCUACCUCAAUUGGGGAUUUACCGAAUUUGCAAAGCACUAGGGAUUUUUGACCUUGAAUAGUUACCCAGUGCUAUUGGAAGGUUGAACAAACCGGCAAAGGCUAUUUCUUAAAUCUUGUGAUAGUCUAAAGGGGGGAAUUCCAAGAGAAAUUGAUGACUUGUCUUUGUUCGUGGUUUUCCAUAUCACUAGCACAUUUAUAUUUGACCCACUAGAAAGCAUCUAGAAUCUUUCUUCUCUCUAAUGCCUUGACCAAGAGGGCAGUAAGGAGCUCCGAUUGUUGCUAGAGCUUUCUUCCAGCUUAACAUAUCCUUAGGUCAAUUCCCUAAUUCCGAGGUUGCCAGAGCUUUCUUACCUUUUCCACCUGGAAGAACUUCAUUUUUAUGAAUAUGAUCAACUUGAGUACUUCCCAGAGCUUACCUCAAGACUCUUGAAACUUUGUGUUGACUCUUGUCCUAAGUUGAUAUUGCCUCAACUUGACAUAUUCAAGUACUUGGAAGAGUUUGUCAAUGAAACACAACAAUUCGAUUGAAAGAAUGGACCUCACAAUCGAAUCUUCUAAAAGGAUUGGACAUUGAGGAUUGCGAUAUUCUAGUUGAAAUUUAAGGCCAAGGUGAAUUGGAGUUCUUGGAGACAAUACGUACAUAUAGCUAGAAGUCCAUUAGAAGGCCGAUCCAUCCGAAAUUACAAGGGCUUGAAGCGAUUAAAUACUUGCUGUUGCGACAAUCUAGUCGAAAUACAAGGUCUUGAUAAGGUGGAG